CAACUUGGAUGCAUCUGUCAACCUUUUUAAGGAAGUACAAUCAUCUAGAGAUACAUAUAAUUCGCUAUUUGAUGGAAGAGGUAGCAAUUCUUGAAGGCUUUUGCACCUGUCUAGGUUAAGACGCUCGAGCUUAGAAAGGCGUCUAAUGCUUUCAGGUAGACUGAUGAAAUUAUUUCCACUAAGUUCCAAACUUUCCAAAACGGACAAGUAGCCAAUAUCAUCGGGGAUAUCUCCUUCACAGAUUUCACAAUCUUCUAGACGUAACUCUCUCAAAGAGCACAAACGAUUUAGAGAAGACAACACCAAACCCCAACAAGAAGGAUCAGGACGACUCUUCCCAAGUCCUAAUAAGCGGAGAAGGCCCCACCCCUCCCUUGCUUUAGCAUCCGAUCCCUCAAAUGCUAGAUACUCGAGAUUUUUCAUACCCACAAGCGGCUCUUUCAUAGUGGUUCCCAAUUCAAGUACCCUUAAGUGAUCCAUGUCUCCGGGAAGUUUGUGUAUCUUUAAGCAUCCACGCACAUCAAGAUAUAUGAGAGACUUCAAAUUACAAAUAGCCCUUGGAAGGUUCAAGAGAUUUUUGCAAUUACGUAGAUACAAAUGCUCAAGGCCAACCAGAUGUCCUUUUGAUGAAGGUAUUUUCUCAAGAGAAUCCAUUUCAACCUCAUCUGGGAGGCUCUUAAUGCUUUCACACCAACUAAGGUCUAAAACUUUAAGUCUUUUAAGAAUUACAAUAGUCGGGCGGAUCUCAACUAAAUUCUUACAUUCCAAAAGAUCCAACGUCUCAAGAUUUGGAAGACCACUGAAAUCUGGGGUACUCUUCAACUUAUUGGAGCUCCUAAGACUGAUAUAUUUCAAAUUGGGCAAGUCCUAUACAACACCGAUAAGGUUUAGAUCAUAUAUUUAGCUUCUACAACCUUAAAGUAUAUUCAAAAUAAUAAAUAAAUGAUUAUUUUGUAAAUUAAAAAGCAUUUAUUCAAUACUUCUUCUUACCAUUUUUCCCUUCCAUAGCCGAACAAGAUUGCUAUUACUCAUGUUGAGUUCAGUAAGCAAGUGUGGAUGAAAGUUGGUUGGAAGAAACUUGGAUGGAUAGAAACUCCAAUUUAUAAUUCUCAAGGAACAUGGAAGAAAUUCAGGACCUGAAGAAAAGAUCAAAUUAUCGAAUUCCAAAAACCUCAGUCCUGUCAUCUUAGACAAGGCUUCGCAAUUCCACUGGCGUACCUCCUCUACUUUGGGCAAGCAUAAGGAUAUUACUUCAAUUGCUCCUGUUCCCUAACAAUUAAGAAAAAAUGGCAAAUUAAUUCACAUUCAAGUCUAAUAUACUGUCAAAAUAAAUCAUGUCUUCUUUUAAACUUGGUAUUUAACUUCUUACCGUAUUAGUCGUGAAUACACGAAUAAUGUCCUCGUAUAACCACAACCUACUGCGUAGACCAGGCUCUUUAGACUCGUCACCAAUAAUUUUCCAUGCCAUUUCUUGUAUCAAAUCAUGCAUCCAUAUGCAAUUGUGAUGAUCUUGAUAGAGGAGAGAUCUCUCAAUUAAUCCAUCUAUCACAAUACGACUGGACAUUCCAAAAGGAUUAGAAUUAUGUAGCAUUUCAAUUACUUGCUCCAUGUGCUUCCCUUUGUGGAGACAUGCAACAUCGAGGAAAAUGCUCUUCUCCCGCUCUUCUAGUCCAUCAUAACUUAUUUUAAGUUUAUCAAAAAUUGUUGGAUUAAGAAUUUUUGACAGACUAUCCCGUUCACUAUUCCAAGCAGCUAGCCCUCUCUUAAACAAUGUCGCCCCGAAAAUUUUAAGAGCUAAUGGAAGGCCUCUAGCAUGAUUAAUGAAAUACUUGGACAAUUCCAAAAAAUCUUCCUCAGGUUGGUCUUUUUUAAAGGCAUGCAGGCUAAAGAGCUCAAGUGCUUCGGCAUCAUUCAACCCCUGCACCUUAUAUGAUGUUUCUAUACCAUGUUGGACUAGCAAACGCUGAUUCCUAGUUGUCACGAUAAUUCUACUCCCCAUACCAAACCAACCUUGAUUUCCAGCCAAUACUUCGAGUUGCCUUAAUUCAUCCACGUCAUCAAGUACGAGAAGAACCUUUUUAUUAUGUAAGAACUUCUCAGUGAGAAUGCUUACGCGCUCUUCAUCCCAAAUUUCUUCAAUCCUUUCCCUCAAGAACGGGAAAAGAAGUUUUUUUGCAAGAUCAACUAUACCAUUUUUUGCACAAACCUCUCUGACAUUGGCAAGAAAACAAUGAACUCCAAAAUGAUGGCAAAUUUUAUUGUAAACUAGCUUAGCAAGGGUUGUCUUGCCUAUGCCACCCAUCCCCGUUAUCCCAAUAAAGUGAACAUCAUUGGCAUCAUGAGCUAAUAGCAGACUUAGUUGCUCGAGUGCAGAAUCAGUUCCGACUAACUUCCGUGAGGAAUCUAAUAGCGUGAAUGUAGCUUGCACUUUCCUCUGCACGCAUUUGACGAUGUCAUUAAUCAGCUCUCUUUCAGAUCUACAAGGAAGAAAAGUAAAAUAAGCAAUCAAUGGAAGAUAAACGAAGCAUUCUCGUUUGACUCCUUUAAGAGAUAUAGGAAAUUAAUUGUCUAUGCAUGCUUACUUAAAAUUCUUCAAGUGCCACCCAGAAAAUUUGGAUACUUUUUUCAAAUCAGCUCUCCACUGGGUCAACUUCUUUUUGUCUUCGGUAGGGUUGAACUUUUCUUCAUGCUCCGUAAAGGCUUUGGCAAAACAUCCACGCUGAUUUCCAACAUCAGAUGGAUCAGUCUCAUAAAAGACCGGCAGAACUGAUUCCCUGCCUUCCAUGCAUUGAAGAAUGGUUGUGAGUUCAUCCAAACACCAUUUGGAAGAAGCAUAGUUUGGUGAGAGAACAACGAUUGCAAUAUGCGAUUCUUUGAUCGCACGUGGGAGCUCAACGGGAAUACUUGUUCCUCCUUCAAGCUCUCGAUCGUCAAAGAAAGUUGUAAUUCCUUGGCACUCCCACAAUUCAUGGUAUAAAUGGGAUACAAAACCCUUGCGGGUGUCGACACCCCUGAAACUCAAAAACACAUCAUACUUCCAUCUAGGAGAUGAUUCAUUUGAAAUAAAAGAUGCAGAGGCUCUUUGGGUGCUCAAAGUCAAUGCCAUCGGAAAAAACAGUUGCUGUAGAUUGGAUACUUCAAACAGUAACUGAACGAACAAGUAAAAAGACAGAAGAUCAAUGUUUUAAAAUUUAAAAAAGAAUUUGAAACUUUAAAUCUUCUUUUGGUAAUCACAAGAUGCAAUUUUUAUUCGUAACUACAGGGACUCACUGCUGUAAAAUGUUUGACUCAGUGCCAACACAUAAUUGACAAUCCGAUUUGAUCUUACAGUCUUCAAUAACUCAGUUUAAGCCGUUGAAUCAUAUUCAGUUACCAGAAAAUGGUUCUGCAAACAAAAACAAUAGUCAAUGAACAAGUAAAACAAAAAUGAGUAGGGAAAAGAAAAUAGAAACUUUAAAUCUUGUUUUAGUAAUUGAAAAUGUAUAUUAAGCAAAAGAGAUAAUGGACUCAGAGAAUAUACCAAAAAAAUAAAAUACAGGAUCAGCACAAAACUUACACAGGCAGAGAAAAGUGACAAAUGGCAAGGAAAGAACUGGAAAAAUCACACUGAAAAUUCUCGCAGCAAAGUGUAGCAAGAGAGGAAAUUGUGAGAGGUAGGAAAGGAAAUAAAUGGGAGAGAGAUGGAUAGCCGAGUACUUCUACUGGUAGUGGUGGCGGUGAGAACCACACAAUUUAGUGUCGGUGAUAGUGUCAGAUAGUGAAUUAUUUCUCUGACAAAGAAAAGUUAGUAUGAUUGUUUUACCUAAGUAGGAGUAAAAGAACCGAAAUUCUAGAGUGAAGUUAUGGUAAAUUAUUUAAGGGCUAAAACAUCUGGAGUAACUCAUACCCCCUAGUACCGUGAAAAUUUCAAACUAUUGGUAAUGGUCCAAAAAAUACAGAGAAGCUAUAAAUUAGAAAUUGUUAAACAAUUCGUAAUACUCACUCUCUUUUGUAUACAUGCUGUGUCAAGAGAGGAAAUAGUUUUGAUUAAUUUCACUUUCAAGUUUCGAGUUUUGGUCACACUAACCAACUGUUAAACGAUCUUUGUAUGAUUGCUUUGGUCCAUGCUUACUACCAAAAAACAUGAGCUCAACCAAUUUAAUCAAAUUAAACUACAAGUCCAUGGCAUCAUAUUGGUUUCAGUUUUGACUGAUUUGAAUGUUCAUCACAUUAGUAUAAAGAUAAACUUAGAUUAAAAGGAUGAAUAAAUACUAAUUUAGUGAGGAACCAUGUCCUCUCCGAAUCCCAAAAACUGAGUAUCUUGAGCAACAAUCAUAGGCCGUUGAAAUUUGAUCAAACGGCUAUAAACAGGGAUCCCUCUGAAAGUUAUAAUAAUUGUAGUUGUUUAAUCAAAUUUCAACGGUCCUGAUUUGUAGUCCAUGAUGCUCAGAUUUUGGGGAUCCGGUUCCAUUUAGUGAGAACAUCAGCGAUCAAACAUUGUGCAGCUCCAUCAGCCAACAUUUCUGAUCAAAACCGUGACACAAGCCAAGUAAGAAAACCAAUAAAAUGCCAACAGAAAAGGUUAUAUGUGGGAAAGCACAAUGAAUUACAUAAAAACAGGAACGCUAAAAUAACCGUGUAAUGAACCUAUUAUCAUGCCAUAAAAUUAAAAUACAAUGUGAGGUGGGGAUAAAUUUGAGCUACACUGUUGUAAAUCUCCUUGAAGCAACAAGGAAAUCUCCAUGCAAGAGCUAUCCACUUUCCAACACUCAUUCAAGAGGAAAAGCAAAAGGGAACUCGACAAGUAUUUUCCAUACGAAAAGUGGAAGACUGACUAUGAGAAUUUUCGGGAAGCUUCAUUUGGGACGUGUUACUUUUUCUCUUCUCACCAAAGUCAUGGAAUGCAAUAUUUUGAGUAAGUUCCCAACUUUCUUACGAGAAAAGAUAAUUCAUGAAUGAGUCAGUCUCAACUUUCUUAUGAGAAAAUAUAUUCAUAUCUCCUUGUGUUUUCAGAGCUGCUAAAGACACAUACCUCUCGUAUUUCUUCAUCCACUUUUCAAUACUCGUUCCAAAGUAUUUUCUACACAAAAAAAAAAAAGGGUAUUGCAAACAAAUCAGUAGUCAAUAAACAAGGAAAACAAAAAUGAACAGUGAAAAGAAAAUAGAAAAUUAAAAUCUUGCUUUGGUAAUUGAAAGUGUAUAUUAAGUAAAAGAGAUUAAGGACUCAUAGAAAAUACCAGAAAAAAAAAAAAAACAAGAUCAGCACAAACUUACAGAGACAAAGAGAAGUGACAAAGGACAAGGAAAGAAGCAAAACUGAAUUUUUUUGCAGAAAAAUUGUAGGAAGAAAGGAAAUUGAGAGAGGAGGAAAGGAAAUAAUGGGAGAGGGAUGGACAGUCGAGUACUUAUACUAGUAGUAGUGGUAGUAGGGACCACACGGUUCAGUGUGGGGUGACAGUGUCAGAUGAUGAAUUAUUUUGACUCAAGCCAAUUAAUCAGCAAAUAGAGAUAGAAGGGCAGCCUAUGCCUUUCGGUUCCUGAAAAACUGAGAAAGAAAGGGAAUAAAAAAGGAGCAGCAUUAUAAGGCAUUGGAUGCUUUUCUUUUGGUUCCCAUCACCAAAGAGAAAAAGAAAGGCAACCUAUGCCUUUCGGUUCCUAAAAGACUGUUAGGGUGCUGUUAGAAUGCCAAAUGGCAGCAUCUAAUUGUGACAGAUGUAGGGUUGUAAUAAAGGAAUUAGUUGAUGAGGUUGAGUUGUUAAGAUUGUUAGAAGUUGUUGGAGGGUAGCUUAAGGAGUAAGCUAGCAAGUGACUAUAAAUAGUAGUUGUAAUAAUUGAAGGAUGAUGUCAUAUUUCUCUUAAUAAUACUAUUUACGGUUUAAUUGUGAAGACGUAAAGUAGGUGUAUCGUAUCAUUAGUAUCAGUUCAGGGUAUCACCCUCAAACCGAUGGCCAAACUGAAGUGAUGAAUCGCUGUCUGGAAACUUAUCUCAGAUGUUUUUGCAGUUUGCAACCAAAGAAAUGGGCCUUGUGGUUAUCGUGGGCAGAAUGGAGUUUUAAUACCGGAUAUCAUACUGCUAUGAAGUUGACAACCUAUGAGAUUGUGUAUGGUCAAACCCCUCCACUUCUUCCAUCUUAUGAACCUGGUACCACAAAGGUAGAAUCUGUAGAGCAAUGUUUGUUGGAAAGGAAUCGGAUGUUGUCCCUCCUUAAAACCAAUCUGGAAGCAGCCCAGUGUCGAAUGAAGAUUCAGUAUGAUAAGAAGCACAAAGAAAGGAGUUUUGAAGUAGGUGAUUGGGUGUAUUUGCGCUUAGUACCUUAUUUGCAUAACUCCCUGGCUUCUCAUUCAUUCCAGAAGUUGCAGCCUCGCUUUUAUAGACCUUUUGAGAUUCUGGCAUGGAUUGGGACAGUGGCAUACAAACUGAAGUUACCUGACAGCUCUAAAUUACACCCAGUAUUUCAUAUCUCCUGCUUAAAGAAGCAUUUGGGUAGCCAAGUUACUCCCACAAUGCCCUUACCUGUCAUCAAUAAAGCUGGAAUUCUGCAGGACGUUCCAAUUGCAAUUUUGGAAAGGAGAAUGGUGAAGAAAGGACACGGAGCUGUCAUUGAAGUGUUGGUGUAGUGGCAAAAUCAUUCACCGGAGGAUGCUACUUGGGAGCCUUAUGCGGAAUUGAAGACUAAAUUCCCUGAAAUUGUUAAUUUCUGAUAUGCUCAUGUACUUGUUUCUGUUCUGUGUUAGUAGGUUUUCAAGGGGGGGUAUUGUUAGGGUGCUGUUAGAAUGCCAAAUGGCAGCAUCUAAUUGUGACAGAUGUAGGGUUGUGAUAAAGGAACUAGUUGAUGAGGUUGAGUUGUUAAGAUUGUUAGAAGUUGUUGGAGGUUAGCUUAAGGAGUAAGCUAGCAAGUGACUAUAAAUAGUAGUUGUUGUAAUAAUUGAAGGAUGAUGUCAUAUUUCUUUUAAUAAUACUAGUUACGGUUUAAUUGUGAAAACGUAAAGUAGGUGUAUCGUAUCAAAGACAGAGAAAGGAAAUGAAAAGAGAGUCAAUUACUCAUUCAAGACAUUGGUGUGUAUUUUACGCUUCUUCAAUUUAUUGGGCGUACGCGGAAUUGGAGGUUUAACAGUUAAAAUUAUAUUUGUAAUCUCUAUUUUAAUUAUCAUUAGAAUUUCUUUGUCGUCUCCUAGCUAGAUAUAAGCGUACACCAAAUUAGUAUAAAUCUUUGUGUCACACUAAAUUAUUUAUUUUGUCAAAAUUUUCCGUAUUAGUUUAUUGGUUUCAUAUUGGUUUCAUUUGAUUGAUUUGAAUGUUUUAUCACAUAGCUUCUAAAAAAAUAUGUUUCAUCAGAUAAGUAUAAUAAAUAUAAACUUCAAAGGAAGAAUAAAUACUAAUUUAGUGAGAACAUCGACGAUCAAACAUUGGCAUCCAGAUGGACACCCAUCCUAUCUACAAUGGAGGAAAUUUGAUGUCCACGUGUUCAACCUUCCUCAUGCAGGCCAUUACUCUUGGCUACUUGAAAUGUACUCUGAACUUAUUGAGUAAGUCACUAAUUAUUGGGUUCAAUUCGAUUUAAUGUUGAUUAGUAUAUAUAUGUAAAUAGAUUGUAAAUAUGUUGUGCAAAUAUGAGUAAAUAGAAUAGUAAACAUAAGUAAAUUUGUGUAAAUAGAGUGGCAAGCCCGAAAAUAGGAUUGUAAAUAUUGUUGUACAUAUGUGUAAAUAGAGUUGUAAAUAUGUGGAAAUAUAAUUGUAAAUCCGCUGCAUUACACGGCCACCUUUGCUUGUUAUCACUAUAAUAUAAAGCCACACUCAAGAUCAAUAAAACUUGCCCUAUUAUUAAUUAAUUAUAUAGAGUUAUAAAAAAAGGAUGGAAGACUAAGACCUGGUUUGGUACUAAGAUGAUUAUGAAAAAAGCUGGUAUCAAAAAAAGCUGGGAGCUGUUUUUGUGUUUGGUAAACAUUCAGCUUCAGCUUUUUUUCACAGUUUUGGGUGAAAAUAAGCCAAAAACAAGAAGCUGCAAAAUCCAAUUUUGAAAAACCGGCUUUUUUUCACAUCUAUUUUACAUAAAAAUUUACCAAACACUAUAAUACUGCUGUUUUUUUUUUCAAAAGCAUUUUUACAAAAAAAUUUACCAAACAUUCUACUGCUUUAUUUCACAGCACAGCAGAAACAACUUUUUUUCAAAGCACAGCAAUACCAAACCAGCCCUAACUCUGAUUUCCAAUAAUGGUUCCAAGGUGAAGGGGCAACUAUUUUCUGCAAAGUGGAAGACUGACUGAGAAAUUUUCAGGAAGCUUUCCCGUUGGGACGUUUAUCUUCCUUCACCUCUUCUCUUCUCCCCAAAGUGAUUGGAUGCAAGACUUGCGACUUCUCUGCAACUUCCCAACUUUCCCAUUUUUUAUAGAGGAAAAUAAUUAUGUCACCCAUUUUGAAACUUGAAUCUAGUUUUUUCACACGAGCCGUAGAGGGUAAUCCAACACAUAAGGCCAUUUUGGCAAUUGCACAAUAUUAGCCCCAAAAUUCAACAAAUCAGUUUCCAACCAAAACGCGUUUCGCAAAUCACAUCACAAUUAUCGAAUUAGAAACCUCUAUAAUCAAAAUGGAAUAAAAUUAAAUAAAUAAAAUAAAAAUGAAAUCAGCAUUUCUUGAACAUUAAAAUUCUGAAGUGGAAGUCUAGUGAUACUAAUAAUUUACAUAAGGAUUUAUUAGAACCUGACUAUUACAUAUGAACAGUCUAACAAUAACUUAUAGUUUUCAACUAUUGUACCAAUACCUUAGGUUUAUGGUUCAAUACCUACAAGAUUUAUAAAGGAGUGAGGGAAACCACAGUUUAGUAGGAAUAUAAACCUCAUCAAAACUUAUUUGACAACUACUUUUAGUUUUUAGUUUUUUUUAAAAAAUGAAAACUAAAAACUAGUUUCUUGAGCUUUCAAAAUUUGUAUUUUGACUUUUUAAUUUUAGUUUCUAAUAAACACCAUGACACAAGCCAACAAGUAACAAAACCAAUAAAAUGUCAACUGAAAGCGUUAUACUUAUAUGUGACAAAAGAACAAUGAAUUACAUGAAAUGAAAAUGUCAAAGUAGGCAUGUAAUCAACCUAUAUAAUCACGCCACAAAUUAAAGUACAAUGCGAGGUGGAGACAAAUUUGAGCCACACCGCGGUAAUCCGUGCAAUGUAAAUCUCUCUCAAAGAAGCAACAAGGAAAUCCUCAUGCAAGAGUUCUCCACUUUCGAAUAAUCGUUCAAGAGGAAAAACUAAAAGGACAAGUAUUUUCCACAAAAAAGGUGGAAGACCGACUAUGGAAAAUUUCCAGGAAACAAGAUUUUCGAGUAAGUUCUCAACUUUCUUCUGAGAAAAGAUAUUCAUGUCUUUUUUUUUCUUCUCUCUCUCUCUUCAGUGAUGCUAAAGCCAACUAGUUAUCUUAUUUCUUUAGCACUUUCCAAUACUCGUUCCAAAGUAUUUUCCACCAAAAAAAGUAGAAGACUAACUACGAGGAAAAUAUUUAUGUCAUCCACCAUGAAACUUCUAUAUAGGUUUUUUUUCACACAUAUGUUCGUGAGGUCCACUAACAAUGUUGAAGUCUUUGUGGAAUAUGCUGAGACUUCCCCUGUCAUUUAGACAAACCUUCUCACAGUUAUACUUUGCACUAAAUGUAUCACCCCCAGCAAUUAGCAAUAUCAAAUCUGAUAAAACCAGUCAAACAAAUGACAAGUCUUCAAUGCAAGCUGCAAUGUAAGAGUGGAGUUGAAAUGAUCCAUACAUCAAAGAAAAUGAUCAUUCAUAAGAAUCAUGAAACCUAGGCUAAGUUCCAUGGGCCCUUAAGGUCCCUCAUCAAAACUUAGAAUAAACACUGCAUUUGGAUGAUGGUAUUUAAAGUUCCAUGAAACCCGUGUUUGGGUGAGGACUAUCAAAGUACCAAGGAAAUUUGGACUUAAUUUAAAAAUGUACUACAUUAACACCAUCAUUAAGCUACUCAACACUACAAAUCUACUUCUAAAACUCUAGAAAUGCACUACAAGACACCAAACAAUGGGUUUCUAAAAUGACAUUUUGAACAUUUGAAAAUUCUAUCAAACGUAUUGCAUCUAGUCAUUUUCAAGUCCCUAUCUCAUUAUUGUAAAGAAUCCUAACAAAUUUAGCUUCAGUUCCAUGGACUUUUAAGGUCCCUCAUCCAAACAUAGGGUAAACACUGCAUGUGGAUGAUGGUCUUCAAAGUUCCACGAAACCUAGGCUACACCUUUUAGAAAUGCACUACAGAAAAGUAGAUAGAGGGAUUCAAAAUGACUAGAUGUAAGACAUUUGAUAGAACUUUCAAAUGACACCUUGAAAGUCUUUUGUUGCGUGUAUUUAAGCUACAUUGUAGUGUUAUAGUCGUAACUUUGUAGUGCUUUAGUAGUUCAUAAGUAGUGUUCUUGUAGUGCAUUUUUAACAAGUAAGUCUAAAGUUCAUUCCUCAUUCAAACAUAGAACAAAACACCCCUGACAACUUUUAUACAAAAACAUGUCAAGAGCUCAAUUGAAGGGGAAAAAAAAAAAAAAACCUUGUCAUUUGUCAUGCUCGAAUUGAUUCUUAAUUGUGAAAUCCUUCCUUCAUCAAAUCAAUUCGUUUUUUUUUUUAAUUAUUAUUUUUUAUUUAUUUUAUUUUUUUAACUAUAGGGUUUGAAGUGUUUUCCUCUAAAGAUCAAGUACCAUCAUUUUCCAGGAUAAUAUACUCACUGAAUUCGUUACUCUCUUAUAAGUUUCGGAAAAGAACCAAAUAGUUUCAAAAUGAAAGCGAAAAUAUGGUACAACACAUGCACACUGCAGAUAUGACAUGGUCAAAAUAUGGUACAACAUAUAUAGGAGUCUCUACUUCUUUACACAAUCAAAAUCAAUAAAAUUAACAUAAUGAACCAUUGUUGAAUGCCGUCGUCACUGAAACGCAGCAUAACAUAUGUCAAAUUUACUGCUUUCCCGGUAAAACCAACAUCUUUACGGCCACAAAACUUAAAGGAGGAGAACAAUCAAAAAAGUUCUAAAGCCAAAAGGUUUUUGCUUUGCCAAUGGCACAAACCAGAACACCCACUACUUCACUCUCAUAAACUUCACUCAAAAAACUUCGUUUUGCCCUAAAAUUUCAUAAUUCUACUCGCUCAAACACCCCACCAGACAGUUCCUACCAACUUGACCUAGGCCCAUUCAAGUCUAAUCAGCAUAUCCAAACUUUCAAACAGCAAAAUUAAAAAAUAAAACAAAAAUUACAAAAUUCAAUUGGAAAAAUUGCAAGGAAAUUGAACUGGGAAUUGGGCAAAGAAACAUACCAUUGUUCGUUAGUAGCUCAGGAGUCCGACAUGCAGUCGAAGCGCCUCAAUUUUCAGAGAAAUUGACUGCAAUGCGAGAGUUUUUAGGGGAAUUCAGAGCGAGAAUGUGAGGGAAUUACGGUUUGGAAGGAGCCAUCUUUCUCUCGGGCAAUCAAUGAAUCCAAAAUUGUGAGGAGAUCUUUAAUUUUUUUUGUCAACAAAUUGUCAGGAAAUCUGGGAAUCAGGCAGAACAACUCCGAAGAUAUAGGGAAAAUCUAAAAAAAGGUGAAAACAUUAAAAAAAACUGACUCAAAGUACUUUCCAUAUUUAAAUUCGGUAGAGGAAAUAAGAGAUAGUAUAUUUUGUGAAAAAAAUAGUGUGUGUGUGUGUAUAUAUAUAUAACAAAACAAAGGAAAAAGUGUGUAAGGCCAUCUCCAACCAAGAAAUCUAAAAUUUUUAGUCCAAAAAAUUUAAGUUUUAACUUAGAAAUAGUUUUUCUACUCUAACCCCUUUUGAGUUAAAUAUUUAGUCUCAAAUUAUUAAAAAAUGAAUUUAGACUAAUUUUUUAAAGUAACUUUAAAAAAAAUAUAUUUAGACUAUCCUAAUUUAAUUUUAUGAACAUUUUAACAAAAAAAUAUUUAGAUUCUGAUAAAUAUUGAAAAAUCAUUAAACCGACAUCAUGAAACACUAUGAAAGAAUAUAAAAUGCAUGAUAGAGGGUAGGACCCUGCCUCUUUACUGCCUCCGUGUGUUCAGGAGUGAGGCACAUCUCGCGUGAGGUGCUGGGCAAAGUUAGGCGAGUCCACGCGCAUUUGAGGGUGUCACGUCCCGAUCUCGACAUACGUCCGGAAUCGACACGUGACGUCAUCAAAUAACCACAUAUCUAACAUACCCGUCCCCGGGAUAUGUAUCAAGCACAUGCCAUGCCUCAAAUUGCAUAGAAUUUUUCGUAUACUUUAUGGUUGCAUCUAACCUCCUCGUUAGACUGCCUACGUACCCUCAUUUGGAAUCAAGCCAUUCAUAGUUCGCCAAUUUCACUACACUCGAAAAUUCAUCAAUUAAAUCGCUAUGUCUCAACAAUAAAUCACAAUGCAUAACUUGCAACAUUACAAUGGACAAACGACGGAGCACAAUCAUAUUCACUAGUCAUAAAGUUCAACGAGUCUAAUCAUAAUUACCAUAACCAACAUCAUUCCAUAAUCACAUCCAUCAAUAAUGCCAACCAUCAUAUCAUCAAUAACACAUACAACAUUUCAAAAUGGGGGCUACAGUGCCACAGCUCGGUCGAAGACUACAUUUCUGAAAAGGGAAUUUUGGACCACCCAAUGAAACCAAGGCACCAAAGGGAAUUCCGAACCAUCACUCAACAGAAUCCAAUCAGAACUCAGUUCCGGACUACUCAACAGACCUGAACGGAAGUCCAGGAAGCAUAACAACGGCUCGAAAGAAUAAGACAUGAUUCAAGUUACUCAAUUCACAAAGACUCAACGAAACGAAACAAUAUCAAGCAACAAAUCCCCAUCACAAUGGGUUAUCGGUCCAUUAAUAGACCCCACAUCUCCCAAACAAUUCAAUAUGCAUUUCAAUCACAUGUCACAACCAUUCCCAAUACACAAGUCAAAUCACAUUUCACUACAUCACACCAAUCUCUAUGCUUCCAACAUUAUAUCUCAAUUCAUAGCUUGUAACAUAUCAAGGAAUUACGAAGCACAAUAUUAAUAUUUAAUCACGUUAAUCAAUCAGUGAGAUAGCAUAUCAUGUCACGAAUUUAAUUAAGGAACUCUACAUAAUUCCCUACUUGGGUUAUGAAUAAUAACAUGGUAAUUCUAAUUUGUAUUCACAAGAUCCAUCGUGGGUAAUUCCCGUUCACACGAAUCUAGGAUUCUAAGAUAACCUUAUGGAAAUGAGCAAGAGCAAGGAUUAUGGACUACCUAACGAAAUCAAAAUAUCAAACGGUUUCUCAUAAUUUACCCAAACCUGUCGCAUGUGAAAUAAGUGCCUACAUCAUGGAAAUGGUGCAUCGAGCAACCAACAACCCGGAUAAGCUGCGAAGCUCGUGUAAGCAACAAUAAUACAAAGUAUGUAAUAAUAAUGAUGAAACUACCCAUCAAUCACAGUUUAUAAACUUUGAAUAUAAAUCAUUCAUAAGAAAUUAAUACCAAUCCUUUGCAAACUCCGAAGGAGUCACAUAGACAUCCAACGACUUUUCUAAAUCAAACUCAAAGUUCUCGAAGCCAAAAUUCACGGACACACUCAAAACUAGAGCUAGAUAGACGUCGUUCGGCCGAAGCCUAUGCAAGUAACCAAAUAGGAAGUGGCCCCCCAACACGGAUUAACCAAGCAAGGUCAAGAUAACUAACCAAGCAGGGUCAUCGAUGUACCAAUGCUACAUGGUGCUAUCAAACUAACACACAACUUACCUCCUACCUCCACACUUAUGAUUUACAACAUGAGCACAUACACCAUCCAUUUUUGUAUUUCCCAUCUAGGUUCCAAAGCAUUGUCUCGAAUUAUUACUACAAGCAUCCAUCACCUCGAUCAACUCCUAUUCUCAAGUAUAUGCAAUUACUAAAUGCAUCACUUCCGACUCUAAUCUUAAUUAGAUUACUUGGAACUACUAAUUCACACUAUGAGAUCCAAGUACUAUUUUGGUUAACUUGAAUUAACAUGAUCAAAAUAAAUGUAACAUUUGAAUGAAAACACUCAAGAGAAAACAAGUGAAGAUGCUACUUACCAAUAUAGAUGUACAUGUAUAUAAUGCCUUGGCAGUUGGUGCAUUUAUAUAUCCAGGGAUAUAAGCAAGUUCCUUUGAAUAUGCAUACAUAGAUAUAUGUAUACGGUAAAUAAGGAAACAAAUUCAUCCCUUCAUUAAUUUAUACAUACAUAUACGGAUUCGUUCAACUUCAGACACAAGCAGAAAUGUCUGAUAAUGCUAAACCAAUGAGAAGGAAUCAAUAUGCUCAUCAACAAUAGCUAUUCACUGUCAUCACAAGGAUAAAAUCUGGACCACGUCUGACUAAAAGUAUAUUAACAACUCUAGCAAAAUUGUACCAAAUAUGAAGAGAAACAAUUUCACAUUAUAGGACAAUAUAAUUAUCGAUUCCCCAUCAUCAACAUUACAUUAAUGCAUUCACUAACUUUAAAGCAACAAAUGCAACAUGAUAAAUGGGUAAUUUUCAAAUAAGACUAUACAUACAUAAUGUUAACCAUCAGCAUUUCAUAAAUCAGAUGUCACACACUGGGAAUUUUGACUUUUUCCAAAAAUUCUCAAAUUUUACAGGAAUAAAGAUCUCAGCAAGUAGAGUAAACUUUAUACUUGUGGCCAAGUCCAAUUUGUCCAGGAAGGCCCUCAGAUUGGCUCGCACCCAACAAAACCCUAAGGUGGGUGUUCUUCAAUUCGGCUUCCUUGGUAUUCCAACGCCCCUACAACUGAUUGGGUCUUGUUCUUAGGUCCAAAAGAAGUUGAUUAAGGGUGGUGAGACUUGCCGGAACGGUGGAAUCGCCGUCAAAACUCUAUGGUUAACCCGCACGGUUUUUGGACCUAAAAACCCUCAAUUUUGGGUGGGAAUGGAAUAUGGGAGAUGGUAGAAGAGGUUGCAGGUGAGAGAUAGUUGAACUUCGCCUAAAAAAAUUGUGGAAGUGGCCGGAAGCCACUCCGGGUUGGUGUGGAUAAAGGUCCACGGUUGGACCUUCUCUUCUUCCUUUUCUCUCGCCACUCCGUGGCUUUCUUUCUUUUUCCCCCUUUAUUUUUCAACCACUCCCGUGGCUUUCUUUCUCUCUCUCUUUUUUUUUUUUUUUUUUGCAACAACUUCAAACGUCCGUAACUAUAUCGUUAUAACUCGGACUCGCAAACGGCUUUCGCCUAUGCGUUCGUGGCUUUGAGACCUAUUCGAAAACGUUACUUGUGACCUCAAAAGGUCAAAGAAUUUUAAAUAAUUAUUUUCCAAACUUCACUCUUCGUAACUAGUUUAAUUAAAAUCUAAAUCCAAACAAUUUACAAUAAAUUCUCGAGAAAUAAUAUAAAAUCUCAAUAGUACAAAUACGAAGAUUAUAACAGUGAAAUCCAGGAACGGGAUUUCACAGAGAGUCCCCCCACUAACCCUGCCUACUUUUCUAGCUAGUAUUUAGCCCAAUUUUAGCUUCUAACUCAUAACCUCAAAUUGACACAAAGGUUGGAAGGAAAUUAGGGGCAAUAGAAGACAAAUUUUAAGACUUACUCCGAGCGUUGGAGUUAGUCUAAGAACAUUUCGAAGUUAAGCUAUACAUAUAAAAUUUAAAUUUGUUAGCAUAUAUCAGACUUUAAUUUUUGAAAAUUUGUUACCUAGUUAAAUUAAAUUACUAUUUAUUAAAUUAUUUAUUUCUAUAAUUGUAAAGUAAACAUAAUAAUAAUGAUUAACCAAUUAAAACUAGAUUUGAAAUUGCUGUCAAAUUUAAUUUGACAAUCCUCCUAUUCCGACGUAAAACAUUUCACUUAUAGAUAAAAUAAAUAUUAUUGGACCGUGUAAUUAAAUAAAUAAACGAAAAAAGAUGGACAUGAUUGUGCUAUUCACACACUAUUUCAUUUUUAACUCACUUAUUUUUUAUUUUUACUUCUAACACACGUCUCUUAAUUUUUCACAUUUGUAUCGAAUGAAUUGAAGAAAGGUAAUAAACAAAUAUUAGUGAAAUGUGUGUGAGACGAAAAUAAUGUGGGAAUAGUGUAACCCUAUGUAUCGUGUUUUCGUUGAGAAUUGAACUCACAUCCUCCGCAAGAAGCAAUGGGAGCUUUGAACUAACUUUCAAAAGGCCGAAAUUACACCCAGAUAAUUUGCAAAUUACAACACUACCCUAACUUGACUCUCUUUGGUUUAUUGGUGCAAACUAGAUUUUGCUCUGUUCCUCUCCUGGCGACAAGUUGUUGCCGCCAAAGCUCUGUGCUUCCAAAGGCCGCCAACAAUCCGUCGCACCUACUCCCAUCAGGUUUGCCCACUCUUUUCCCCUUUUCUACUUUCCCGUAUUUUCUCGAGAAAAUUAAUUGGAAAAUUAGAGGUUUUAUUCCUGGCAGAGUUGAUCGACCGGUGCAUAGGGUCGAAGAUAUGGGUGAUAAUGAAAGGAGACAAGGAGCUGGUAGGGCUCUAAGGGGUUUCGAUGUUUACGUCAACAGGUGUUAUGAACUGGUUGUGAUUGCCUUAAUCACAAAGAGGCUUUAGCUAAUAACAGUAAGGGCUAAAUUGUAAGGUAGUUAAGGGUAAUUGUAAGGAGUUAAGCAUGGGGGGUUCUAUUGUAACGAUCCAAGAGUUAUUAGAGGUUUUAGAAAUUACUAAUAGUAGUGUCCAGGUGGCAUUCUUGUAUUGGGGAUUAUGCAGCAUGAGGGAUAUACAUGCUCCCAAGUUGAUUGUAACAAGCAGAUUUGGAAAUUAAUAGAAUAUUCCUUUGCUCCCUUUCUCUUUGUCCUCUCGCCAUUUCCAUACUACCUAGCUACUGGUGAGAUUGAUUCUCCGGCACCGGUGUGGUCUUAACAUUGGUAUCUCCCUCCGAUCCUGGAUUUUCUCUUCCGUGUAUGCCCCGUCCUAAACCAAACACUCGUUUCAACACCAUGGAUGCUCGAUUUGCCGCUUUCGAAGUUGAAUUUCCCUCCCUCAUUCGUGAGGCGGUGAAAUCCGCUAUGGAUGAUCAAUUCUCCUCUUGGCUUGACGCACGUCUUCCUGCAUAUUUUGAGCAGUUCCGUCGUGAGCUCCACCAUGACUUGCCCGGUCGUCGGGAGGGUGAAGGGUCCUUUCACCCACCCCCUUCCGAAUUCCUUGCUCAUCUAGAUCUGGCACAACUUCAGCCACCUUACAGUCCUUGGCAAUAGCGGCUCGAAUUCCCCCAUUUCAUUUAAGGCGACGAUCUCAUUGCUUGGAUCUACAAAGCGGAGUAGUUUUUUAUCUUCUACAAGAUCUCGGACGCUCACCGUGUUCACACUGCUUCCUUCCAUUUUGAAGGGGAGCUUUUUCACUGGUUUCGCUAAAUGGACUGUACUAACACCACACCCACUUGGCCGGAGUUUACCCAAGCUCUUUGUCGCGAGUUUGGACCCUCUGAAUUUGAUGACAGUGCCGAGGCUCUCUUCAAACUUCGACACACAGGUACUGUUCGUGAUUACAUCGUCAAAUUUCGCCGUUUGGCUACUCGAUCACCGGAGAUUAGUCAUCUUUUAUUACGUAGUUGCUUUCUCGGGGGCUUAAAAAAGGAACUGCGCUACGAUGUUAAAUUGUUGAAACCUGCAACUGUGUAUGAGGCUAUUGCCAUUGCAGUGCAACUCGAUUCAAAACUCACUGAGCUGAAAUUACCUCUGCCUCGGCCUUCUACAUAUUCUAAACCCUCAUCUACCCCCGUCACCCCUUUUUCCCAUACUAUGCCUAAAACUAACAACCUUGCUAUUAAGAAAUUGACUCCUGCUGAGAUUCAAAGGAAGAGGGAACGUGGUGAAUGUUGGUUCUGCAAUGACAAGUGGGUCCCUGGGCAUAUCUGAUUCCGAAGUUUCAGAAGAAGAUAUCUGGGCGGAUCAACCUGAAUUUCAAAACAUGGAGCUCAGUGAAUGUGCGUUUUAUGGCACAAAUUGCGGUCCUACAGCUCACAAGUUAAUGGCCACACCGUGAAGAUCUUACUCGAUUCGGGUAGUUCUCACAACUUUGUUAAUUCCAAACUAUUAAAAUAAUGUGGAUGGAAAGCUCACACCACCAGGUCUUUUGAAGUCAUGAUCGUAGAUGGGGGAAAUAUUACAAGUUCUGGUUGUUGCAAGGCUAUGGAGUUGACUUUAGCAGGGUAUCAUUGUUCUAUAGAUUUGUAUUCCCUGCCACUAGGUGGUUGUGAUGUGGUUUUGGGGGUGCAGUAGCUUUCCACCGUAAGUUCUGUGUUAUGGGAUUUCCAGCUCCUUACUAUGGAGUUCACCAAAAACCACCAUACUUAUAAGUUGUCCCAUCAUUCCUCCAAUGCCUCAAGCAUUCAAGAAGUCUCAUUGCAUCAGCUUCAAAAAGAGUUAACUAAUUCUAAUUUGGGGUUGUUCUUGUACUCCAUGGAAAAUGAGAAGUUAGAAUCCUGUGAAUUGAGUUCAGUUCAAUUGUAAGAAUUGCAGCACCUAUUGCAUGACUUCGAGUCUAUUUUUGCCGUGCCUACUCAGCUACCUCCACAACGAAACCAUGAUCAUCACAUUCCUUUCCUACAAGGGGCAAAACCACCAAGCAUUCGACCAUACCACUACGGACCAUUGCAAAAAACCGAAAUCGAAAAGGCAGUUCAAGAGCUACUCGAGGACGGUUUCAUAAGGCAAAGCCAUAGUCCAUUCUCUUUUCCUGUGCUCUUAGUGAAUAAGAAGGAUGGCACUUGGCGAAUAUGCAUUGACUAUAGGGAGCUCAAUGCCCUCACUAUUAAGGACAAGUACCCCAUACCCUUUAUUGAUGAUCUAUUGGAUGAACUGCAUGGAUCCCUCUAUUUCUCUAAGUUGGACUUGCGCUCUGGAUAUCACCAGAUAUUAAUGCAACCUGGAGACAUUGAAAAAACUGCAUUUAGGACUCAUGAGGGCCACUAUGAGUUCCUAGUAAUGCCUUUUGGGCUUACAAAUGCUCCUGCUACAUUUCAAAGUUUGAUGAACGAUGUGUUUAAGCCUCAUUUGAGGAAAUUUGUGUUAGUCUUCUUUGAUGACAUCCUCAUUUAUAGUAAGACCUGGGAGGCUCAUUUGGCUCACUUGAAAGCGGUGUUUGAGCUUUUACAGGUCAAUAAACUCUUUCUCAAGAAAUCCAAAUGUUCAUUUGGACAAAAUAGGGUGGAAUAUUUAGGACAUGUUGUAUCUCAAGCAGGAGUGGCACCUGACCCUGGAAAAAUCCACGUUAUACAAAACUGGCCUACACCAAAAACUAUCAAGGACUUGAGGGGCUUCUUGGGUUUAACAAGCUACUAUAGAAAGUUUAUCCCGGGCUAUGGCAAAAUUUGCCAGCCUUUAUAUCGGUUGACAAAGAAGGAUGGGUUCCAUUGGACUGCAGAAACUCAGCAAGCCUUUGACAAGCUUAAGGUCGCCAUGAUUUCUCCCCAAGUUUUAGCUUUACCAAAUUUUUCGAAACCAUUUGAAGUGGAAUGUGAUGCUUUUGGUUGUGGUAUUGGAGCUGUGUUGCAACAAGGUGGACGGCCUAUUGCUUUUUCCAGCCAAUCACUUGGUCCAAGGAAUCAAGCACUCUCCACUUAUGAGAGAGAGUUGAUUGUCGUGGUCUCUGCAGUGAAGAAAUGGCAGAAUUAUUUGCAGGGAAGGCAUUUCAUAAUCAAGACUAAUCAUAACAGUCUUAAAUACUUCCUGCAUCAACGAGUUCACACUACAUUUCAACAGAAAUGGGUUUCUAAGUUACUGGGGGUAUGAUUAUGAGAUCCAAUUCAAAAGUGGAUCCCAAAAUGCAGCUGCCGAUUCAUUGUCUCGAUUACAUGGAGUGACUCAAUUACAUGAACCUGCUCCUCGAUUCAUGGGGGAAUGCAAUGCCAUUUCUUACCCUUACAAUGGUUGGAUAGAUGACUUGAGAAGCAGCACUGAAUGACAUGAGUGGAUUGUAGCAAAGAAAAAAGAAGUGAUUGAAUCUGCAAUGAAUGGCACAUGAGGAUCUACUUUGGGAAAGUACACUGUCGAUAAUGGUUUGUUGCUUUACAAGAAGAGGGUGGUGUUAAGCCCUCACUCUAAGUGGAGAAGGAAGAUCCUAGAAGAGCACCACUGUACUCCAUCUGCUAGUCAUCAAGGGGUGCUAAAAACAUACUACAGGGUCAAGAAGAGCUUCUAUUGGCAAGGAAUGAAGAAAGAUAUUCAGAACUAUGUAGCAAAUUGUCAAGUGUGCCAACAAAACAAAGUGGAAACCAUUACCCCACCAGGAUUGCUGCAACCUUUGCCAAUUCCUCAAAGAAUUUGGACAGACAUCAACAUGGAUUUCAUAGUGGGGUUACCUCUAUGCAAGGGUAGAUUGGUGAUAUUAAUGGUAGUUGACAGAUUAUCCAAGAGUGCUCAUUUCAUAGCUAUGGCUCAUCCUUACACUACAAUCACAGUAGCACAGGCCUUUGCUGAUAAUGUCCUAAAACUACAUGGUGUACCAAGUUCAGUGGUCAGUGAUAGAGAUCCCAUCUUUGUAAGUGCUUUUUGGAGGGAAUUGUUCAAACUACAGGGGUCAAAACUGUGUAUGAGCUCGGACUACCAUCCCCAAAGCGAUGGGCAAACGGAAGUGAUGAACAGGUGCCUUGAAACCUAUUUGAGAUGUUUUGUUGGAGGACAACCAAGGAGAUGGGUUCAGUGGCUUUCGUGGGCUGAAUGGUGUCAACACUUCUUACCAUUCAUCAGCCAAGUUCACACCCUUUGAGUUAGUCUACGGCUACCCACCACCCCAAAUUCUACCCUAUGAAUUUGGUACUGCAAGGGUGGAAACAGUGGAACAAAGCCUCUUGGAAAGGGAUGAGGUCUUAUCUAUCUUAAAAAACAACCUAGAGAUGGCUCAAAAUCGCAUGAAGGUGCAGCAUGAUAAAAAGAGAACUGAAAGGCAAUUUGAAGUGGGAGAUUUCGUGUAUCUGAAGUUAGUUCCUUAUCAGUUGCAGGCUCUAUCCCCUCACAAUUACCAUAAGCUUCAACCAAGGUACUAUGGGCCUUAUGAGAUUUGUGAGAAGAUUGGUAAGGUAGCCUAUAAACUGAAUCUGCCAUCUAACAAGAAAAUCCACCCUGUAUUCCAUGUGAGUCAUUUGAAGAAACAAUUAGGGAGUAAUGUGAUGCCUCAUAAUGUCCUCCUCAGGUGGUCGAAGAUGGGUUAACAGGAAACACACCAGUAGCAGUGUUGGGAAGAAGAAUUUAUAAGAAAGGCAAUAUUGCAGGGGUCUAGUUGUUAGUGAAGUGGCAGGAUCAAGAGGAAUCGGAGGCUACUUGGGAAGAUUUUGAUGAGUUCAAGGCUAAAUACCCUACAUUUCAACUCUGAGCAAACCUUGAGGACAAGGUUUUAUAUGGGGAAGGUAUUGUUAUGAACUAGUUGUGAUUGCCUUAAUCACAAAGAGGUUUUAGCUAAUAACAGUAAGGGCUAAAUUGUAAGGUAGUUAAGGGUAAUUGUAAGGAGUUAAGUAUGGAGGGUUCAAUUGUAACGAGCCAAGAGUUAUUAGAGGUUUUAGAAAUUACUAAUAGUAGUGUCCAGGUGGCAUUCUUGUAUUGGGAUUAUGCAGCAUGAGGGAUGUACGUGCUCCCGAGUUGACUGUAACAGGCAGAUUUGGAAAUUAAUAGAAUAUUCCUUUGCUCCCUUUCUCUUUGUCCUCUCGCCAUUUCCAUACUACCUAGCUACCGGUGAGAUUGAUUCUCCGGCACCGGUGUGGUCUUAACAACAGGAUCCUCGAAGACGUCACUGAAUAGUAUGAUUCACUCUCUCAGUUCUUGUUGCAUACUGUAGCCCGAAACCCUAGCAUUUGGGGUUUUUUUUUUACUCUAUUUCAAUACAAAGUGUGAAUCUUUAUGUUUGUGAAUGCUUCAACUUUUAGAUUGAGUAAUGGGAAACUUAUAUAAAGAAGAAGACAGUUGGAAGUUAGCUAAUCAGAAUUGUCUUUGUUAGUAUUUCAGUUAGAAAAUUGAUCAGGGAAAACAGUUUAUUGGAGAAGUUCGUAUCGAUCUCUUACAAGUUAUAGUCAGUACGAUUCAUCCAACUUCACUAAUCUCUUAUUAUGAUGUCAUGCCCAAAAACUCGUACAUUUUAAUCCCGAUUGAGGCAGGAUAGCCACUAGAACUUCCUAUCCCAGUUAUAUAUAUUGGGAAUUUUAAGGUGUUGAUUUCUAAAGGUUUGGAUUAGGAUUGGUGCUAAAGCACAUUUUAUAUUAUUGUGUUCAACUUUGUUUGUAUGUUUGGGUUUCACUUAAAUACUUGGAGUUGGGUUUUAGUAGACUGGUAUAGCUGGCAUAGUUAAGAAGUAGUUUAAGCUUAUAGUCUUUGGGGCAUUUCUUAACUAAACAUUGAUUUGAUUAAAAGUUGUUUUCAUAAGGAGAUAAACUACUAAGCAUUGCAUCUAUGCUAAGAAUUGAUUUUGCAUUGACGCAUUGAUGUGUUAAAUGGUUAACGUAAUUGUACUCCAAGAAAACAAGCGUUAAAUACCUUUUUGCAUCUUGCAUGUUUUGCAGUAGUCAUGUGAAAGAACCUGCAGUGCCUUGGGAUGAGAAUAGCUAAGAAAUUCGACUGGAAUAUCUCUGUUAUACAGAGUUUGUAAAAGUAAUUUAGACAUUCUUAGUUUAUACAAGUCACUCACUUCGUGCAUUGACUCUAUUUACUAUAUGGUUUACCCACUAAUUAUCAUCUAUAAUACCUACAUCACAUUGAAGGUCUUUUGCUAUUUUGUUUUAAAUGUCUACCGUUCUGUUUGUACUGCAAAGAUAUUACUCCUGAAGGAAGAUGUAUAACCAAGCUUGAUCAGAUUUUACUUAACGGAAACCAUAUUGCCAUUGUAAGUGGUUGGUUUUCAUUUUCCUGGAUGAAAUAAUUGAAAUUCCAAUCAAUAUGCAUGUGAUUUGUAGAUUUGUCAAGUAAUGUUCAUUCAGGUAUUUCCGGAAUAUGUUUAUUCAGGUAUUCCAACUGUUAAAACUGAUGUUUACAGCUUUGGUGUGGUGGUGUGGUGGUGUUAGAGGUGGCGAUGGAGAGAAAGCUGGUGGAGGAUGAUGGAACAGUGGUGGUUGAUUGGGUUUGGAGCAUGUGGGAAAAGGGGAAACUGAUCAAAGCUGCUGCUCUGAGGUUGAUGGGGAAGUUUGAUACGGUAGAGAUGGAGAGGAUGCUGAUGACUGGACUUGCUUGUGUGCACCCAAACCAUGCGAAGAGGCCAACAGUGGAGGAGGCUGCAAGGAUUCGUAAAGGCGAAACGCCUCUUCCUCUGCUGCCACCAAGAAAACCAAGGGUAAGCCUUCGCCCUGUGUUUCCUGAUGACUCUGAAGAAAUCACGUUUUGCUGUGGUGUUCGGCCAAGUAUUAAACAUGACAAUAUACAAUAUUUGACUCGGAAGAGCCACUUUGGCAAGGAUUAGUUGCUCGUAAUAGAUCAAGUAACCUCAAAUUUAAGAGUAGGAUUUCAGUGCAGUUUGUAACAGAGAAAUUAGGAGCUUUUUGUUGACUGGGGAUCUUGAGGAAUACUUCAGUUACUUCAGUUAAUUUGUAGAUUUUGUAAUCUGAAAUUGUGUUUGAUGUCAUAGAGAAGUGAAAUGCUGAAAUUGUGUUUGAUGUCGUGGAGAAAUGAAAUGCUCAAGAGUGUUUAACGGACAACUUUUCCUAAGCAUUUUGUUAUUAUAGCUAAUGGACUUAUUAAUUCAAAUUAUAUCAUAUUAUAUCUAGGUUUUUUAUAUUAGCACCCCACAAAAUGUUGAAUGCACCCCAUAUUAAAAUUUAAUAUUAAUGACUUAUUUACUUUACUAUGCAAUGACAAUUUUGACCUUAUUAUGUUUAAAAAAUAAUAAAAAAAAUAACUUUUAACGCAUUAUUUAUCUACUUCAACUCUCAAAACUCCUCACACCCUCUAUUGUUGAAUAAAACCCUAAGUAAUGAAACUACAAACAUAUUGAUUAAGCAAUGAAACUACAAACAUGUUGAUUAAGAAAAAUUAUUUUUGACGAAUAGAACACGAAAUCGGUGUUUCGAAAGCUUUAAAAUCAUUAUUGUUGAUAUUGAAAAAACAUUCAAAUGAACCUAAACAUUUUUUUCAAAUCAUUCAAUUUGAAAUCAUUCGGCAAAAUAAAGUUUAGAUGGUUUGAAAUCAUUCGGCAAAAUUAAAAAUGACUGUUAUAAGAUUUGAGAAAUGUGGGGUGUAAAAAAAAUGUGGGGUGUGUAUAGAAAAUGUAAGGUGUAUAUUAAGAAUGUGGGGUGUGAGGGUAUUAUAGGGAAGGAAAUGGGAUGUAUUAAGAUAAUUUUUAAUUGAAAAAUAAAUGUGAGGUGUAUUAAGUAUGUGGGGUUUAUUCAACAAUUUGUAGGGUGCUAAUAUAAUAAGCCUAUAUCUAAUCUUAAAUCUCUAAUAUUAGAAAGCCACAAGCAUGCUUUGGUGUCUUAAGGCUUCACCAAAAAGUUUUGGACAAAAACACUCCUCAAACAAAUUUUUUUAACUCCACUGAUUUACUAUUAGGAAUAUGGAUAAUCUCUAAUAUUAGAAAGCCACAAGCACGCUUUGGUGUCUCAAGGCUUCACCAAAAAUUUUGGACAAAAAAACCCCUCAAACAAAAAAAUUUAACUCCACUGAUGUACUGUUAGGAAUAUGGAUAAAGGAUAGAAUUGUCCAAAUGAAAAUAUGCAGAAAACCAGUAAAUUAAAAAGAAAAUACGGAAACACAAACGUGAACGUGAAGGAAACCCCUUAAACCCAUAUAACUGCUGCAUACGCACUCAUUUAACUGCAAAUGAAAUUAAAAACCUCGGAUAUCGUUGGAGAGAAGAAGGAUCAUAAGCAAGAUGGAUGAUGAUCUUAUUCAUCGACGACGGCUGGAGAUGCGGGCAAGCUGUCGUUAGUUUCGAGGAGUUUCAAGUUCGCCCUAAAUCGGACGUUGGUCAAAACAAUUUCUUUGUGCUUAUGCAAGUUUUUCUUAUAUAUACACGAGGUUUUCGACUCACUUUAUUUGUUGCAAUCUUUCUUGGUAAGCCAUUUGAUUCUCGACCCAGUUGCUAAGCCAUUUGAUUCACAUGUUUGAUUUUUUUGGUUUAUCUCUCUAUUUUUCAAGUUUUCUCCAUCUAUUCGUUCUCGAUUAUCCAAAGAGUCAAUUCCUUGCUCUUUCCUUCUUUAAUAUGGCAGAUGGGUUUUUCAAUCUCAACCCAGGCUAGAGCGUCCGUGUGUAAAGAGAAAAGGCAAAGGGGGUCUGGCAUUUGGGCGACGACCAUUGAGUUUCUGCUACUGCUACUGCUGCUGCUCCAAAAAUAGAUUUCACAAGUACAUAUAAAUACCCCUUCUUUCCAUCGUCUUAGCUUCUGGAUUCUUUUGGAUGUGGGUUUUUUGCUUUUUGAUUUACUGUGGGUCAUUGUUUUGUACUUUAAGCUUAAUUUGUUGUACUGUAUGGCUUAAAGCAAAAUGCUCAAAUGUUGAUUAUCAUAUUCUGCUAAUUUAGCUUAAUAUAUAUGUAGUUGAGUUGCUGCUUGAGUAUUCAUUAAAGUAAGAAAAGUAGCGGUGCUAUAGUGGAAGAAGAGGGAAGAGAAACAAUUGAGUCUAUCCUUUUUCUGUUUUUGGUAACAUAGUUUCAUCACUUUUCAUUUUUCCUCAUCUCCAUGAUUUUGUUUUUAAUUAAUUUAUUCUAAAUGUUCAGUUUUUGGAUAAUUACAGUGGAUGGAAAUGCAAGGCAAAAUUACACCCUUUAGGAUUUACACAACUUGGGGCGUUAUCCCAAGCUCAAAAUAUGUCUGCUUUGAGUUCUUACAGUGAUGCACUGUGAAAUUCCGUCCCCGAAUUUCACUAUUUCAAGGUACAUAUUUUCGUAUUAUUAAUUGCAACGCAUUUAUAUGUACAACGCAUGUUUUUUUGUACGAAAAGCCCCUCGAUCGCAUAUUGUUGGAAAAUAAUAAUAAUAAUAUUAUUAUUAUUAAUGUUAAGAAAUUGAGCUACCAAAUGGCAGCUAAAGAAAGAAAGAAAAAAAAAGGGGAACCAAUCAGAAAGGAGGAGGGGGGUCGGAUUGAGCAAGGGAGAGAAGAGAGGAGAGUUUCAGGAGGGAAAAAAGGAGAGAGGUGGCCGAAUGGGGAGAGGAGAGAGGAAGGAUGGUAACCAAUGGAGAGUGAAAGCAAGGAGGAAAGGGAGAGAAGGGAGGAACACAGGAUCCUGAAGGAUCCGGUUCUAACCCGUCGGCCAAACCGGGUUGGUAAGCCAAUUCCGGCGAUUUUUCACCCCUUUUUCCGAAAAAUUGGGAAGAGCCACCACACCAAAUCAUUAUCGUGACCCUUCCUCUACCAUUCCCACACAAAAUUCGGGGAGCUUAGGUUCGAAAUUGUGGAUAUUAGCACCGGUGGGUGCGACAGGAUUCGGGGCGACAAUCUUCGGAAUCCCUUCUAUUAUGUGAUUAUGUUGAGUGAUGGUCCGAAAUUCCUUUUUACUUCUCGUGGCCGCCAACUAAUAUGUCACACAAUCAUAUAAAUUCUACAGAACACUUCUAAUAGGAAUAUAUGAUCACAUUCACCACAUUUAUCGGACUUACCUUUCACAUUACUAAAAGAUAAUUAAACGCACAUAUAUCACAAUCAUCACCCGUACACAAGCCAAUUCAUGUUUAAUAAACAUAAGUCUAUGGCUAAUUAUAUAUAUAUAAAUCAUAUGUCAAUAGAAAUCCUAUUUAUAAAAACCAAUUCAUAUUCACAAUUAAUACCAAUAUAAGAAAUUAAGAUAAUAAACAAUAUCACAAGUAUUCAAGUCACUCUCCAACCAAUGUAGUCCCACUAGACUUCACUUAAGUCUCUCAUAGUACUAAUUUUAGUAAUUAGGACGCUUCAUGACAUGUUGACCAAAAGUCAACUCUCGAUCAACAGUAUGGUCCCUCAAACUUACGUAAUUUGAUUUAGAAGAUCUGCACCUCAGGUUUCUUAUCCGUAAAUUUUCAAAGUCCACAUUAUGCUCAAAUAACAACAUACUAAAAUCUCAACACGAUCCGACGGUCGGAUCUCCGCCAAUUUCAAAAUUCAAGUGACGAUCGACAUUUAAUUUUACAAACUUAGAAAUCCAAUUAGGCAAGAUCUGUACGUCGGAUUCUUGAUCCGUAAGUUUCUAUGAUCCAAAAAUAUUAUGUUCUAUCACACAUUAAGGUUUGGUGAUGAUCCAACGGUCGGAUCGUCGAAUCAUAUUUUUGACCUAACCACGUAUCGAAAUGGAAUUAAGUUCAAACAAUCAAACCAUAUCACAAGGAUAUCAAUUAUGUAAACGAGGGCAUAUAAUUGAGUGAUGGUCCAUAAUCUUAUCUUGGUUUGGAUUCCGUUGAGUGAUGGUCCGGAAUCCCUCCUACUCCGUGAUUCCGUUAAGUGAUGGUCCAAAAUCGUAUUCCAAUUUGGAUUUCGUUGAGUGAUGGUCCGGAAUCCCCUUUGGUGUCUUGGUUCCGUUGAGAGGUCCGAAACCCAUUGAUGAUGGAUUUCGUUGAAUGGUUCGAAAUCGUAUCAUUUGAGACAGUUUCAGAGAUGUAGGCUUCGGCCGAACUGUGUCGUUCUAGCCCUGCAGUUCGAUGAAUUGUAUGUGUUAUUGAUGAUAUGGUGAUUGGCAUCAUUGAUUGAUGUGACAAUUGGGUGGUGUUGGAAUGCAUAUGUGUGGACGAGUGAUGAUAUGAAUAUGGAUUAAUAUUGUGCCUUGUUAAAUGCUCCUUGAGGUGCUACCUAAUUGAAUUGUGGUAUUAUGUUGAGAUACAAUGGUUUAUGUGAUGAAUGUUCAAGUGUAGCGAAAUGACGAACUACAAAUGGCUUGAUCCCUAAUAAGGGUAUGUAGGCAGUCUAACGAAGAUGUUAGAUGCAGCCAUAAAGUAUACGGAAAAAUGACUAUGCGAUUCGAUUCUUGAGAUGUGAUUUGCCAUAUUCUGGAGAUGGGGUAUGUUGAGAUACGGGUAUUUGGUAACAUCACGUGUCGAUCCUGGAUGUAUGUCGGGAUCGGGGUGUGACAAUUUUAAUGGUAUCAGAGCGAAUGAUCCUGCUUUACAUUAUGUAAUAUUCUCGAGUUCUUGUCGGUGUGAAUUAUGGUAUGCAUUGUGGUUGCAUGAUUUCACAAUUUUUGUGAAUAAAGUGGUAUGCAUGUGAUAUAUAUAUAUAUAUAUAUAUAUAUAUAUAUAUAUAUGUGACAUACAUGUAUGAUUAGCCUUGUGUUUUUUGUGCAAUUUACAUGGUGAUUAUGAAAUUCCGAUAGUAGGAAUUAUUAAUUGCAUUGAUAUUGCAUUAUUCCUUAAGCUCUUUGAAUAAUGAGGAAGUUAUGUGAAAUACACACACACACACACAUAUAUAUAUUGUGAAUCCUCAUGAAAUGAAGUGAAUUGGAUUGAUAUUAUGUUAUGCAUUAUGGGAAUUUGAAUAUUAAGAUGAUUGUGAAAUUGUGACAACUAGUGGGGGAAAGAUGUAUUAUACCUGUGCGAUUGGGAAAUGUUGAAUUUGGUCGUGAUAGCCGUGGAAUAGGAGGAAUGUCGGUUGGGUAAAAAAAAAAAAACUCGUGGAUGUGGAUUUUGGCGAAAUGACUCGUGGAAUGUGGGAAAGUGGUUGAAUGGGCAUAAGGACCCAGUGUUUUCGGAAGAAGAGCUCCAUGUGUGGGCUAUGGGAAUGAAUUAUUGAAGUAAUAAAAAUAUGUAAUGUGUAUUGGCCAGGUAUAUUACAACAUUUUCCAGCCUACUGGUCACUGAUUGAGAUAAAAGAAAAUGGUGGUGAAAUCAUUGUUUUGACCAUGAUAAGGGUGGCUAGAAAUUUUAAAAUUUUUGGCAAUUGAUAAUUGUGGUUGUGGUUGAUCAUUAUAUUUGGAAUGGUGAAAAGAUCAUAAACAUUUCUUCAUUUAUUAUUGGUUGACAUGAAUUGAAAGUAUGGAUUGAGAUUUUGAGUUCAUUUAAUAUAAACGAUUUCCCAAUUGUGUUUUUCCGUUUGAUGAAAAGAAUGGAUGGACAAAGUUGUAAUUACAAAUUUGAUUAGUUUAGUUGACAUAGUCAUGAGUUGUCAUUGAUAGAUUCGAUAUUGCGAACAGAACUGAAGUCCCAUACAUAUUCUCAUGGCUAUGUGAUUAAUAAGGUUUAGUUCUGUUGGCCAAUAGAGUCGUGAUGUAUAUGGAUUCUCUUCUUUGGUUAAUUAAAAUAAUUAUUUGUUGCGAUUAGGAAAUUGUUGAUGAAAGCAUGGUGACAUGUGAAAAAUGAAACGCCUUUCCUAUUUGUUAAAUGGUUUCGUUAAGUACUUUGAAAUCUAGUGACUUAUAUUUGUCGAGUUCAAUGUAACGCUCUAAAACACUAUUUUCCUGCUUGACAACCAUGAAGGGUUUUAAAACUCUGUAGAGUGUAGAGUUGGCCCUAACUGUGUGACUCUAGCCUUACAAUUUUAUGUUCUGUAUGAAAUAAAGGAUUAAUGUUGAGGGAUUUUGAGAUCUUGUGAUGGACGGCAUGGCAUUAGAUUAAUUAAACAAAAUCCAAACUAGAAUUAUUCUUGUACCGAUGGCAGGACGUAUUAAGGGUCUCAGAGUUUUAUUGAACUUAAGGUUGGUGAAUGAGCUGCAAUUGAUUUGCCAUCUUGUAAAUGAAUGAUUUAUUGUGCUGAUUCCAAAAACUGUUUUCGAAAUAAAAAUUUCGAGUCAAAAGGAAAAUUUUAUAUUGCUUGUACAAUUGCCGUAUCCGCGCCUACUCAAGUAUUACAAGGUAAAAUAUUUCUAUUAAAGUUUUGGAAAUGAUAGUAGGCGUUGUGAAGGCUAUUGUAGUUAUAGAAUGAAUUUGGUGUUGAAUUUAGUGUAAUCACCAUUGUGAUGUGGUAUGUGUUUGAGGUGAUACAGAAUCUUGGAAUAGGGCAUGAGUUUUUGCGUUUGGUGAAGAAAAUUAAUGGGGAACGUUGUAAUUACAAAUUUGGUUGCAAUUUCGGAUAUUUGAUUUACCCAUUUCUGACAGUUUGGCUUGAAAUUCAAAUAUUUAUUUGAUCAAUGAGGGUUUCGGCCGGAAUUUAUGCUUUUUUUUUGCUAAUGAUGAGGGCGAAAAUUUUCUGAUGUUGGUAUCACCAGUGGGGGUGGCUAGAAAUUUUGUGAAAGAAUCGUGGUAUAGCUGUGUAUAGUCAAUGAUGGUAAGUGGUUUUACCAAUGAUUGUGGUUAUUAUGCUAGUAUUUAUCUAGCCAAUGGUAGAUGUGGUUUGAUAAUCUGAUAUUUAUUUAAACAAUGAGGAUUGAGGCUUGAUGUUUGAUAAUUAUUGUGCCAAUGUGUAUGGCUAGAAUUCCUGAUAUUUAUUCUACUAAUAAAUGUUGCUGAGCAUCUCAGUAUAUGGGUGAGAAUCAUGAUGAUUUUCAUUGAUGUAUUUAUUUGAGUUGAUUAAACUCAUAGGCUGAGGUUAUGAUUUUAUUCACUAUAAAUGGAAUGUUGGGGAAAGUUUGUAAUUACAAAUUGGUUGGUUUGGUUGCCAUAAUCGUGAGUAUAUCAAAGAAUUCUUGUUAGUAGUGGCGUUCUCGAUGCUUGUAUAAAGAUUGGUGUUGAGUUCGUAUUGAGGCGAUGAUAGUUGUAUUUGCGAGCAAUGGUUUGAUAUUGUCGAGUUUGAUGUUAGCUAAAUUUGAGUAUAAUUAAAGAGUGAAUGCCAAUUAUGAAUCGUUAUCUAUCUGAUAUGUGGCAUUAGUGGAUAUGGAUUGGUACUGAAAUUUCGAGGACGAAAUUUUUUUUAAGGGGGGAAGAAUGUGAAAUUCCGUCCCCGAAUUUCACUGUUUCAAGGUACAUAUUUUCGUAUUAUUAAUUGCAACGCAUUUAUAUGUACAACGCAUGUUUUUUUUUUUUUUUUAUAAAAAGCCCCUCGAUCUCAUAUUGUUGGAAAAUAAUAAUAAUAAUAAUAAUAAUAAUGUUAAGAAAUUGAGCUGCCAAAUGGCAACUAAAGAAAGAAAGAAAAAAAAAGAAAAAGAAAGGGGAACCAAUCAGAAAGGAGGAGGGGGGUCGGAUUGAGCAAGGGAGAGAAGAGAGGAGAGUUUCAGGAGGGAAAAAAGGAGAGAGGUGGCCGAAUGGGGAGAGGAGAGAGGAAGGAUGGUAACCAAUGGAGAGUGAAAGCAAGGAGGAAAGGGAGAGAAGGGAGGAACACAGGAUCUCGAAGGAUCCGAUUCUAACCCGUCGGCCAAACUGGGUUGGUAAGCCAAUUCCGGUGAUUUUUCACCCCUUUUUCCGAAAAAUUGGGAAGAGCCACCACACCAAAUCAUUAUCUUGACCCUUCCUUUACCAUUCCCACACAAAAUUUGGGGAGCUUAGGUUCGAAAUUGUGGAGAUUUGCACCGGUGGGUGCGACGGGAUUCGGGGCGGCAAUCUAUCAAAUUCAAAGGUAACUCCAUCAACUAACACCACCAAAAUACUUCCCUUAACCUCAGGAACAAAGCCCAAGCAGUGUUGGAGGCGUCAGAGUUCGAUUGGAAGCCGAAUCAAAGCACACCCUUUUAUAGGGUUUCGGUGGGUUUGAGUGAAAUUGAAGUGUUUCCCGGCUAAAUUGGACUUGGUCACAGGUAUAAAGUUUGCUUUACUCUUUGAGAUCUUCAUUUCCAUAAUUUUUGGUAAUUUUUAAAAAUAGUUGAAUUUUCCAACAAGUCGGGGCGGCCAACCGCCACUUGCGGCGGCGUGUGCGACAGCGGCCUGGCCGGUGGGCCGACGAUGUCCUUUUAAGUUCAAUUAUAUGCCAUGGUUUCAUAAUUGAUAUCCUUGUGAUAUGGUUUGAUUGUUUGAACUUAAUUCCAUUACGAUACGUGGUUAGGUCAAAAAUAUGAUUCGACGAUCCGACCGUUGGAUCAUCACCAAACCUUAAUGUGUGAUAAAACAUAAUAUUUUUGUAUCAUAGAAACUUACGGAUCAAGAAUCCGACGUACGGAUCUUGCCUAAUUGGAUUUCUAAAUUUGUAAAAUUAAAUGUCGAUCGUCACUUGAAUUUUGAAAUUGGCGGAGAUCCGACCGUCGGAGGCGGAGAUCCGACCGUCAGAUCGUGUUAAGAUUUUAGUAUGUUGUCAUUUGAGCAUAAUGUGGACUUUGGAAAUUUACGGAUAGGAAAUCCGAGGUGCAGAUCUUCUGAAUCAAAUUACGUAAGUUUGUGGACCAUACUGUUGAUCGAGAGUUGUUUUUUGGUCAACAUGUCAUGAAGCGUCCUAAUUACUAAAAUUAGUACUAUGAGAGACUUAAGUGAAGUCUAGUGGGACUACAUUGGUUGGAGAGUGACUUGAAUACUUGUGAUAUUGUUUAUUAUCUUAAUUUCUUAUAUUGGUAUUAAUUGUGAAUAUGAAUUGGUUUUUAUAAAUAGGAUUUCUAUUGACAUAUGAUUUAUAUAUAUAUAAAUAGCCAUAGACUUAUGUUUAUUAAACAUGAAUUGGCUUGUGUACGGGUGAUGAUUGUGAUAUAUGUGCGUUUAAUUAUCUUUUAGUAAUGUGAAAGGUAAGUCCGAUAAAUGUGGUGAUAAUGUGAUCAUAUAUUCCUAUUAGAAGUGUUCAGUAGAAUUUAUAUGAUUGUGUGUCAUAUUAGUUGGUGGCCACGAGAAGUGAAUGUGGUAAGUGACUACAUUGUAAUUAUGGAGAUGAUGAGGUUUAGAUAUACCUGGUACAUUUCGUAGGUACCAUAUGCUUGCUUGGAUUCCGUUGAGUGAUUGUCCGAAAUCCCUUCUAUUCUGUGAUUCCAUUGAGUGAUGAUCUGGAAUCAUAUGCUUGCUUGGAUUCCGUUGAGUGAUGGUCCAGAAUCCCUUCUAUUCUGGAUUCCGUUGAGUGAUGAUCCGGAAUCCCUUCUAUUCUAUGAUUCUGUUGAGUGAUGGUUCGAAAUUCCUUUUUACUUCAUGAUUCCGUUGAGUGAUGGUCCAGAAUCUUAUCUUGGUUUGGAUUCCGUUGAGUAAUGGUCCGGAAUCCCUCAUACUCCGCGAUUCCAUUGAGUGAUGGUCCGGAAUCGUAUUCCAAUUUGGAUUUCGUUGAGUGAUGGUUCGGAAUCCCCUUUGGUGUCUUGGUUCCGUUGAGAGGUCCGGAACCUGUUGAUGAUGGAUUUUGUUGAAUGGUUCAAAAUCGUAUCAUUUGAGAUAGUUUCAGAGAUGUAAGCUUCGGCCGAACUGUGUCAUUCUAGCCCUGCAGUUUGAUGAAUUGUAUGUGUUAUUUAUGAUAUGGUGAUUGGCAUCAUUGAUUGAUGUGACAAUUGGAUGGUGUUGGAAUGCAUAUGUGUGGAUGAGUUGAUAUGAAUAUGGAUUAAUAUUGUGCCUUGUUAAAUGCUCCUUGAGGUGCUACCUAAUUGAAUUGUGGUAUUAUGUUGAGAUACAGUGGUUUAUGUGAUGAAUGUUCGAGUGUAGCGAAAUGAUGAACUACGAAUGGCUUGAUCCCUAAUAAGGGUACGCAGGCAAUCUAACGAAGAGGUUAGAUGCAGCCAUAAAGUAUACGGAAAAAUGACUAUGCGAUUCGAUUCUUGAGAUGUGAUUUGCCAUAUUCUGGAGAUGGGGUAUGUUGGAAUACUGGUAUUUGGUAACGUCACGUGUCGAUCCUGGAUGUAUGUCGGGAUCAAUGCGUGACAUGCACCCUAGAUAGUCUCUUGCUAUCAAUUCCCUUAUUCAUAGAAUAAAAGAAAAAAUGUCAGUGAGGCAUAGCACUUUGUCUAAUCUCGUGCUAAUCAGUUGGACUUUCUACUACAGAGUCAGUCCCAUGAUAAUAGAAUGAUACCUGUUUAAUAUACUUCAUUUGUAUGAUUACAUGAGUUCUAAAUUCCUUGCUUAUCCUAUGCAUCAUUGACCUUCUCAUUGUUUGGAUUUAUACUUGACAGAAUGUGGAGGAUGGUUUUAGAUGGAGGAACCAAAGCUGUUCUGCAAUAUCUCAAGGACUAAUUGAAAUGACUAGAAGAUCAGAGACGAAUACAUACACGAGGGAAAUUGCAAAAAAUUACAGGUACGUAGGCUUUUUUUGGUUAGUACAUGAUCUCUUACCUUUGAGAUUAAUCAGUUUUAGAUCAUCUUACUUCCAUUUCAAAAUGGCAGUUACUAAACACAAUAGGUUUCCCUUUCACUACCAUUCAUAUGUAGUUUGAUGUUCAACUCUUAUUUCCAUACUAAGGGUGCCAAGUUCUGAAUGAUGGAGAGUCACUAGGGCAUGGGGGCGGCUAAUCUGUACUACCGACCUUGAGAUUAAGUUCUUUCCUUGGCGCUAUGACUCCUUGCAAUGACAUUUGAAAAAAAAAACAACAAAAUUGUUGUUUACACUCUUGGCGUUAUGACUCCUUUGCAUGAGAUUGUGUACCUUUCUUGAUACAGAGUUCAAGGCCCUUCUAGAUCCCAACGAAUGCAGUCACCCGUACUUGAAGUGGAUUGACAAUAAGAAUGCAUAAAAUGUUUCACUGAUUUUGUAUUUUCAGUUUGUAUGAUUUUGUUACAAUUAAGUAUUCAUUAAAAAGAAGGAAAGCAGGUGCAACCAAAAUAAUGUAGAAGUAGACCCCAAAUCAAUUCCACAUUUGUGUCUCUUGAAAUUAGCAAGAGUUGUGCCUAAGGAUGGGCAACGGUUAUGGCGGGCGGGUAACCCGCAGUUAUUUAUCCAUAACCAUUUGGCCUUACCCGCAUAACUGUUUAGGAUAAUUGCAUAAACGGUUAUAUCCAUACUUAUAACCGUUUAUAAACCAUCCAUACUCAUAACCGUUUACAAACAGUUACCCAUACCCGUAAUUGCGUACUCAUUUAACCGUUUACCCAUUUACCCGUUUUUAACCCGUUUACCGUUUUUACCCAUCUACACGUUUGUUUUACUCAUUUAUAAGUACAUUUAGCAUGCACUUCCGUAUUUGAAUCUCUAAAGUUCUCAUACCAUUCCAACAAUUGAAAUUAUAGAACGAAUGAUAUUUGCAACUACAUGCACCUUUACGCUUGGUCCAAGCAAUUCAAGCAUCUUAUUAAUAGCUGCAAGUUAACUAUUUUUUUUUUUCCGUGAAACAAUCCCCUUUAGCUUGCAAAGUUUAAUUGCCCUUUCUUGUGAAGGUAAGUUGAAGGGAACUAUAUAUGUGCCCUACAAUUUGCACAUUAUACCUCACAACUUAUUCGAAUAAGAUAGGAAUGCCGUGAGUUUGUAGGGUAUGCUGCAAGUUACUUAAGAAAAGUGAAUUAGUAAGAAAUAAAAUGCUAUUGGCUUAUCGUGCAGUCUGGGCUGUAAUAACCAUGUUUAAUGCCCUUAUUCCAGUAAAGCUCUGAACAAGUUGUUUAUACCAUAUUUAGGGUCUCGUAUUUAGAUUUUAUACAAAUACUCGGGGGACUUAAAUGUAAUUAUGUGAUAAAGGAAUGGGCAAAUAUGUAAUAAGUGAUGAGUCCUUAUUCUAUAAAAGGACCCAUCACCCUCACAAUUAAGAGAUGCCAAUUCCUAGGCCCUCUCACCCCCUCUCACCCCCUCUCAAAGCUCUCACUUUCAGAGCUCUCUCUCCCUCAGAUAAAUACAUAAUCAGUGUGGACGUGGCCCAAACCUUGGGAUGAACCAUGAUACAUCUUGUGUUAUUUACAUUUUUUGCAGAUUCACGGUCGGAUUUACGUUGUUCCAAGACCUCCGGUUUUGUGCAUCAACAUUUGGCGCAGUUUGUGGGAAUCGAUACGAAAAGUUGUGUCGGUUCUCUUUCAUUUUUUCACCUUCACCUUGAAUCUGCAAAAACCAAAAACCCAGAAACAGAAAAAAACCAAAUCUUUCUCUCUCUAAAAUCACUUAUUAAAUAACCCAUCAGCUCACUAAACCCACGAGCUCUUCAAAAGCUCAUACACCCGCUACUCUCUCUCGGUUGGUAUCUCCAGUUUCAGUUUUUAGAUUCGGGUUCAGGUCGAAUAAGUUUAGGUUGUUGAGGAAAUAGAUCCUCCACUAAUCAACGAGUCUUCCUCCUUAGUAGCUAACCCAGCAUCCUACAGCCUGGCAGAGAUUUGGCCCUUUCAGCGGCCAGCCCGGUGACAAUGAUGGUUGGUUGGGGCUCUGAGUGGGUAACUUGGGUCAGAGUUUGGGUGCCUUGGAGAUAGCUCUGUGAACAAAGAUGGGUCGUUUGAGGAAUUGACUGUGACUGAGCAAAGCGGCGGCGACGGUGGUAGAAGGAAGAGAAGGGAUGUGAACUAUGAGGAUGAGUCUUUGAAGCGGGUUUUCCACUCGUAGAGUUCAGCUGCUGGCGACAACAAGCCAGCUCAAGAAAGCACUAAACCUUUCAUUGCCACCAAAACCAGAUUCAUCCGAAGUAAUCCAACCUUAAAAUCUAAAACCUUUUUUUCUCUCUGUCUCUGUCUUUCUCUCUCUCUAGAGAGAGAAAUAGACGACAUGCCUAAUAUGUCUCCUCCGCCCAAGGGCGACCUGACGAACACAACUUAUGGUACCAUGAUGAUAAGCAGCGGCCUCACAUGGGGUAAAGAUGUCAUCGUCCUCUUCCUCAAGUGGCCUGACAACAACCUCGGUAUGUACGUCUUGGCUCUCUUCUUCACUUUCCUCCUCGUUGUCGCGAUCGAGGUAUUGUCCGUUUUGCCCAAACAUAGACUGGCAACCAAACCCUACCUAUCCCUCAUCGGUCAAACCCGCGUCCACACCUUUCAUACCGGUUUGGCUUACCUGGUCAUGCUCCCUAUCAUGUCAUUCAAUAUUGGAAUCCUCAUCGCCGCCGUGGCCGGCCAUGCACUAGGUUUCUUCAUCGUUAAGGAGUGUUUACGCUGGUUCGAAGGUUAAGCACCAUAGAAUGUUCCAAGGGCAGCGUGCUGACACUGGCUUUCGGUAUGGAAAUGUUGGGAGUGUCCCGCCAUUUGUUGAUUGGAGAAAGAAUGGAGUUGUCACUCCCGUUAAGGAUCAAGGCCAUUGUGGUAGUUGCUGGACAUUUUUAAUUGUUGUAGCUGUUGCGGACGUCGAUGCGGCGGUGGUGCUUUCUUUUGCGACGAGCAGCGUUGGGCUCAGAUUGAGGAUCCAUUCGGCAUUUUUCUAGUUCUUUGUCACUCCCAUUAAGAAGAUGCCCACUCUAAAAAAGAUAAAGUUUCCUAUUAUUAUUUUUAUCGUGAUUCCUUUUGUCUGUUAGGUGGAGAGACGUAAAGAUAACUUCAGUGCCAUCUACACUCUACAAAGCAAAAGCAAAAGUAAAGCAAAAAAGGAAAAGAGAAAAGAAGAAAAAGGGCAAAAUUAUAAGGUUCCUAUUAUUACGAUUCCUUUUGUCUACCAGGUGAAGAGACAGAGAGAGUGCGACAGAAAGCAGAAAGCAAAAGCAAGGAAUAAAUACCUUACCAGAAUAAUGUGAUUUACUUUUCUUGUUUCUGAAUGGUAUAAAUUAUUUUUCUUAUCUUUCGGAAACAUUUGUAUAAGCCCCAUCAGAGGGUUAAAAAAAAAAAAAAAAAAAAAGGCAAAGCCCAAAAUAAAUGGGUUGACAUGUUGUGGAGGGCGAAGGCUUAGAAGCCCAAAACAGCUCCAACCAGGUAAUCAAAAGUACGCCCAGUACUCCAAAAUUAUUCGGCAACCUGCCACUAUUACCACCAACCAGGUGAUGAAAUGUACAACCCGUACUCUAAUAUCAUUUGGCAACUAGCCAUUCAUACCACCAACCAGGUGAUGAAAUGUACGACCCGUACUCUCCUUCAUGCCACCAACCAUGUGAUCAAAAGUACGCCCAGUACUCCAAAUUAUAUAUGAGCAUUACUUAUGUCGUUCAUACAUAAACAUUCAUGAGCAUCACUCAUGACAAUCAUACAUAAACAUUCAUGACCAUCAUUCAUGUCAACAUUCAUGAGCAUCACUUAUGUUAACAUUCAUGAGCAUCACUCAUGAAAACAUCCAUGAGCAUCACUCAUGUCAAUCAAUAUAAACAUUCAUGAGCAUCACUCAUGUCAAUCAGCUUCAAAAGCUUCAUUUACAGAGCUCUAGCUUCAAAAGCUUCAUUUGCAGAGCUCUAGCUUUAAAAAACUUCAUUUACAAAAGCUCCAACUUCAAAAGCUUCAUUUACAGAUCUCUAGCUUCAAAAGCUUCAUUUACAAAAGCUCCAGCUUCGAAAGCUUCAUUUACAGAGCUCUAGCUUUAAAGUUUCACUUGCAAAGCUUCACCUACAAAGCUUCAGUGCAGGGUAUACAAAUACCGCCUCCGAACAACCGCCACUUCGGCCCAUACAUAGAUUCAAUUUGAAGUCUCCAGCCAACAGACUCUAUUGACCGAAGACUUGGGGGACUACAUUAUGUACCAUAUAUUGGGCCUCAACUAGGCCUCAUAAAAAAUACUUGGGGGACUUAGCCCAUCACUUAUGUAUUGAGGAGCAAGCCUUUAUUUUAUAAAAGGGACUCCCUUACCACCAUUAGAGAGCAUCAAUUCUAGCCCAUCAUUUAUGUAUUGAGGAGCGAGCCCUUAUUUUAUAAAAGGGACUCCCUCACCAUCAUUAGAGAGCAUCGUCGCCAGCUGAGCAACUGCCUCGCCGCGAGCAUCAACUCUAGCACAUUAUUCAUGUAUUGAGCCGUCUCACCGCGAGCAUCAACUCUACCACAUUAUUCAUGUAUUGAGGAGCGAGCCCUUAUUUUAUAAAAGGGACUCCCUCACCAUCAUUAGAAGAGCAUCGCCGCCAGCUGAGCAACCGCCUCGCCGCUAACAUCAACUCUUAGCCCAUUACUUAUGUAUUGAGGAGCGAGUCCUUAUUCUAUAAAAGGGACUCCUCACCUUCAAUGCUACAAGCCGAGCCAACCAAGGCAACCUAAGCCACGAGCCUAGUAGCCUCGCAUCAUGUGCUACUUCUAGUUGAGCAUCAUUUUAGAUUGAGCAUGGCCUCAUAUCGAGCAUCAGUUCAAAACAACAUUUAGUUACUUCAGCCCACACAUGGACUGAAUUUCAAGUCUCAAUCCAAAAGAUUCUCUUGAUCGAAGACUUGGAGGACUACUGUUUAUACCAUAUUUAGGGCAUCGUAUUUAGAUCUCGUACAAAUACUCGGGGGACUUAAAUGUAAUUAUGUGAUAAAGGAAGGGGCAAAUAUGUAAUAAGUGAAGAGUCCUUAUUCUAUAAAAGGACCCCUCACCCUCACAAUUAGGAGAGGCCAAUUCCUAGGCCCUCUCACCCCCUCUCAAAGCUCUCACUCUCAGAGCUCUUUCUCCCUCAGAUAAAUACAUAAUCAAUGUGGACGUAGCCCAAACCUGGGGGUGAACCACGAUACAUCUUGUGUUAUUUACAUUUCAUGCAAAUUCACGGUCGGAUUUACGUUGUUCCAAGACUUCCGGUUUUGUGCAUCAACACAAGUCAUUUGACUCCGUUGGAAGCAACACUCAACAGCAUAUCCAUGAAUCAGAUUAUGUUUUCUAUCUAAUCCUCUAAGUUUUAUCAAAUGAUGUAAUCUUUCGGGAUCACACUAAGUAUAUUUGGAUAUAGGUCGAUCCCACGAACAUGUAGACGAAAACCGUUCGCAAAUCGGAAUUAUAAUGAAAGAGAUAUAAGCGAGCGAAGGCAAGGGUAAAAUGUUCAUUUGAACCAAUACACGGUUAAACAGGUAUCGUUUAUAAUCGUGAGUAAUACCCAUAAUUAUCAAUUUAAAUUUUACAGGUAAACGAUUAUACCCAUAACCUUUUAUUUGUUUAAAAUAUAACCUUACCGAUAGCAGGAGUAUUUUGUCCAUCCAUAGUUGUGCCUUAUUGUGUGGAGACUUUUGCAGUAUAAUCCAUAUUUGUUAUCUUUUGUCCCAAGCAGCUCGGGAUAUGUCACAGGUUGCGACGAUGGAAAGCACAUUGGGUGUCAAAGUUGAGUUAAUCCAACUUAACAAUUGUUGGUCUUGUCGCUGCCAAGUUACGUACUCGGGAUUGAGAGUAGUAGUAUUCUCAAGAAACUUGGUUGGACAUGUUUUUGUACCAUCAACAUAGGCAACAAGAUCAUUACUUUUAAGUAAGGGAUUAAACUGGGCAAGCCACAACAUGUAAUUGGUUCGAUCAACCACCGGACUAAACGUCUCCAUGUAAUCAACACCCAUCGUUUGAUGAAAUCCAUUGGCGACAAGACGAGCUUUAUAUCGCUCCACUGUACCGUCAGAUUUCCACUUUGUGCGAUAGACCCACUUGCAAGGAAGAACAUGAGUAGCAGUUGAAGAAGGUACCAACUCCCAUGUACCAGCAGUUUUCAAGGCCUUAAACUCCAAUGUCAUUGCAUCACGCCAAUGAGAUAAUUGAUUUGCCUCGCGAAACGAGAACUAGGGAACUUAGAAUCCUUAAUAGGAAUAGAGGACAUAAUUUUUUUUAAAAUUGCAGGAGAUGGAUGACCGAAACGCUGAUGCCACAUAAAUGAAGAAGUUCGUUGUCCAAAUAAUGCCACGUUUUUUAAAGGAAACUUCGACAAAACCACACGAAACGGAUACAAUCCAUUCUCACUCUUGCCGUGGAAAAGCGUCUUCCCCGUGGAUAGAUCCUUCACAAAAAAAUCAGUAGGAGUGAACCACCGUAACCGAUUUUCUCUCAUCUUUCCUUCAAUUUCGGCUACUCCUACUUUACCCUGGAUAUCCUCAUUCCUAAUCUUAUCCUUUCUUGUGUGCCCACACAUCCAACGAAGCAUCCUCAUCUCCGCUACACCCAUUUUGUGUACGUGUUGAUGCUUCACCACCCAACAUUCUGUGCCAUACAGCAUUGCCAGCCUUAUUGCCAUCCUAUAAAAUUUUCCCUUGAGCUUCAGUGGCAUACGGCGGUCACACAGCACGCCGGAUGCACUCUUCCACUUCAUCCAUCCAGCUUGUAUUCUAUGGUUAAGAUCUCCAUCUAAUUCUCCGUUCUUUUGCAAGAUAGAUCCUAGGUAACGAAAACGAUCGCUCUUUGGUAUUUCUUGAUCUCCGAUCCUCACCCCUAACUCGUUUUGGCUUCCAUUUGCACUGAACUUGCACUCCAUAUAUUCUGUCUUUGAUCGUCUUAGGCGAAAACCUUUAGAUUCCAACACUUCUCUCCAAAGGUUAAGCUUUGCAUUUACCCCUUCCUGAGUUUCAUCUAUCAACACUAUAUCGUCUGCGAAAAGCAUACACCAAGGAAUAUCAUCUUGAAUAUGUCCUGUUAACUCAUCCAUUACCAACGCAAAAAGGUAAGGACUUAAGGAUGAGCCUUGAUGUAAUCCUACAGUUAUGGGAAAGCUUUCGGUUUGUCCUUCAUGAGUUCUUACGGCAGUCUUUGCUCCUUCAUACAUAUCCUUUAUAGCUUGGAUAUAUGCUACUCGUACUCCUUUCUUCUCUAAAAUCCUCCAAAGAAUGUCUCUUGGGACCCUAUCAUACGCUUUUUCUAAAUCUAUAAAGACCAUGUGUAAAUCCUUUUUCCCAUCUCUAUAUCUUUCCAUCAAUCUUCGUAAGAGAUAGAUUGCCUCUAUGGUUGAGCGCCCUGGCAUGAACCCGAAUUGGUUGUCCGAAACCCGUGUCUCUUGCCUCAAUCUAUGCUCAAUGACUCUCUCCCAGAGCUUCAUUGUAUGACUCAUUAGCUUAAUACCCUUAUAGUUCAUGCAAUUUUGUACGUCGCCCUUAUUCUUGUAGAUAGGCACCAAAGUGCUCGUUCGCCACUCAUUUGGCAUCUUCUUCGUUUUCAAAAUCCUAUUAAAAAGGUCAGUGAGCCAUGUUAUACCUGUCUCUCCCAAAACUUUCCACACUUCGAUUGGUAUAUCGUCUGGGCCUACUGCUUUUCUAUGCUUCAUCUUCUUCAAAGCUACAACCACUUAUUCCUUCCGGAUUCGACGAUAAAAAGAGUAGUUUCUACAGUGGCGAACGAGCACUUUGGUGCCUAUCUACAAGAAUAAGGGCGACGUACAAAAUUGCAUGAACUAUAGGGGUAUUAAGCUAAUGAGUCAUACAAUGAAGCUCUGGGAGAGAGUCAUUGAGCAUAGAUUGAGGCAAGAGACACGGGUUUCGGACAACCAAUUCGGGUUCAUGCCAGGGCGCUCAACCAUGGAGGCAAUCUAUCUCUUACGAAGAUUGAUAUCCCCGAUAAGUCACAAAUAUGUACAUAUACAUGAGUCAAAAUAAACAAAUAAGAGGGAGCCUUCACAAAGGUUGCUUAGGAGAAGUCUCAGCAGUCGGUAGAGCCCCAGAAAGAGCAGGCACUAGAGGGGGAUCAUUUGGAGCCUCAGUACUGGACAGAACCCUAGAAGGAGGAGGCAGCAGAGGUUGAUCAUUUGGAGCUUCAUUACGUGGUACAGCCCCAGAAGACGAAGACAAUAAAUGCCUUUGGAACAAACCCACAAAUCUCUGAUGAUCAAGUAAAACCUGACCAUCAGAUUCCUUCAUCUGGUCAAGCUUCCUCUUCAUGUUUGUAGCAUAGUCAUGUGCGAGCCGGUGCAACUGUUUAUUCUCAUGCUUGAGCCCUCUAAUCUCCUGUUUGAGACUCGUCACUUCAGCCGCCAAUGAUUCAACUUGGCGGGUUCGAGCUAAUAGGCGUUGGGCCAUGUUAGACACAGAACCUGCACACUAAACACUGAGAGCCAGAGAAUCCUUAACAGCCAACUCAUCAGACCGUUUGGAAAGUAGUCUGUUAUCUUUGGGAGUGAGAAGGUUCCUGGCCACUACCGCAACGGUCAUAUCAUUCUUCAUCACGGAAUCCCCAACGGUAAGAGGACCAGUAGGGGAGACGAAGGAUGGGCGCCAUAUGUUGUCUGGAGAAGGCGUGGCUGCCUCUUCAAGAAGGUUCAAGUCAAAACGACGGUCGGAGGGGCCAGACAUUUUCAAAGGUGUUGAAGAGAGAAGAGGUCGGACAAAUCAAGAUCUUAGAAGUGCAAGAAUGGAGCUUCUACUGGUGGAGAUUCAAGUGUGCUUUGGAACUUAAUGCCAGCCUCUAUAAAAAUCUGCACUCGACGGAGCUUCAGAAAUCGAAGAGGCGUUUGCUUUCUCAAAAGCUGGGCUGCUCAGAGACCACGAGACAUUUGCUUUCUCUAAAGUUGGGUUGCUCAAAGACCACGAAGGCCGAUCUCAGAAAUCGAAGAGGCGCUUGCUUUCUCAAAAGCUGGGCUGCUCAGAGACCACGAUGGCCGAUCUCAGAAAUCGAAGAGGCACCUACUUUUCCAGCCUUGUCAGCACCUGUCAGCUUUGCGGAAAUUAUUGGCAUUAUGUCGAAGAUUUCUGGUGAAGUAGAAAGCACAUGAAUCUUACUGUUCAAUCACCCACUUCCCACACGCAACAUUAGCUCAUGGGUACCACAGAUAACUUUGCCAAAGUUCUCUGACAAGGUUGAGACACGUGAAGCUUGCAGCUCCCACUACACCGCUCUGACCAAGAAGGGUAAAAGAAUAGCAAAGAAACAGCACUAACAAAGUUUAGACACAUAAAUUUUGAAGGUCUAGCUACCAUAUUAUUACCCACAAGGGUAAAGGAACAGUACCACUGCUCGAUAAUUGGAAAGUCCCUGUGUGUCAACCUCUGUGCUUCGUGGCAAGAUAGACUAGUAAACAUGCCCAACCUUUUCUCACAUUCGAGAAAACACUCACAACAAGAUUGCUUGCUCCAAAAUCGAAGAGGCACCACCUUCCGAAUCUCGAGAGCCAGACUCCCAACAUGAUUACUUUCUCAAAAAUCGAAGAGACACCGCUUUCCGAAUCUCAAGAGCCAGACCCCUAGCAGGAUUGCUUUCUCAAAAAUCAAAAAGGCAUCGUUCUCCGAAUCUCGAGAGCCAGAUCUCCGACAAGAUUGCUUGUUCGAAAACCGAAGAGGCACCACUUUCCCAACUUCAAGAGUCGGAUCUCCUUGGAUAAAGCUUGUCUGUAAUCUUUACACGCAACAUCAGCUUUCCAGAUACCACAGACCACUUUUUCAAAGUGCUCUGACAGAGUUAAAACAUGUGAAGCUGGCAGCUCCCACUAUCGUGUUAUGACCAAGCAGGGUAAAGGAAUAGCAUUACUACUUGUUGUUAGGGAGACUCCUAUAUAUGUUGACCUCCAUCCCCAACAGACAGGAAGACCUGUAAAAAUGCUCAACCCUUCCUCAUAUCUGAGAAGGCACUCCCAAAGAAGCCUUUCGAAAUAUUCAGCUUUCUUUCCCCCGAUAAUACCUCUGCAAACAAGCUAUACUAGAGCAAGAAUAUCUCAUAUCAUCAGGGUUAAAAGCAAGAUUAUCCCAUAUCAUGUUUUUUCCCUGUCUUUUCCUUUGGCCUUGUUCUUACCUGCAAGACAAGGAGAAAGAGAGCAAUCAGUCAACACUUGGAAUCAAGCUUCCAGUCAGGAACUGACUGCCUGGAACCCCUUACUUGAUUACUUACCUGGCAUUGCUCUCGAGUACUCAUCUUCAACAUCUUAUGCUUCCAGGGAAGAUACCGCAUCUGCCUGAAGAACAUAUAGGGCAAGUGAGAAGGAUACAAGGAAGCAUGUGGAGACAAGCGUAACAGCACACGUGCCGAUACAUCCACUACUCUGUCAAAGCAAAAGUAUCCCAUAUCAGCAGGGUCGAACGUACUAUACAUUUGAUAGACUUGUUUUGACCCUCAAAUUCUUCAGUCGGCCUUAUACUCUGGAGGAAACCAGAAAACCCUCCAGCCCAGUUCAAGAAUAAGCCUGUGGAAAGUUACUUCUUCAAAAGCAAAAGUAUCCCAUAUCAUCUCUUCUCAUUUUUCUUCUCUUUAUCCUCAUGCUGCCUGCAAGAUAGGGAGAAUGUGAACAAUCAGCCGGAACUCGAAAUCAAAGUUCUGAUCUGGGACUGAUUGCUUGGAGCUCUGAUUGCUUACCUUGUCUGUCACCUCUUUCAGCAGAUCCCCUAGCUCGGCGACUUGGAGGACUCCUACUACAUGGUUUGUAUCGCGCUUGACCAAGCCUGAAACUACAAGUAAGCUUCAAGUGAAAUUGAUACAUUACCUUGUGCAUCUCCACCAGUUAAAGAUACCACCCCUGGAUGGAGGAAGAGUACUUCCAGAGAAGAUGCCACAUCUACCUACGAGACAGAUAAGGCAAGUCAAGACGAUACCACACUCCGGAACUUAGAAGUUUCGUGAUUACGAGAUCAUUCUCCCACAAUAUUUCCUAAUGUCAUUUGUAUUAAAUCAUUCACUUGUACUCACUAAAAGAGAGUUUGAACCUAUGUACUUGUGUAAACCCUUCACAAUUAAUGAGAACUCCUCUAUUUCGUGGACGUAGCCAAUAUGGGUGAACCACGUACAUCUGGUGUUUGCUUUCCUAUCUCUAUCCAUUUAUAUACUUAUCCACACUAAUGACCGGAGCAAUCUAGCGAAGAUCACAAAAAGCGACCGUUUUCGCUACCUAGGAUCUAUCUUGCAAGAGAACGGAGAAUUAGAUGGAGAUCUCAACCAUAGAAUACAAGCUGGAUGGAUGAAGUGUAAGAGUGCAUCCGACGUGUUGUGUGACCGUCGUAGGUCACUGAAGCUCAAGGGAAAAUUUUAUAGGACGGCAAUAAGGCCAGCGAUGUUGUAUGGCACAGAAUGUUGGGCGGUGAAGCAUCAACACGUACACAAAAUGGGUGUAGCGGAGAUAAGGAUGCUUCGUGGGAUGUGUGGGCACACGAGAAAGGAUAAGAUUGUGAAUGAGGAUAUCCGAGGUAAAGUAGGAGUAGCCGAAGUUGAAGGAAAGAUGAGAGAAAAUCGGUUAUGGUGGUUUGGACAUGUGCAAAGAAGGCCUACUGACGCUCCGGAUCGAAGAUGUGACUACGGAACAGAGGUUCGGGGCCGAAGGGGUAGAGGAAGACCUAGGAAAACUUUGGAAGAGACCCUAAGAAAAGACUUAGAGUACUUGGAUCUAACGGAGGACAUGACACAAAACCGAGCGCAAUGGCGUUCUAGGAUUCAUAUAGCCGACCUCACUUAGUGGGAAAAGGUUUUGUUGUUGUUGUUGUUGUUGUUUUUCUGUUGUUCACCGCUAAAAGAUUGAAGUUCUUGGUUCUCCGAAACCAGUGAAGAAGAAGCUCAGAAAUCGAAGCUUUCAAUCAUGAGUCGUGGAAGGUCGUCUUUUACAAGUCGUAUGUGAUAUCUCCAAUACCUUAUGUGCGAUUCUUCGAUUUGAAUCUCGGAUGGUCCCUUAGAGAGGGCAGACUUGGGGGUUUUUGGUUUUUUAGGGUUUUAUGGGUCACAUAGAUCAAAACCCAUUUAAUUAUUUUCACAUUAUUUUGUUUUAAUGCUGAAAUCUAGGGAGAAAUUCAAGGUUAUAGAAGCGUAUGUUUAAUUUUUUUAUAUUGGGUUAUGGUUGGUGUGUAAAUUUGCUAGCUCAAUUGUACAUCAGUCAAAUUAAGUAGCUCAAUUUGUAUAGGUUUUCAGUUUCUAGGCGGCCGCAAACAGAUAGUCAACUUAUUUCGAUUGUUGAACUUGAUCCCUUUGUUGGAUGCUGAGAAAUUUGAGGAAAAUGGCAGAAAUUACCAACUUCCCUUUUGUAUUGAUUUUAUGUGUCCGGGGUGUAACAAUAAGAUGCUUAUGUCAAUGUUGAAUAGCAUACAAGGGAAAUUAGAUACCCGUUUUAUUAAUUUGUGGAGUUUGCUGGGUUGGUAGCUUCCAUCUAUUCGAUUUGAAUUCCAGGACAAGAAAAAGCAGAUUUCAAAGGAAAAGCAAAGGAUUUUACACCCACAGCUGCGAAGGUACAUACAAUAAAGGUCGUACCCAGUGCACAAGGCUCCUGCUUUAUGCAGAGUCUGGGAGAGGUGAAUGUCGGCUAGCCUUACCCCCAUUUUAUGGGGAGGCUGCUCCCAAGUCUCGAACCCGAGACCUACCGCUCAUGGGCAAAGGCACUUGCCAUCGCACCAAAUGCGACCUCUUCGAAGGUACAUACAAUGUGAUGUUAAAUUUACCCAAUUUUUCGAUUUGGAUUUAGUUCAGAGUUUUUGGGUUUUUGACUUAGUUAAAGUAGUGAUCUUUAUGUCCGUACAGUUGUAGUGGGAAAUGAAAAUUGUCUUGUUAAUUUGUUGCACAGCAAGACAUUGGCAUAUGCAUGAAGGCUUAUGGUAUUUGUAUGAUUUAAACACACCCACAUGGUUGGGUUGUGUUGUGUUGUGUGUGCAAUGCAUAAACUCAGUUAGCUGAUUAAAUUAAAACUGAAGAGUUAUGAAAUUUGAGAUGCAUAGCAGCCUAAGUCCACAAAUAGGUUGCCGCACCAAUUCAAUAAAGUUUCAUAACACGGAACAAAGUUCCUUGACCACCACAAAGCCCUAACUUAAGGCUGAUAAUCCUUGAAUCUCAAAUAGUAUAUCACCAUGUAUAGCCGAUAAGCCAUAUUUGAAGAUUACCACAUAAUCUAUAACCUAAAAAGUUAGAAGAAAGUAAUAGAUUCUAAAAAAGGUAUGAUGAAUUGCAUCGUGUAUAUAUUUUUCUUACCAUAAGCAGCUUUUUUGGAAUUUCAUUAUUAACACUGGUCGUUAUUUAAUUUCACAACAUACCCAAAUGCAAUUCAAGGUUUGGAAUUUGAUAUAUAUUUUGAUGUGGGAAUUCAAAGCUUUUUCAGUGUUUAGUUUGUUUAUAUAUUUGAAGGAGUUAAUGUUGGAAGAACUGAAAAGAAAAACUAUUGCAAUGAGAAAUAAGCAGAUUUUUCUUUGUUAGUGUUAGAUUUAUGUAUGAUAUUUUAGAUUUUGUAAGGAAGAAGAAUUGGAAUUGAAACUUUGGCUUUUGGAUUUUCUGGGAAGAGCAAAGAAUACGGAUGAAAUGAUGUAUCUUCUUUCACACAAUGAUGGUUGGUCUGAGACCGGUUAGCAAGAUAUAAUCUUAACCAUCCAAGUAAGUCAUUUUAUGAGAUGCUUACACAUCCAAAUAAGACAACUAUAAAACUGAGAGUACAAGUUGUGGAUGCAAAUUUUCUCCUCUUCGAUCUUGGACGAUUUUGCACCUACAAAACAACUAGCACCUUAGGUUAAGGCCAAAAGCUUCACGCGCCCACGAUGAAUGGGGGGGGCUUUGGCCGAAGAACCUCCGAUACCAAAGUUAGAAAUUUAGAGAGAAAUAGUGUUUAGAGUGUUUUGGAAUUUUUGCAAGAGGUUUGGAAUGAGUGUUUGGUAGAAAUGGGUGACUAUUUAUAGGACCAAAUUGGUCCACAUUUUCAAGAAAAGGGCCGGCCCCUUUGUGUGCUUUUGGGUGAAUUUUUUGGUUUUAUUAGCCACUUUAUUGGCUAAUAAAAUACAAUAGAAAUAAAUGGGAAGUUACUAAAUUGAAUGGUUAUUAUUAUUUGGCUAAUGAAGUGGAGGAAGUAUGAAAAGAUAAGGAAAAAGAGAGGGAAUGUGGCCGGCUCCUAGAUGGGAGUUUUGGGUUUUAUUUUUGGUUUAAUUAGCCAAUUAAUUGGCUAAUUAAAUAUGAAAGGAGAUAUUUUAUUAUUUAUGGUAUUGAUUGGCUAAUUUAAAAGGGAAAGAAAGGUGGAAAAGGUAGAAAAAAGGUGAUGGAAAAGAUUUUGAAUGGGGUAGCCGGCCUUAUGUCAUUUUUUAGGUUUGAGUGGAUGUUUCAAAUUGGUAAUUAAGGGAUGAUUUUAGGAGAUAUGGGAAGAAUAUAUUAUUUAGAUAAUUAAUUAACUAAAUAAUAUAUUAGGGAAAUUAAGUUUUGGAAAUAAUUACCUAAAAUAAGAUAAUUUGGAAUUGGUUACCUCUUCUGGAGUAUUUGUGAAUUGGUUGAGGAUGAUUACCCACUAUUUGCGCGUAGGAAUCCCGGUAUGCCUCAAGGGUAUUUUUGUCCUCUUUCGUUCAAAAGUCCACGUGUCGCCUGGUGAAUAUUUUUGGUUCCACACAAGUAAUCUGCAAAAGUGUUUGUAUCCCCUCGCCUUUCAAUAAACAUAGUCAUCUUAAUAUAGCUCGUGAGAUUGAGUACAUUUAUUAAGAUGGUGAAGCAAUAGAGACAAUGAAGCUGAUGGGAUAAAACCGAUGGUGACUAGUAAGAAUGCCUUUUGCAGAUUUGUUCUGUAUCGUUGAAACUAGGACUUCCAGGUCCAAUUGGAGUUGCCUCAUCACGAUAAUCAUGUGUUCAUUUCAAGAUUUUCAGUGUUUGGUUGAGUUCUUCCAAAUCUUGCUUGUACAGCAAACGAGCCCCACAUUUCUUCACUGUAUUCAAGUCUGCUUUUACUCCUCUCUUUCCAAAAGCAUCAAAGUAAGUUUCGAAUAAAAACUGCUCUUGAUAACAACUACAACGAUCCAAAUAAAAUACCCAAAGGUGUUCUGACAUGAGAGACCCUAUUUUGUAGGUCACAUUGUAACUGUAAAAAUCUCUAACUAGAAUAUUGAACUUAUCACAAUGAGGAAGGGCAGCUGGAUUGGCCAAGUUUUUCAUUGGAUCUUCAAAAACAACACAAAAGGCAAUCCCCAGCCAGUCGGUACAUGAUGGCGGAGGAAGCUCUACAUUUAUUGAAUGUCCCACACUUUGAUUCUUGAACCACCCUGGAAUUUCACUUCCAGGGAUUACAAUUUCUUGGCCACAAACUGAGAAUCCCUGUAGCAGAAGAAAGAUCAAUUAUUUAGAGAGAGAGAGAGAGAGAGAGAGAGAGAGAGAGAGAGAGAAAGUACCUGAGUGGCAAAUUUUAGAAUCGUGGAGAGUAUUGUAUUAAUCCAGCCUUCAUCUUGUGCCAAGGCAAUGUUAUUCAGGCAAAAGAACUUAUAACAAAAAGACUCUCUACCAUCGAUACUGGUGUAUCUACUCAUCAUCUUGGAUGGAUCUAACAACCUUUUUAAGGAAGUACAAUUCUCUACAUCCACCCACAAAGAGCCCUUUGAUGGAAGAGGUGGCAAUUCUUGAAGGCUUUUGCACCUCCGAAGACUAAGAAUCGAAAGCUUAGAAAGGCAUCUAAUGCUUUUAGGUAGACUGACGAAAUUAUUUCCACUAAGAUCCAAUCUUUCCAUAAGGGACAAGCAGCCAAUAUCAUUGGGGAUAUCCCCUUCAUAGAGUUCACAAUCUCUUAGAUAUAACUCUCUCAAAGAGCAUAAACGAUUUAGAGAAGACGACACCACACCCCAACGAGGAGGAUCAGGACGACUCCUUUCAAGUCCUAAACAGCGGAGAAGGCCACACCCGUCCCUUGCUGUAGCAUCCGAUCCUUCAUCCAAUUUGUCAAACUCUAGAUGUUCAAGAGACUUCAAACUAUAAAUAGCCAUUGGAAGGUUCAAGAGAUUUUUGCAAUUCAUUAGAUUCAACUUCUUAAGGCCAACCAGAUGUCCAAUUGAUGAAGGUAUUUCCUCGAUCGCCGUCCCACCUAAGAAAAUCCAAGACACAUUCUUCAUCUGCUCCAAAUUCUGGAAUCUCUUUCAGAUUUGAGCAGUCACUAAGAUCGAAAAUCUCAAGGGAAUCCAUUUCAACCUUACUUGGGAGGUUCUUAAUGCUUUUGCAGCCACAAAGCCACAAAGAUUUAAGUUUUUUGAGGACUGCAAGAGACGGGUGGAUCUCGACUAAAUUUUUACAACUCGCAAGAUCCAACGUCUCAAGUUUUGAAAGACCACUAAAAUCUGGGGUACUAAUCAAUUUAUUGGAGUCGCUAAGAUCGAUAUAUUUCAAGUUGGGCAAGUCCUGUACAACACCGAUAAGUUUCAGAUCAUAUAUUUAGCUUCUACAACCUUAAUAUUUAUUCAAAACAAUAAAUAAAUAAAUAAAUGAUAAUUUUUUAAAUUAAAUAGCAUUUAUUCAAUGCUACUUCUUACCUUUUUCCCCUCCCAUAGCCGAACAAGUUUGCUCCCACGCAUCUCAAGUUGAGUAAGAAAAUGCGGUUGGAACCUGGUUGGAAGAAACUUGGACGGAUAGAAACUCCAAUUUAUAGUUCUCAAGGAACAUGGAAGAAAUUCGGGGCUUGAAGUAAAAAUCAAAUUACCGAAUUCCAAAAACCUCAGUCCAUGGAGCUUAGAGAAGGCUUCCCAAUUCCACUGGUGUACCUCCUCUAUUUUGGGCAAGCAUAAGGAUAUUGCUUCAAUUGCUUCCGUUCCCUAACAAUUAAGAAAAAAGAACAAAUUAAUUUCACAGUCAAAUCUAAUAUAGUGUCAAAAAAAAUCGUAUCUUCUUUUAAACUUAGUAUUUAACUUCUUACCGUAUUAGUCAUGAAUACAUGAUUUAUGUCCUCGAAAAGCCACAACCUACUGCGUUGACCAGACUCUUUAGACUCGUCACCAACAAUUUUCCAUGCCAUUUCUUGUAUCAAAUCAUGCAUCCUUAUGCAAUUGUGGUGAUAUUGAUAGAGGAGAGAUCUCUCAAUUAGUACAUCUAUCACAAUACGGCUAGACAUUCCAAAAGGAUUCGAAUUAUAUAGUAUUUCAAUUACUUUCUUCGUGUACUUCCCUUUGUGGAAACAUGCAACAUCGAGGAAAAUGCUCUUCUCCCGCUCAUCUAGUCGAUCAUAACUUAUUUUAAGUUUAUCAAAAAUUGUUGGAUUAAGAAUUUUUGACAGACUAUUCCGUUCACUAAUCCAAGCAUCUAGCCCUCUCUUAAACAAUGCUGACCCAAAAAUUAUAAGAGCUAAUGGAAGGCCACUAGCAUAAUUAAUGAAAUACUUGGACAAUUCCAAAAAAUCUUCCUCAGGUUGGUCUUUUUUAAAGGCAUGCAGGCUAAAGAGCUUAAGUGCUUCGGCAUCAUUUAACCCCUGCACCUUAUAUGAUGUUUCUAUACCAUGUUGGACUAGCAAGCGCUGAUUCCUAGCUGUGACGAUAAUUCUACUCCCCAUACCAAACCAACCUUGAUUUCCAGCCAACAAUUCGAGUUGCUUUAAUUCAUCCACAUCAUCAAGUACGAGAAGAACCUUUUUAUUGUGUAAGAACUUCUCAAUGAGAAUGCUUACGCGUUCUUCAUCCCAAAUUUCUGCGAUCCUUUCCCUCAAGAACGGGAAAAGAAGCUUUUUUGCAAGAUCAACUAUACCAUUUUUUGCAAAAACUUCUCUAACAUUGACAAGAAACCAAUGAACUUCAAAUCAUGGCAGAUUUUAUCAUAAACUAGGUUAGCAAGGGUUGUCUUGCCUAUGCCGCCCAUCCCCGUUAUCCCAAUAAAGCGAACAUCAUUGACAUCGUGAGCUAGUAGCAAACUUAGUUGCUCAAGUGCAUAAUCAAUUCCGACUAACUUCCGUGAGGAAACUGAUAGCGGGAAUGUAGGUUGCACCUUCCUCCACACCCAUUUGACGAUGUCUUCAAUCAGCUCUCUAUCACACCUGGAAAGAAGAAAAGUAUAAUCAGUCAACCAAACAGGGGCACCAAAGCAAGAACAAGAACGAAACAUUCAAAUAUGCACGCUUACUUAAAAUCCUUCCAAUGCCUCCCAGAAAUUUUGGAUACUCUGUUUAGAUCAGCUUUCCAUUGGAUCACCUUCUUUUUAUCUUCGGUACUGAUCAAGUUUUUUUCAUGCUCCUCUAAGGCUUCGGCAAAAGACCCCCUCUGAUUUCCUAUGUCGGAGGGAUUUGUCUCAUAAAAGACCGGCAGAACCGACUUCCUGGCUUCCAUGCAUUGAAGAAUGGUUGUAAGUUCAUCCAAGCACCAUUUGGAAGAAGCAUAGUUCGGCGAGAGAACAACAAUUGCAGUAUGCGAUUUUUUGAUCGCACUUGGGAGCUCAAGACGAAUACUUGCUCCUCCUUCAAGCUCUCGAUUGUCAAUGAAAGUAGUAAUUCCUUGGCACUUCCACAAUUCAUGGUAUAAAUGGGAUACAAAACCCUUGCGGGUGUCUACACCCCUAAAGCUCAAAAACACAUCAUACUCCGAUGGAUGAGUUGAUUCAUUCAAAAGAAAAGAUGCAGAGGCUCUUUGGGUGCUCAAUGCCAUGGGGAGAAACAGUUGCUGUAAAUCGUGUACUGCAAACAGUAAAUGAAUGAACAAGUAAAAAGAUAGAAAAUCAAUCUUUUAAAAUGUAAAAAAAUAAAAAAAUAAAAUUGAAACUUUAAAAUGUAUAUAUAUUAACGAAAAAGAGAUUAAGGACCCAGAGAAAAUACUAGAAAAAACCAAAAUCCAGAAUCAGCACAAACUUACACAUGUAGAGCAAGGCGACAAUGGCACGGCAAGAAGCAGAAAAAUCACAGUGAAAAUUCUCACAACAAAGUUGUAGGAAGAGACGAAAUUGAGAGAGGUAGGAAUGGAAAUAAAUGAGAGAGAUGGACAGCAGAGUACUCAUACCGGUAGCGGUGGUGUUAGGAAUCACACGGUUAAGUAUCUGUGAUAGAAUGUGAAUUAUUUCUUUGACAAAGAAGCAACAAGGAAAUCCCCAUACACAUGUACUGCCAUUACCAAAGUGAAGGGACAAGGAUUUUCCACAAUAAAAGUGGAAGACUGACCAUGAGAAGUUUCGAGGAAGCUUCCUUGUUUGGGUUGGGUGCCUUGUCUUUCUUUACCUCUAAUCUAGGUUUCCAACUUUCGACUAAGUUUCCAACUUUCUUAUCAUAAAAGAUAUUUCAUGUCUCUUUGUUUUUCUAAAAAGGAAAGGGUAAUGCUUAUGUCACCCACUAAUCUAUGUUUUUUCGUACAUGCAUCCUAAUGUCAGGUUCUCCUUUUGAUAUGUGGGCGUGAUCAAUCUGCCCAAUGCCUCCCAGCAAACAUGAUUGGCUUUAAGACCAUUUUUAAAUGAAAUGUUAAAUUAUAAUUGAUAGUUGAUGUUGUAAUAUGAAAUCUCAUGUCAAAUUUUGUACUUCUCCAACUAAUAUUAUUUUAAUAUUUAAAUAGAACUUUAAAUGAUUGUAAUUAUUAAAAAAAUGUUGAAACAAAAUUUUUAUUGGUUGAAAUGUCAGUGGAAUAAGAGACCCGCUAUUAAAAUAAAUUAAAAAUAAAUUUAAUAUUGAUGUUAAACUUGACAUCAAAUCACUAAGCCUUCCGAUCCAGUCAACAAAUAAUACUUCGAUUGAAGAGACUUUUAAUGUCAAAUAUGCACAGUGGCAUUUCAUCUAGAAUUUUAACAUCUCAUUUAGAAAUGCUCUAACCAGUCUCAUUACAAAUGGGUUAUCUAUUUUUGUAUUAAAUUUGAAGCCCAAGUAGUAUUUGAAACGGUUGUAAUCCUUACUAUUUGAUUAUAUAUUGAAUACCCAAAGCUAUUCCUUUAAUAUAUAUAUAUAUAUAUAUAUAUAUAUAUAUAUAUAUAUAUUUAAAAUGGCAAAAGUCCAAAGAGAACAACAAAUGAAAACUGGGCAAAGAAGAAAAUUCAAAGCACCAGUAGACAAAAGUCAAAACCUAAAAACCAAAGCCUAAACCACGCAGGAGAAGGCAGCAAACAACUUAGAGACUUAAGGAGCAACAACAUUCCAGGAAGACCCCUAUGUUAAUGGUGGAAGGCAUAACUUUCAAAGUACACACAAUCAACACCAAAUCAUGAUGGUGAUCAACUGAAGCUAUUCUUAAUGACAAUCUUCACGAUACAAAUAAAAUACCCAAAGGUGUUACACGAGACUAUUUUUCAGUUUUUAGUUUUUAAUUUUUAAAGAAAACUUGUUUGUCAACUACUUUCAGUUUUUAGUUUUUAAAGAAAUAAAUAUUAAAAAUUAAUUUCUAGAGCUUUCAAAAUUGUAUUUUCAGUUUUUAAUUUCUUUAUCUAAACGUGUUAUAGAUGUGUAACUAACAAAAGGCAAUAAAAGAAGCAAAAAAAUCACCCUGAAAUUCUCAAAGCAAAAUUGUAGCAAGAGAGGAAAACAACAAUGAAAAUGAAUUACAUGAACUGAAACGCCAUGACACAAGGCAAUAAAAUAUAUAAAAUGUUAUAUGUGAAAAAGAACAAUGAUUUACAUGAACUAAAACGCCAAUAUAGCCGUGUAAUCAACUUAUUACCUGUUGUCACGUUACAAAGUUAAGGUACGAUGAGGUGGGGAUAAAUUUGUGCCACACCGCUGUAAUGUUUUCGUGCAAUAUAAAGCUCCUGAAAGAGGCAACAAGAAAAUCCCCAUGCAAGAGCUGUCCAACUUUUAAUACUCAUUCAAGAGGAAAAGCUAAAGGAACACGUUAACAAAUGUACUAUUAAAGUGAAAGGACAAGUAUUUUCCACAAGAAAAGUGGAAGACGGACUCGAGAAAUUUCCAGGAAGUUUCCUUGUUGGGACGGUUUACCUUUUCUCUUCUCACCAAAGUGAUUGGAUGCAAGAUUUCUGAGUAAGUUUCCAACUUUCUUAUGAGAAAAGAUACUCAUGUAUGAAUAAGUGCCCAACUUUCUUCUGAGAAAAGAUAUUCAUGUCUUUUUGUUUCUAUAAUGUUGCUAAAGCCACUUACUCGUCUGAUUUAUUCACCCAUUUUGCAACACUCGUUCGUAAGUAUUUUCCACAAAAAUAAAGGGUUCUGCAAACUAAAAUACUAGUCAAUGAACAAAUAAAACAAAAACGAGCAGUGAAAAGAAAAUAGAAAAUAGAAACUUUAAAUCUUGUUUUGUUAAUUGAAAAUGUAUGCUAAGCAAAAGAGGUUAAGGUUUCAAAGAAAAUACUAGAAAUAAAAAUACAUGAUUAGACAAACUUACAUAGGCAGAGAGAAGUGACAAAUAACAAGGAAAGAAGCAGAAAAAUCACUUUGAAAAUUCUCACAGAAAAAUUGUUGCAAGAGGGGAAAUUGAGAGGGGGAGAGGAAAUUGAGAGAGGGGAAAGGAAUAAAUGGCAGGGAGAUGGACAGCCAUAUAAUUAUAUUGGUAGUGAUGGUGGGGACGACACGGUUUAGUGUCGGUGAUAGUGGAUGAUGGUGAAUUAUUUCUCCAUGUGAACGUGAUGACUAUGUUAAAGGCAUUGGACGCGUUUCUUUCCUUUUGGUUCCCAUCAGCAAAGAGAAAAAGAAAGGCAGCCUAUGCCUUUCAGCUCCUAAAAAACAGAGAAAGGAAAAACUCUAUUUAUUCUUUUGUUUGAGUGAGAGUUAUAUGGUGUAUCUGAAAUUUGGGUUUGAAAGUUAAAAUCUUAUUUGUAAUCUUUAUUGAUUAGUGGUGGAAUUUUCUUGCCGUCUCUAUACUGGAUGGAGUCUUAUGCCGAACAAAUAUAAAUCUUUGUGUUACUUUGAACUGUUUGUUUUGUCCAAAUUUUCUAUAUUAACUUAUUAGUUUUACAUUUGACGCUUCCCCACAACACUUACCGCUAAAAACUGAGCUAAACCAUUUAAUCAAAUUAAACUACAAGUCCUCUGAUGAAACUGCUCAUAUUGGUUUCAUUUGACUGAUUUGAAUGUUUCAUCACAUAAGUAUUAAAGAUAAAUAUUUUUUUAUCAAACGUUAGAUUUUGUUAGAUUUUGAAUGGCAAGUGUCUUCGCCCAUGAGCGGUAGGUCUCGGGUUCGAGACUUGGGAGCAACCUCUCCAUAAAUGGGGGUAAGGCUAGCCGACAUUCACCUCUCCCAGACCCUGCGUAAAGCGGGAGCCUUGUGCACUGGGUACGACCUUUUUUUUUUUUUUAGUCAUCGACAAACUUCGAACCCAUGCUGUCAUGCAAGAACUCAACAUCUUUCCACUACUGUGGUAAACGAUCACUUGCAAGUACAAGGAUAAACUUGGACUAAAAGGAAGAACAAAUACUAAAUUAGUGAGAACAUCAGCAAUCAAACAUUGGCAACCAGUAUCAAGCCAAAGAUAAAUUAGAAGGACCUUGCAAGCAAAUCCGUCAGCCAACAUUUAUAAUCACCACCAUCACACAAGCUAUCAGGUAACAAAACAAAUUAAACUCUCAACAGGAAAGAAAGAAUGAAUUACAUGAAACAAGAACUUCAAGAUACCGGUGUAAUCAACCUAUUACGUAUUGUCACGCCACAAAGUUAAAAUCUCCCUGAAAAAAGCAACAAGGAAAUCCCUAUGCUAGAACUGUCCACUUUCCAAUACUCGUUCAAGAGGAAAAGCUGAAGGGAAUACAUUAAAAUAUGGACUCCUAAAGUGAAAGGACAAGUAUUUUCCUGAUUUCCAAUACUCGUUCCAGAGUGAAGGAAACAAGUAUUUUCUACAAAAAUAAGUGGAAGACUGACUCUGAGAAAUUUCCAGGAAGGUUCCCCAUUUGAACGUGCUAUAUUUCUUCACCUUUUCUAUUCUCGCCAAAGGAAAUCCCCAUACAUAUGUACCACCAUUACCAAAGUGAAGGGACAAGGAUUUUCCACAAUAAAAGUGAGUCAAACUAUUUUUGAUUUUUAGUUUUUAAAGAAAACUUGUUUGACAAUUACUUCAAGUUUUUAGUUUUUAAGAAAUGAAAACUGAAAAACUAGUUUCUUGAGCUUUCAAAAUUUGUAUUUUCAGUUUUUAGUUUUAGUUUUUAGCAACGCCAUGACACAAGCCAUCAAAUAACAAAACCAAUAAAAUGUCAACUGAAAACAUUAUAUGUGAAAACGAACAAUGAAUUACAUGAAAUGAGAACACCAAAGCAGUCGUGUAAUCAACCUAUUACGUGUUGUCACGUCACAAAAUUAAAAUACAAUGCAAGGUGUCGACAAAUUUGAGCCACACCGUUAAUGUAAUGUUUCUGUGCAAUGUAAUUCUCCCUGAAGGAAGCAACAAGGAAAUCCCCAUGCAAGAGCUGUCCACUUUCCAAUACUCGUUCAGGAGGAAAAGCUAAAAGGACAAGUAAUUUCCACAAAAAAAUGGAAGACAGACUAUGGGAAAUUUGCAGGAAGCAAGAAUUCUGAGUAAGUUCCCAACUUUCUUCUGAGAAAAGUAUUAAUGUCUCUUUGUUUGUUCAGUGAUGCCAAAGCCACCUACUUAUCUUAUUUCUUCACCCACUUUCCAAUACUUGUUCCAGGGUAUUUUCCACACAAAAAAAGUGGAAGACUGACUUUGAGAAAGUUUCCUUGCUGGGACGUGUUAUCUUUCUUUACCUUUUCUUCAAGAGGAAAAUAUUUAAGUCACCCACCGUGAAACUUCUAUAUAGGUUUUUUCACACAUCUGCUUGUUAGGUCCGCACUUCUCCAACGCUUUGGGCCACACAUCUGUUCUAUUAAUCAGAUCUGGAAAAAGCAGCAACGGUAGCAAUUCUGCCUCCUCACGUACUUUAGGACAGACUAAGCUAGAAAGAUGGGUUACAAGUCCACUUACAAUGCUGAGUCUUUGUUGAACAUGCUGCGACUUCCCCUGUCAUUUAGACAACCCAUUUCGCAGUUGCACCCUGCGCUAAAUAUAUCACCCCCAGCAAUUAGCAAUAUCAAAUCUGAUAAAACCAGUCAACCAACUGAGAAGUCUUCAAUGCAAGCUGCAAUGUAAGAGUUGAGUUGAAAUGGUCCAUACAUCAAAGAAAAUGAGCAUUCGUAAGAAUCAUGUAACCUAGGCUAAGUUCCAUGGACUCUUAAGAUCUCUCAUCCAAACAUAGUAUAAACACUGGAUUUGGAUGAUGGUGUUUAGAGUUCCAUAAAACCUAGGCUACACCUUUCAGAAACGCACUACCAAAAAAAAAAAAGAUAGAAGGGCUUCAAAAUGACUAGAUACAAAACAUUUGAGAGAGAACUUUCAAAUGACACCUUAAAAGUCCUUUGUUGCUAGGGAUGGGCAAUGGUUAUGCGGGCGGGUAACCGCGGUUAAUUUACCCAUAACCGUUUAUGCUCAUACCCGCAUAAUCGUUUACCCGUUGGGUAAUUGCCUAAACGGUUAUACUCAUACCCACAACCGUUUAUAAACGGUUAACCAUACUCAUAAUCGCAUACCCAUUUAACCGUAACCGUUUAAUACCCGUUUAUCCAUUUAUCUUUUAUAACCCGUUUAUCUUUUUUUUUUACCAUUACCCUUUUUCACCCGUCUACAUGUUUUUUAACAACUUGAAAAUUAAAAAAAAAAUUGUCAUAAUUUUUUUUUUGACAAUUAAACACCGUUAUAGGUACAUUCAUACAUUUCCAUAUUUUAAUUUUUGAAGUCCUUAUACCAUUCCAAUAAUUGAAAUAAUAGUUUACGGACAAUAUUUUUAACUGUUACCAAUGAAGGUAAAUAUAAUAUUUGCUAAGUAUUAUUGGGUUACAAAAAUUGUUUAGAAGACAUUUCUGUCAAAGCAUUUCUGUCAAUUUCACGGUUACCCGCAAGGAAUUUAAAUUAAUUUGGCCAAUUCCUUGAUGAUGAGCAAGGAAGAAAAUAUCGGUGAUAUCGGAAAUAUCGGUAGUUCGAAAACACGGAAAUAUCGAUGGAAAUAUCGGUAAAAUAUCGAUAUCGAUAAAAAUUACAUGGAAACCACGGAAAUUGUAAGAAAAACUUGGAAAUUUUUAUUGAAACUUUGUAGGAUGUUUAUUUAGUCAAUUAUCUAUUAGUUUAUCACAAAAAAUUGGAAGGAAAUGCAUUGCAUGAUGGAUUUAACAUUAUCAAGUUGAUUAUAUAGCGAUCUGACAAACAUUAUGAGUGUAGAAAAUAUGUAGUAAUUAAUGAAAGAAGUCUAAACACACCAUAAUCAUUUAUAUAUAAUGAAUUAGUACAAUAUUUUACACUUUAGUACCACAUAGAGUUCCUAUGAGGUUCAAAUUUGUCACUAUCUUCAUCAUCUCUAUGUGUAGAAUGAGUGUAUUGUGAAGAGUAGUUAUCAAAUGAUAAAUCCCCAAAAUAGUUUUGCAUGUAAUUGUUAAUAUGCCACCCAUAUGGAUCCGAGAUUGGUUGAGGUUGUCCAUAAGAAAAAUCAUUUGAAGAUUGAGGCUGGGAUUGAUUCCAUGAGUCGCUCGAUUCCAUCCCAACAGGAAUGGGAUAUGAAGGGUAGGGAAAUGGUUGGUUAUGAGUAUAACCAUAGUUACUACUUCCCAAUCCAACAGAGUCUGAAGUUCUAGAUAACGAGUCAUCUUCUUGACUUGACAAAAUCCUUUUGCCUCUUUCUCUGCGAGUAUAGUCCUUCCCUAUGGCACCAAUUCCUGGUCCUGCCCGCCUACUGCCAUGGUCAUCAUCUUGUGUUGCAUGCGUGAAAUUUGCCUCACCAGUGAAGGGGCUCAUAUAUCCGGGAGGUGGUGGUCCAUAAUAGUUUCCAUAUCCACCACCACUACCUCCAGCUCCACUAUGUCCUUCAUCAUUCCCACCUCCGGUGGUAGGUGAGUCUCCUGAUCUUGUACUAGAGCUAUCAUUAGUAUCAGCACGAUGUUGUGGUUGUGUAGGAUUGGAAAAAGGUGGAAUUCCAGUGUUGCUUGGUAUUGGGUGCAAAAGUUCUUCGAAAGAGUCAGCGCUGCUAGAUCCCACCUCCUCCUCUAAUACUCUUUCUACAUUUAUCCCUUCAUUACGUGCUUCUUCAGCAACUCUGGGAGCUGGGUUGCCUUCAUCAUCAUCUAAAUGAAGAGGUCUAAUCCAUUGAAAAAGUUGGUUACCCUCCGUAUCAUCAUCUUCAACAACAAUAUCAAACACAUCUAGUGGGUCACCACGGUCGACAUGAUCGAUUUCUGCUUCCUUAUCUCGAAUUUGAAGCUUCAUGUUGUAGUAGCAAUAAACUAAUUUUUCCAAGCUACUAUGAGCCAACUUAUUUCUUUGCUUUGUGUGGAUGAGUGCAAAUGUGCUCCAAUUUCUUUCACAAGCAGAUGAGGAAGCUGUUUGUGAUAAUACUUUUAUUGCUAACUUUCUCACAGUUGGUGCAUCGGUCCCAUACAUGAUCCACCAUUCAGCUACAAUGAAAAAUAAUGUUGAUAAGCCUAAUAACUCCAACAAAUUCUAUUAUAAACUUAUAGUGAAAUAUGUUUAUACUCACUAGGAGACAUAUUUGUUCGAGCAGCAACUGAUGUUGGUUCUCCAAAUGUUCUUCUUGCAUCUUUAAACCAUGUUAGCUGAAUACAAUAAAUUGUGUUAGUUUAAUCCAACAAAGUAAUUAUUAUAAUUUAAGUAAUUGUGUACCUCAUUUCCAAAUUGGCCAACUGCUGGUGAUGCAGGGUCUAAUUUAGAGUAUACAUUAUGUACAGCACGUAUAAGGUCACCAUCAUCUCCAACACCGGGUCUGUAUUGGUAUCGGGGAUUCAAAUAAUAUGCUGUUCAAAGAAACACAUACUCUAAUAAGAUAAAUAAUACUUAUGCAACUAAAGAAAUGAAUUGCAAAUUAUGACAUAAUUUAUACCUGCUGCAUGCAAAUCGUGGUAUAAUGUUUUAUACCAUCGGUCUUCAAUUAUUUUUACGACCCACCUUGCACCAUGUUUUCUUUCCAAUUCAUCCUUCACUACACGCAUCAACUCAUAUACUGCCCCCAUAGUAGGAUACACUUCUGUGUCAACGAUCCGUAAAACUUUGUAAAGAGGUUCAAACACUUGACACACAUGUUCUGUUUGACUCCAAAAAGCAUGAUCAAACACUAUACUUUCCACCAUACGACCUGUAUUUGAGCGGCUGAAAUUGUGGUUGGCCCAAUCGUCACUAGUGAAUAGUUGCUUCAACCCUGCUUUCUUCUUGAGUAGGCUGUUUAAUGCAAUAUAGUUGGUGGUGAAUCGAGUGGUAGCUGGACGAAUAAUUUCUCCUCUGCAAAAUUCACGCAUCUUUGCCAACAACCAACCGUGAUUGUAAAUAUAAUUUGUGAUCGUUCUAGCUCUUUUGACCACAGUAGCAACAUUCUCUCUUCCCCAUUGCCUCAAACAUAAGAUCAAUACAAUGUGCUGCACAUGAUGUCCAAAACACAUUAUGAUGCUUCAUUAACUUUUUUCCAGCUUUGAAAAAUGCAGAACCGUUGUCGGUCACGACUUGGACAACAUUAUGCUCUCCCACCUCCAUGAUUACAUCCCUCAAUAAUUUGUAAAUAUACUUGUAAUUCUUUAUAUGGUCUGAAGCAUCAACAGACUUCAAAAAAAUUGUCUUUCCCUUGGAGUAUACCAUGAAGUUGAUGAUAGAUAAUCUGGUCGGGCCGGUCCAUCCGUCACACAUGAUUGUGCAACCAUUAGUUUCCCACUUUGACCUCAACUUGUUAACAUACUCGCCAAUGUCUUUAUACUCCAUAUCCAAAUAUUUGUUUCUUAUCUCAUAGGGAGUGGGAGGUUGUACUCCAACACCGGCCUGUUGACAUCCCACUACCAUAUUUUUUGAAAUGAUGUGAUGAUGCCUUCGCAGCAGGGACAUUUUCAUAGAUAAAGAACUUGCUAAUUAGACGCCCCAUUCCCUCCUUCACAUUACCUCCCUUGAAAUAACUCCAAACACUCUUUUGACGUGCGUUGGAUGACUUAUAUAAACUUGGGGCUAUUGGUGGUGUUGGUUGUGAUUCUCUAAGACUGCCUCCCCGUCUCAUUUGUGCACCACCACUUGUCCCGGAACCUUGUCCCCUAUUAGGAAUUUUAUGAAGGUGUUCUCUUUCCCAUGCUGACUGUUUGGAAGCACGUAAUGCUUGUUUCAAACUGCGUCGUUCUUCAGGUCCCAUGUCAUCAUCACAUUCGUCCUCAUCGUCAUCAUCAUCACUGUCAACCGCUUGGCCAUAGACUUCUCCCCGUAGCCCAGCUCGAAUAUUUUCCAUUCCUUGUGUCAUCUUUUCCUUCUGCUGUUUUUUAUUUUUUAAUAAUGUGCUGAUGAAUGCCUUCACUUCUGGGGGGACAUUAUCGCAUCGUUUGACAUUUUUUGAUAGAUCUAAUCCACUAAGAUGAUACUUCAGUCGUGUCACUCCGCCACUCUUCAUUACCCGACCACAAUAUUUGCAAAUUGUGCCAUGUUUGUUUCCGUCUAUUGGGUCUCCAUGUUCCCAAGCUGGAUCACGUUUACUGGACAUCUUAAACGUACCUAUAUUUAUUUUUCAUUAAAAUUAGACAAUUAUUUUUUGAUAAAAAUAAGAGAACCUAAAUAAUAAAGUUAUUCUACAGAAGAAUUAAAUACAAAGUAAAGAAAAUGAUUGUAAAAAGUUAAGUAAUUAUACAAAUAAUAUGGAAUAAUAAAACCUAAUAUUAAUGAAUAAUAAUCCAAUUUGAUAAUAAUUCAAUUUAAUGAAUAAUAAUCCAAUUUGAUAAAAAAAAAAUCCUAAUAUAAAAACAUGGUGAUGAAUAAUAAUCCAAUUUGAUAAUAAUCCAAUUUAAUGAAUAAUCCACCAAUUUGAUAAAAAAAAUUAUCCUAAUAUAAAAACAUGGUGAUGAAUAAUAAUCCAAUUUGAUAAUAAUCCAAUUUAAUGAAUAAUCCACCAAUUUGAUAAAAAAAAAAUCCUAAUAUAAAACAUGGUGAUGAAUAAUAAUCCAAUUUGAUAAUAAUAAUCCAAUUUGAUAAUAAUCCAAUUUAAUGAAUAAUCCACCAAUUUGAUAAAAAAAAUUAUCCUAAAUUAAAACAUGGUGAUGAAUAAUAAUCCAAUUUGAUAAUAAUAAUCCAAUUUGAUAAUAAUCCAAUUUAAUGAAUAAUCCACCAAUUUGAUAAAAAAAUUAUCCUAAUAUAAAACAUGGUGAUGAAUAAUAAUCCAAUUUGAUAAUAAUCCAAUUUAAUGAAUAAUCCACCACUUUGAUAAAAAAAAUAAUCCUAAUAUAAAACAUGGUGAUGAAUAAUAAUCCAAUUUGAUAAUAAUCCAAUUUAAUGAAUAAUCCACCAAUUUGAUAAAAAAAUUAUCCUAAUAUAAAACAUGGUGAUGAAUAAUAAUCCAAUUUGAUAAUAAUCCAAUUUAAUGAAUAAUCCACCACUUUGAUAAAAAAAAUUAAUCCUAAUAUAAAACAUGGUGAUGAAUAAUAAUCCAAUUUGAUAAUAAUCCAAUUUAAUGAAUAAUCCACCAAUUUGAUAAAAAAAAAUUAUCCUAAUAUAAAACAUGGUGAUGAAUAAUAAUCUGAUUUGAUAAUAAUCCAAUUUAAUGAAUAAUCCACCACUUUGAUAAAAAAAUAAUCCUAAUAUAAAACAUGGUGAUGAAUAAUAAUCCAAUUUGAUAAUAAUCCAAUUUAAUGAAUAAUCCACCAAUUUGAUAAAAAAAUUAUCCUAAUAUAAAACAUGGUGAUGAAUAAUAAUCCAAUUUGAUAAUAAUCCAAUUUAAUGAAUAAUCCACCAAUUUGAUAAAAAAAUUAUCCUAAUAUAAAAGAAUAAUAAUCCAAUUUGAUAAUAAAAAAACCUAAUAUAAAAGAAUAAUAAUCCAAUUUGAUAAUAAAAAAAUCUAAUAUUAAAGAAUAAUAAUCCAAUUUGAUAAUAAAAAAACCUAAUAUUAAUGAAUAAUAAUCCAAUUUGAUAAUGAAGAUGGUAAGGGAAAUAAAAUAAUAAAUAAUAUUAAACAUAUUAAAAUUAUCCUAGGGAAUAAUUAUACAACAUUACUUAAUUACUUAAAACAAUUAAUAUUAACAUUACUUAAUUACUUACAAAAAUUAACAUGCAAGUAUUAAUUACUUAAAAAGAUUCACAUACGAGUCCACACAAAUUUAUUUGUUGUUGUAUAAAAUUACAAUAAUAUAAAUUUAAGUUUGUAAACUUACCUUAAAUAUUGAAGCCUUUGUGUUCAAGCUUUGGAAUGGAUCUGGAAUGACUUUGAAAAUGGUAAGGAAAAUAAAAUAAUAAAUAACAUUAAACAUAUUAAAAUUGUCCUAGGGAAUAAUUAUACAACAUUACUUAAUUACUUAAAACAAUUAAUAUUAACAUUACUUAAUUACUUACAAAAAUUAACAUGCAAGUAAUUACUUAAAAAAAUUAACAUACGAGUCCACACAAAUUUAUUUGUUGUUGUAUAAAUUACAAUAAUAUAAAUUUAAGUUUGUAAACUUACCUUAAAUAUGGAAGCCUUUGUGUUGCUUGGCUAUGGAAAGGAUCUGGAAUGGUUUUGAAAAUGGUAUGGGAAGAAGAAUGUAAGUUAAAAUUCGGUGAAUGCCUCUGAUACUCCACUGGAUGAAAGAAUGUAAGUAUAUAACAGACAUUGACACUGUUUUGCAUGUGAAAGACAUUGACACUGUUUUGCAUGUGAAAGACUGUCACACGCUUUCAUUACGAAAGCAGUAGUAUUUGUUGUGCAUGUUCUGAAAUUGCAAAAAGUUCUUUGGAUCAUUGGAUCAGAGAGGUAGACAUAGGUUUGGAAUGAUUUGGUUUUGAAUAAUUUGGAGCAUUUGAUGCUUUUUUUUCUUACACGCCAUCACUCAGACAGUCAAAAAGACUGAAGAACUCACACUCCACCACACACACACUUCGAGACCCCCCCACCACACCACACACGCACACCACACACGUACACCACACACGGAGGUCUCUCUCUCGGUCUUUCAUUUCCCACUCCACUACCAUAUUCUCGAAUCCUCUCAAUCUCUCUCUUCUCUCUUCUCUCUCUGAGGUCGGUCUGAUCCAUUGUUCUCACCGAGAACUUCUCAGUCUUCUCCCUCCCUUCCCCCUUCUCCAGUUCUUCCACACACACACAGAGACAUCAUCUCUCGAUUCUCGAUCCUCCUCGUCCGUGUCUCCGUGUCUCCCUGUCUCCCUCUGCUCCUCCCAUCUCACCCGCCCUAAACCCAGCCGUCGACACCACUCCAUAACCGCCUUCUAAACCACCUUGAUCCAUGGAGAUCGACCGGAAAUCAUCGUAGUCCAAGCCGUCGACACCACUGAGGAGCACGACCUUGUCCCAGCCGUCUUGGAUUCGUGAGGAAGACGAUGUUCCAGGCUCCUACUUCUCUUCUUCUCGACUUUUACUUUAAAUUUUUGUAGAGAUUUCAAUUUUUCUGCAUGUUGCACCUUUGUUGUACUGAAAUUGAUUUUAGGGAUUUAGGAAUUAGGGUUUCUAUUAUUGUACAGAUUGCGAUUUAUCUGCAUGUUGCUUGAUUUUUGUACUGAAAUCGAUUUUAGGGAUUUAGGAAUUAGGGAUUCAGUUCAGUUGCUUUGAAUCCGAAUUUGGGGAUUUAGGGAUUCGGUUCAUUUGCUUUGAUUUUUGUACUGAAAUCGUUCUUCUCGGCUUGUAAACAUGUUGAUUUUUGUACUGAAAUCGAUUUUAGGGAAUCCUGUAUUGUAGAUUCAGUUCAUUUGCUUUGAAUUAGAAUUUGGGGAUUUAGGGUUUCGGAUUAUUUGCUCCGGUUGUGUUCUCCGAUGAGUCCAUACCAAAUAUCGCGAUAGUUUCGAAAAUAUCGCGAUAUUAUCGAUAUUAUCGAUAAUAUCGCGAUAUUCUGCCGAAAACAAGUUGGAUAGUUACUAAAAUAUCGGGGUCCCAAAAAAACGAUAAUAUCGGCGAUAUUUCGCCGAUAUUAUCAAUAUUUUCUACUGUGAUGAUGAGAAUCAUCAUUCCUGUAGUAGUGUUAUUGAGAGAAUGACCGAUGAAUUCCUUGCUAAUUUAUUGGGUGCUAAAUAUUAUUGGAUCGAGAAAAUGGUUUGUGUUAGUUUUACAUAUAUAAAAUAAAUGGGUAAGCGGUUACCCGUUUAUAACCGUGGUUAAUAUCCAUAACCGCCCAUUUAAAUUUCGCGGGUAAACGGUUAUACCCAUAACCGUUUAUUUAUCUAAACGGUUACCCAUAACCGUAACCGUUUAAUUUAAAUGGACGGAUAACCGCGGUUACCCAUAACCAAUGGGUAUUUGCCCAUCCCUAUUUGUUGCAUGUCUUUGUACUUCAUUGUAGUGUUUUAGUAGUAACUUUGUAGUGCUUUAGUAGUUCAUCAGUAGUGUUCUUGAAGUGCAUUUUUAACAAUUAAGUCUAAAGUUUGUCCCUCAUUCAAAUAUAGAACAAAACACCCCUGACAACUUUAUGUUUUAUGCAAAAAAACUUCAAGAGCUCAAUUGAAAGAAAAAAAGUCAUUGUCUAUCCACUUGUCAUGCUCUAAUUGAUUCUUAGUUGUGAAAUACUUCUCUCCAUCAUCAAGUCAGGUGGGUCAUUUUUUUUUCUUUUUUAGCUAUUGGAUUUAAAGUGUUUUUCUAUAAAGAUCAAGUAGCAUCAUCUUCCAGGAGAAUAAGUUUCGGAAAAGAACUAUUUACUUUCAAAAUGAAAGGCGAAAAUAUGGUACAGCACAUACACACUGCAGAUAUGACGUAGACGUACACCAGUAUCUAUUUCUUUACACACUCAACAUCAACAAAAUUUACAUAAUGAACAAUUUAUGAAAGCCCUUAUCACUCAAACGCAGCAUUAGGACCACUAAAGUAUAGGCAGGUAUAUUGUAAUCCGAUUAACCAUCAUUCUCCAGAAUCUUCACUCUUCAUGCAUGUGAUUAUAAAGACAUUACAUGAUAUACAAGUCUAAAACUCAUGAUUUUCUUUUUUAACUAUUGCGCUUGAAGUGUUUUUCUCUAAGGAUCAAGUAACCUUCAUCUUACAGCAGAAUAUACUCACUAAAUUCGUUAUCUAUUAUAAGUUUCGAAAAGAAUGAAUUAGUUCAGAAUGGAAGCGAAAUAUGGUACAACACAGUUUACACAGUUCUACUUUACACAGACUUAUACACCAUUUUCUACUUAUUUACACAGUCAAAAUCAAUAAAAUUAACAUAAUGAACCAUCUGAAUGUAGUUAAAACUCGCAUAAAUAUGUCAAUACUGCUUUCCUGUAAAACCGACCAUUUGCCACAAAUUGGGGCAUAAAUAAAGGCUAAAUUAACCUUGCCAAUGCUCCCCAGAUAUAAUAGGCAAAUCGAAAAACUUUUUUUCCUACUUCCAUAUUACUGGUCAACACCCCACGACAGUCACUAAUUCCCAAUUAUUCAAGUCUAUUUAAGAUCAAGGUUCAAAUGCAAAUUCAAUUUCACCAAUUACAAAUUCAUUGAAAAUUCAAGAAAUUGAACUCAUUGCCAAAGAAACAUAUAGUUCGAUUAGGGCCGACAUGCAAUUGAUUCUGAGGUUGUAAUCCAAAUUAUUAAUAAUAGGGAAGUAGAUUAUGUUAGUUAAUAAGUUGUAUUGGCGCAGCAGUUGCGCCGCUUUUCUCCGGAUAUUCAGCGACAAUGGAAACCCCAGGUCGAAAGGCCCACUUAGGUUUAUACAAGGGAUUCUGCUCUUCAUCGGUAUAAAAGUUUGAAUGUGGAUCGCUAAUCUCUUAUCCUUCACGGCUUUGCUCUAGGUCUUUGUUUGCACAAAAUCUAUUCACUUUUGGUCGCUUGAGCUUUUAGCCUGGUGUACUUAUGCACAUGGACCUAACAAUUUCUCCCUGUCACACAAUUGUUCUUUAAACCAAUUAUCUAUUGCGAAACCCCAACUAGAAUCUCACUUCACCAUUUUGGUAACCUUGUUCGGACACGGACCAGUCACGCUCUCUCUCACUCCACUUAGCAAUCCUAUAAUUCUAGCCAAAAUACAACAGCCAAAAAGAAAAAAAAAAAAAGGAAGGGGGGGCCCAAACCAAAUAUAUACUUGCAAAAUUACCUAACUGCAUAUAAGAAAACCAAACAGAAGAAGCUUAAAGUAUAAGGGGUUGUGGAUGUAAAAUCUAAUCCACCCAUCAACCCUUAAAUCAUAUGAACAAUCCAAAGUUUCAAAAUUAAAAAAAAACACAUGUUUAUUUGCCCUUAAUCUUUGAGUCAGCCAAAAAAGGAGUUUGCAAACCUGGACAUUUAGACAAAGGCUAACAUUAAAAACACCUAUUUAAUACCCCUGAAUCCAAUAACAACUGUACACCAAUGAACUAAUCACCUUUGAUUUAAGUAAAGACGUUGUUCACCCACACUUAUAAAUGCUUCCUAUAUCACUCCAAAGGCAUAUAAAUUGAACAGUCAACCAAAAACUUCUUUAUUCCCUUCCCCUAUGAUGAUAAAAGAGGACAUAAAGACAUCAAGCACAGCAAAAUUUGGACAAUAAUGGUAAAAAAACUGUGAUUUUAAUAUUUAAAUAUAAAUGCAUGUUAUGCAUUAACUGGGGAUGUAACAGUUAAAGAAUUAGAACCAAGUACAGCAGAUAGUAGUUCUUUUUAGUUUUUCUUAAUCCAAUAACCAAAUCCCAAAUACGUCAGCAAAGUUUGCUAGGAGAACUAUAUGAUAACAAGCUACAAUCAUAUUGGUGGAUAUAUUUCACUAAGCUAUAAAAUUCAGUAAAUGCACACAUAGAAAGCUACCAGUCACAAGGCUCCCGCUUUACGCACGAUUCGGGAAGGUGAUGGAAGCCUCCCCAAUGAGAGGCUGCUCCAAGUCUCACCCAGACAGCUCAUGUCGAAGCACUUGCCAUCUAGGAAGAUGAGUAACAAUCGACCAUAAAUUUGUUUGAAUUGGGAUUAUAGCUGUUUGUUGUGUUUGCUUUUCGUGCUUUACACUGGGAUUUUCUCAUUGCACUUUUGAUUUUCUAAGUUGGAGCAUUCUCCCGUUUUCACUUUCUUUUUCACACGAAUAAUUGGUGCCAUGUUUUUGAGUUCAAAUGAUUUUUUUUUUUUUUUUUUUUUGUCGUGGUUAAAAAUGUUUUUAUUCCAGGAUUUUGCUACCCCAUAUAUGUUCCUAGUCAAUUUCGAUUGCCAUUUGGUACUCCACAUAUAUUAUUAUUCAUGAUUGGAUAUGCUGUUCUUGAACUUGAAAUCAUCAUUCUUGAAUGGAUAUGAUGUUCUAAAGCAGAAGCUAUCCUUUACAAUUAUUCAAACUCUUGUAUCAAUAUUCUCAAUGACCCAUUCUUAUUUACAUAUUUUCAUUGGUUUGUAUUUCUAUAUCAAUAGAUAUUAUGUUUUAUGUUCCCUUUCAGAUUGUGAAUUAGGAAAAAAAUUUUAUUUUAUGUUGUAGGGGAGUCAACUAAAAAUACUAAGAAAUCCAAGAAAGAAAUCUAUACACAAAUCCAUAAAUCUAAUUAGGAUAGAAAUCCAUAUAAAUCUGUCAAAAUCCACACGGAAUUGUGAAUCUAUUAAAAUCCUUUCAAAUCUGUCACUUAAAGUCUAUUAAAAUCCUGUGAAAUUUAAAUUGACUACACCCCCCUUAAUUGUUAAACAUGCACUACAAGAACACUAUUGAUGAACUGCUAAAGCACUACAUAGUUACUACUAAAACACUUCAAAUGCAGUAGAAAGACAUGAAACACAGGACUUUCAAGGUUUCAUUUGAAAGUUCUUUCAAAUGUUUUGCAUCUAGUCAAUUUGAAGACCCUCUAUCUAUUUUUUUGCAAUGCAUUUCCAUCAUCCAAAUGCAGUGUUUACCCUAUUUUGGAUGAGGGACCUUAAAAGUCCAUGAAACUUAAGCUAAAUUUGUGAGGAGUUCUUUACAACAACGAGAUAGGGACUUGAAAAUGACUAGAUGCAAUACAUUUGAUAGAAUUUUCAAAUGUUCCAAAUGUCAUUUUGAAAAUCCCUUGUUUAGUGUUUUGUAGUGCAUUUCUAGUGCUUUAGAAGUAGAUUUGCAGUGUUGAGUAGCUCCAUGAUGGUGUUUAUGUAGUACAUUUAAAUUAAGUCCAAAUUUACUCAUACUUAGAAAGUCCUCACCCAAACACAGGGUUAGGGUAUUUCUAUGCAAACCACCAUGCUCAGAACUCCCAUGUAAUACCUCCAGAGUUUCGAGUGUUUAGAGAUCACUGUUCUGUGAGCAUUGCUUUCCAUUGUAAGCUAUAUUUUCAUUACUGUUUGUUAAUCCAUAUUUUAUAUUUCAUAUGCCUGCUCCUACCAUGUUUAUCAACCAGAAUCAGAAUACUUUUACUCUCUCUCAUUCUCUCUGUGUUCUUUAAUGAGAAACAACAACAACAACAACAAAGCCUUUUCCCACUAAGUGGGGUCGGCUAUAUGAAUCCUAGAACGCCAUUGCGCUCGGUUUUGUGUCAUGUCCUCCGUUAGAUCCAAGUACUCUAAGUCUUUUCUUAGAGUCUCUUCCAAAAAUUUUCCUAGGUCUUCCUCUACCCCUUCGGCCCUGAACCUCUGUCCCGUAGUCACAUCUUCGAACCGGAGCGUCAUUCGGCCUUCUUUGCACAUGUCCAAAUCACCGGAGCCGAUUUUCUCUCAUCUUUCCUACAAUUUCGGCUACUCCUACUUUACCUCGGAUAUCCUCAUUCCCAAUCUUAUCCUUUCUCGUGUGCCCCAAUCCCACGAAGCAACCUGUCUCCGCUAUUUUGAUGGCUCCUUCAAAGUUCCACGAAACCUAGUACGCCUUUCAGAAAUGGCACUACAAAAGGAGGUAGAAGGGCUCAAUAAUGACUAGAUACAAAACAUUUGAUAGAACUUUUUAAGACACCUUGAAAAGUCGUUUGUUUCGUGUAAUUUAAGCUCACUUUGUAGUGUUAGUGUAACUUUGUAGUGCUUUUAUAGUUCAUUUUCAGUAAACACUUACCUAACUUGACUCUCUUUGGCGUCCUUGGGAGCAAACUAGAUUUUGCCUGUGUUUCUCUCUGGCGUCACAGUUGUUGCUGCCAAAGUCUCUGCUUCCAAUGCCGCCAAUCACUAAACACAGAACACCCUGAUGAACCAUAAUCAUUAUACUUAGAUAAAUCCCGAUAAACCCAAUCAAUCUCUGAAAUCUUCACUCUUCACGCAUACCAAGUGCUUAUGGAGACAUUAAUGAUUUCUUCUAAAUAUUUCUGAAGCUAUAAAUAAAUUCAGUAGUGCAACAACAUGAUUAAAAUUGUGAAUCGCUAAACUUGAGAACCACUGAUGUUACAUCUUUCAUCAUAUUAUAUAAUCUCUCCACAAAAGGAUGAAAACAGGAUAAGUGCAGAAAAGGAAGUAGCUAUCUUAAUUUAUUAUUUCAUACUUAAAAAGAAACUUAAGUUUAGCAGAAUUUUGAUACUGGAUGGCUUAGACAGCAAAAAGCAGCCUAAAAUAUCUAUAUUUAAAAUUACAAGCAUUAUUUCCAAGAUUAACCUUCAGGCGAGAUCCGCAUGAAUAUAAUGGACCGAGAAACAAAAAUCCAAUUUAUAAUGUGCUCUAAAGCUGCUUUAAUAAAUGGACGACAGAGACAUUAACAAUAGCAUCAUAAAUUUCUUUUUGUUUUUUAUGACUUAUAGCAUCACCAUAGUAUUUAGGGAAACAAAAGACAUAAAUGAAAGUUACAAAGUUUACUAAGUAUAGAAAAAACAUAUUUGGUUCACAGUUUCCUACUGAGUAUAUGGUUCUUUUGCUUUUUUAACAAACAUCGGGCUUGACUGGGGUUCAACAUGUAACUUCUUUUAACUUUUUAAGUUCUUGUUUGAAAACGAAGAGGACCCUACUUUUUCUAGCCUUGUCAGCACCUGUCACACCACACUCAGCUUUGCAGAAAUUUAAUGGGCAUUCUGUCAAGCUUUCUGGUGAAGUAUGAAGAAAGGCACAUGAAUCUUACGUUCAAUGCUACCCACUUCCCACACGCAACAAUAGUCAUGGGUGCACAUAUAACGUUGGCCAAAGUUCCUGCCAUGAAGUUGGGUGCAGCGUGAAGCUUUGUCAGCUUCCACUCAUCGCUCUGACCAAGAAAGGUAAAAGAAUAGCAAAAGAAAAGCAGCAUAACAUCAAUCUCUGAAAUCUUCACUCUUCACGCAUACCAGUGCUUAUGGAGACAUUAUAUGAUUUCUUCUAAAUAUUACUGAAGCUAUAAAUAAAUUCAGUAGUGCAACAACAUGAUUAGAAAAUUGUAUGAAUCGCUAAACUUGAGAAACCACUGAUGUUACAUCUUUCAUCAUAUUAUAUAAUCCUCUCACAAAAGGAUGAAAACAGGAUAAGUGAGAAAAGGAGUAGCUAUCUUAAUUUAUUAUUUAUACUUAAAAGAACUUAGUUUAGCAGAUUUUGAUACUGGAUGGCUUAGACAGCAAAAAAGAGCUAAAAUAUCUAUAUUUAAAAUACAAGCAUUAUUUCCAAUUGAUUAACCCUCUCAGGCGAGAUCCGCAUGAAUAUAAUGGACAGAGAAAACAAAAAUCCAAUUUAUAAUGUGCUCUAAAGCUGCUUAAUAAAUGGACGAACAGAGACAUUCCAAUAGCAUCAUAAUUUCUUUUGUUUUUUGAUGACUUAUAGCAUCACCAUAUAUUUAGGGAACAAAAAGACAUAAAUGAAAGUUACAAGUUUACUAAGUAAGAAAAACACAUAUUGGUUCACAGUUUCCUACUGAGUAUUAUGGUUCUUUGCUUUUUACAACAUCGGGCUUGACUGGUUUCAACAUUGUACUUCUUUUACUUUUUAAGUCUUUGUUUGAAAUCGAAGAGGCACCUACUUUUCUAGCCUUGUCAGCACCUGUCACACGCACACUCAGCUUUGCAGAAAUUAUGGGCAUUCUGUCAAAGACUUCUGGUGAAGUAGAAAGCACAUGAAUCUUACUGUUCAAGCACCCACUUCCCACACGCAACAAUAGCUCAUGGGUACUACAGAUAACUUUGCCAAAGUUCUCUGCCAAAGUUGAGCACGUGAAGCUUGCAGCUUCCACUACAUCGCUCUGACCAAGAAAGGUAAAAGAAUAGCAAAGAAACAGCACUAACAAAGUUUAGACACAUAAAUUUUGAAGCUCUAGCUACCAUAUUAUUACCCACAAGGGUAAAGGAACAGUACCACUGCUGGAUAAUUGGAAAGUCCCUGUGUGUCAACCUCUGUGCUUCGUGGCAAGGUAGACUAGCAAACAUGCCCAACCUUUACUCACAUUCGAGAAAACACUCCUAACAAGAUUGCUUGCUCCAAAAUCGAAGAGGCACCGUCCUCCGAAUCUCGAGAGCCAGACUCCCAACAUGACUACUUUCUCAAAAUCGAAGAGAGGGUAAAGGAACAGUACCAUUGCUGGAUAAUUGGAAAGUCCCUGUGUGUCAACCUUUGUGCUUCGUGGCAAGGUAGACUAGCAAACAUGCCCAACCUUUACUCACAUUCGAGACAACACUCCCAACAAGAUUGCUUGCUCCAAAAUCGAAGAGACACCGCCCUCCGAAUCUCGAGAGCCAGACUCCCAACAUGAUUACUUCCUCAAAAAUCGAAGAGACACUGCUCUCCGAAUCUCGAGAGCCAGACCCCCAACAUGAUUGCUUUCUCAAAAAUCGAAGAGGCAUCGUUCUCCGAAUCUCGAGAGCCAGAUACCACAGACCACUUUUUCAAAAGUGCUCUGACAGAGUUAAAACAUGUGAAACUGGCAGCUCCCACUACCGUGCUAUGACCAAGCAGGGUAAAGGAAUAGCAUUACAAAUUGUUAGGGAGACUCCUAUAUAUGUCGACCUCCAUCCCCAACGAACAGGCAGACCUGCAAAAAUGCUCAACCCUUCAUCAUAUCUGAGAGGGCACUCCCAACGAAACCUUUCGAAAUAUUCAGCUUUCUUUCCCCCCGAUAAUACCUCUGCAAACAAGCUAUACUAGAGCAAGAAUAUCUCAUAUCAUCAGGGUUAAAAGCAAGAGUAUCCCAUAUCAUGCUUUUUCCCUGUCUUUUCCUUUGGCCUUGUUUUUACCUGCAAGACAAGGAGAAAGAGAGCAAUCAGUCAGCACUUGGAAUCAAGCUUCCAGCCAGGAACUGACUGCCUGGAACCGCUUACCUGAUUACUUACCUGGCAUUGCUCUCGAGUACUCAUCUUCAACAUCUUAUGUUUCCAGGGAAGAUUCCGCAUCUACUUGAGGAACAGAUAGGGCAAGUGCGAAGGAUACAAGGAAGCAUGUGGAGACAAGCGUAACAGCACACGUGCCGAUACAUCCAUUACUCUGUCAAAAGCAAAAGUAUCCCAUAUCAGCAGAGUGGAACGUACUCUAGAUUUGAUGGACUUGUUUUGACCCUCAAAUUCUUCAGUCGGCCUUAUACUCUGGAGGAAACCAGAAAACCCUCCAGCUCAGUUCAAGAAUAAGCCUGUGGAAAGUUACUUCUUCAAAAGCAAAAGUAUCUCAUAUCAUCUCUUCUCAUUUUUCUUCUCUUUAUCCUUCAUGAUGCUGCAAGAUGGGGAGAAGGUGAACAAUCAGUCGGAGCUUUGAUUGCUUACCUUGUCUGUCACCUCUUUCAGCAGACCCCCUAGCUCGGCGACUUGGGGGACUCCUACUACAUGGUUUGUAUCGCGCUUGACCAAGCCUGAAACUACAAGUAAGCUUCAAGUGAAAUUGAUACAUUACCUUGUGCAUCUCCACCAGUUAAAGAUACCACCCCUGGAUGGAGGAAGAGUACUUCCAGAGAAGAUGCCACAUCUACCUAUGAGACAGAUAAGGCAAGUCAAGACGACACCACACUCCGAUACUUAGAAGUUUUGUGAUUACGAGAUCAUUCUCCCACAAUAUUUCCUAAUGUCAUUUGUACUAAAUCAUUCACUUGUACUCACUAAAGGAGAGCUUGAACCUAUGUACUUGUGUAAACCCUUCACAAUUAAUGAGAACUCUUCUAUUCCGUGGACGUAGCUAAUCUGGGUGAACCACGUACAUCUUGUGUUUGCGUUAUCUCUAUCCAUUUAUAUACUUAUCCACACUAAUGACCGGAGCAAUCUAGCGAAGAUCACAAAAAGCGAAUGUUUUUGCUACCUAGGAUCUAUCUUGCAAGAGAACGGAGAAUUAGAUGGAGAUCUCAACCAUAGAAUACGAGCUGGAUGGAUGAAGUGUAAGAAUGCAUCCGGCGUGUUGUGUGACCGUCGUAGGCCACUGAAGCUCAAGGGAAAAUUUUAUAGGACGGCAAUAAGGCCAGCGAUGUUGUAUGGCACAGAAUGUUGGGCGGUAAAGCAUCAACACGUACACAAAAUGGGUGUAGCGGAGAUGAGGUUGCUUCGUGGGAUGUGUGGGCACACGAGAAAGGAUAAGAUUGGGAAUGAGGAUAUCCGAGGUAAAGUAGGAGUAGCCGAAAUUGUAGGAAAGAUGAGAGAAAAUCGGCUCCGGUGAUUUGGACAUGUGCAAAGAAGGCCGAAUGACGCUCCGGUUCGAAGAUGUGACUACGGGACAGAGGUUCAGGGCCGAAGGGGUAGAGGAAGACCUAGGAAAAUUUUGGAAGAGACUCUAAGAAAAGACUUAGAGUACUUGGAUCUAACGGAGGACAUGACACAAAACCGAGCGCAAUGGCGUUCUAGGAUUCAUAUAGCCGACCCCACUUAGUGGGAAAAGGCUUUGUUGUUGUUGUUGUUGUUUCUCAUUAAAGAACACAGAGAGAAUGAGAGAGAGUAAAAGUAUUCUGAUUCUGGUUGAUAAACAUGGUAGGAGCAGGCAUAUGAAAUAUAAAAUAUGGAUUAACAAACAGUAAUGAAAAUAUAGCUUACAAUGGAAAGCAAUGCUCACAGAACAGUGAUCUCUAAACACUCGAAACUCUGGAGGUAUUACAUGGGAGUUCUGAGCAUGGUGGUUUGCAUAGAAAUACCCUAACCCUGUGUUUGGGUGAGGACUUUCUAAGUAUGAGUAAAUUUGGACUUAAUUUAAAUGUACUACAUAAACACCAUCAUGGAGCUACUCAACACUGCAAAUCUACUUCUAAAGCACUAGAAAUGCACUACAAAACACUAAACAAGGGAUUUUCAAAAUGACUUGGAACAUUUGAAAUUCUAUCAAUGUAUUGCAUCUAGUUUUCAAGUCCCUAUCUCGUUUGUGCUUCACAGUUAAGUUUAGCUUUUAAGGUCCCUCAUCCAAAAUAGGGUAAACACUGCAUUUGGAUGAUGGAAAUGCAUUGCAAAAAAAUAGAUAGAGGGUCUUCAAAUUGACUAGAUGCAAAACAUUUGAAAGAACUUUCAAAUGAAACCUUGAAAGUCCUGUGUUUCAUGUCUUUCUACUGCAUUUGAAAUUUAGUUAUUUAGUAGUAACAGUAGUGCUUUACUAUGUAUGUUUAAUACAGUCAUAUGUUCUUGUAGUGCAUGUUUAACAAUUAAGGGGGGUGUAGUCAAUUUAAAUUUCACAGGAUUUUAAUAGACUUUAAGUGACAGAUUUGAAAGGAUUUUAAUAGAUUCACAAUUCCGUGUGGAUUUUGACAGAUUUAUAUGGAUUUCUAUCCUAGAUUUUUAUGGAUUUGUAUAGAUUUCUUUCUUGGAUUUCUUAGUAUUUUAGUUGACUCCUACAACAUAAAAUAAAUUUCUUUCCUAAUUCACAAUCUGAAAGGAACAUAAACAUAUAUCUAUGAUAUAGAAAUACAAACCAAUGAAAUAUGUAAAUAGAAUGGGUCAUUGAGGAAUAGUGGUGAGAGAUACUACAUGCACGUAUGUGUGAAUAAAUUAUUGAUGAGAAAGAAUUCUAAUGCUUUAAGAAGCAUCAUAUAAUCCUGAGUUCUACCAAGAUCAUUGUAUGAUUUCAUAGUUCAAAGUUAUCAGCAAUAGUCGUCAAUCCUGAAUAUUUUAAUAUACUCAGUUAGGCGAGUUACCAAAUGGCACGAAUCAGACAAAUUGUAUCUUUAUAGAAAUAAAGUGUAUAUAGCCGAACACUAUAAUAGGUUAGGCUAUUUAAUGGAAAAAAGAACAUUAUAAACACAAAAAAAAAAAAAAAAAACAUAACAUAAAAUUUCUAACUUGAAACAUCAAUUAAUAGGCAUAUGUUUUAAAACUAUUAUUGCACUCGAUCUCUAUAUCGAUACUCAUUUGCGUGUGAUUAACAGAAAAUAUGUGCUUGUAGUUUGUAAAAUCGGACGUAUAGUAUGCUCGACUCUUCAACCUGCCGAUCUAGGGAAAUAAUUCAAUAAAUAAGAGGUCAUAAUGGGAUGAGAAACUCCCAUAUGAGAAAGAAAGCAACCGAAAAGCAAAAACGAAGACUAAAACAAGGCACUAUGAGAAUCCCUAAUUAUCUACACAAAUUAUAUGCGAUUCCGAUUUUCCUCAUAACUGCAUGUUUCUUACCGUAAGAUUAGUGCUUUGAAUCAAAUAUAGCCAAGAGGACUCAUUUUAUAGACACUCCUACGAACGCAUAAUACCAAAAAACAUUCAAAACGCGUGAGUUUCUAAUCUUAUGUAUUGCUCUUAUGUUCUGGUUAUUUCUUGGAGUUCAACUGUUCACUCUCGCUAUGGUUUGGUGGCAGUGAAAUAUAAUCAUAAGAGAGGGGAGAUGUGUAUUGGUAUUAGAGUGUUAGCAAAAUGAGAAUUUAGCAGUAUGUACUUCAAAACAGCAAGUGCUGUAUUUCUAAUCACCCACUACCUCUUAAAACAAAAUCCAUUCAAUCACAUUCAUUACACCAUAAAUACAAUAUUAAACAAAUCUCCUCUCAGUCAAUAUUGCCACUUGACACUCUAGGCUUUUGUUAUAGAGCUUAGUUUUUCUUACUAAUAUCUAAAUUCACUAUGUGGAUAUACAAGAGACGCGAUGGAAAUGGUGACGUUAAGAUGAUUCUUUAAUCCUCUAUCAAAAAUCUCUCGUUAUUAGAUGACACAAGUUACCCUAUGAUUGUUAUUAAAUAACGACUUUUAUAAUCUUACAUUAUCCAUCACCAUACUUUUAAAUGAAAUAUCUCUUUUGUAUUUUAUAGUUUUGUAUUAAAUACUUGAAUUGACAAUAGCCUAUACUAGAGUCACUAAACUGGCGUUUCGUCACCGCAACUCUCCUCGCAACCUCCUCGUGUGGUCAUGCUAGAGUGUGAUUCUUAAUCUCAAUGAAGAAUUACCAUUUUUCAAUCAUCGAGGUGCUCAGAGCUUUAUGAGUAUUAUAUCGUGAUUGAUUAUGCUUUUAUAGUAAGAAAUCUAAAUCUAUGAGGGCUUUGUAAGUAACUUUAUGUACUAUAAGGAGUACGAAUAAUCUUCAUUCUUCAAAGGAGUAAUGUAUAUUCAACAUCUCAACUAACUUACUGGAACAGGUGUGAUCUAUUAUAAGUUUUUGGAAAAGGAUCAGCCGGUCAUUAGUUUCUAGAGAAUUUGCACACAAGCGAAAUUUCUCGCGACUCGCGAUACAACCCAGGCAUUUCCUGGUGCGAUACAAGUUCUCUACUUUACCACGAACUUAUACUAACCCAUCAUGUUUUCUAAAAUGUAAAAUUAUACACAGUCUCAAAAAUCUCAAAUUAUACACAUUUUGCAAAAUUAAACUGAAGACUCAUAAGCUACGAUAGAUCGAAAUGCCGGUAGUUCUACUGAGACAAGAACGCUUGAAUUAGUUAGAGCAUUAUGUUGAAUUAACUUCUGACCUGAGGUCUAUUCCAGCGUAUUAAACUCCUGACAGCAAACAAUGCUUUUAUGACCACAAAAAACUUAAAGAGGAAACCAUUCAAACAAAGAUCAAAAGCUAUAAAAGGUUUUCGCUCUUGCCUAAUGGCACAAUGGCACCCACCUAGUAAAUACAUUGCCCUUAUCUCAGCGCUGUUUAAUACUACAGACUGAACUUUCUUCCUGAAACCAUCGAAGUACCACUUCCACUUAAUUCUCUUUUCACGUAAGUAUCACCAAUACAAAUGCCUCUACUGCCGUUACACAACUACACACCAUAAAGCCGAGGGACCAGUUAUCCCCUAAAACUAUACACCAGUCUACACACAUUAAGUGGCCCACUAUUCUCACAUAACGAUUCUUCAGAGGUGAUUAGCCAUUUCCCAUACUCUCCGAGAGUGCUAUAUUACAAAAAAGAGCUUGAAAACUUUCAAUCCAAGCUUAUCAAAAAUUUAGUGCCAAACAACUAACCACCAAAAAUUUUAAUUCAAUUGGAUAAGAAGAAAUAUGGACACACCGACCUGAAUAAGUCAUAAACUCUGUGAACGUUAGAUGGGAUCAUGUAAAUUGGAACAUUUCCUUACCAUAGUCUCGACCACUCACAGAUAACUCAGAGGACAUAGAACCGACAAUGUGCAAAUUCAUAGUAGCUGAUAUGAAACUAGAGUUGUUCCCACACAAUACUAUAUAGCAGUAGAUUAUGCGUUCAGUCACUGAUCUUUGAGGGUUAAUAGAUUUAAUUAUGUUAUGUGUGAGUCUCUCCAUAAGUUCAUUUACACUCUCGUUGUAAGUUGGGCCAGCUAGUUAAAUUUGCGGAGCUCAAGUGUUGUGUGCUCUUUGUGUGAGAUAUUAAGUUAUUAGCGUAAUUAAUGUGGGAGAGAGAGAGUGGGUAUCUGUCAUCUAAAAGCACGAUAUCACUAGGAUCUCUUGUUCUCACGUGGGGAGAAGGGUAGAUACUGAGACAUCAAGAUCUUAUCGUAAAAACUUUAUAUUAUCGCUUUCUCACGUGUCAAUCUGCCACUGGCUCGUAUUAUCAAGAACAAUCACAUUUUAAGGCAAGCAUGUGGCACGAUGAAUCAUAGAGCUUAUUUGCCAGACGGGAGAGGGCUGAGUGGUGAGCGAUCGCGUGAGUCGUGCUUGUGUCAUCCUGUGACCACAGCAGUUAAUGAAACACCUAUGAAAGCGGAUGGAGUGUUGUGUAGAUUGGGACGCAGCAAGAAUCUGAUUCCUAGCUAUAGUAUUUGCAUCAGUCAGCGGAGUAGACUCAGUUGUGAAGAUCACAAUAUUAACGGAGGAACAACCAAGAGUGAAUAUGGAUAAGAUAGUCACCUGGCUGGACAGAUGAAACCAUAUGCCCAAGCCGGAUGUUCACAUCUCUCACACACAAAGUAUCCUCAUUCUUACCACAAGUUGUUUCGCAUUAUAAUCACAGGAAAUAACUCCUCUUACAUAUCUUGGAACAGCACAAUCAUAAAAUACAAAGCUAAGGUGGUAUAACCACGCCAGUGAACAGAUGUACUAUAUUCUCGAACACACUUUGUCAUCACUAUAGUUCUACAAUCCAGAGAGCAUCUUCCAUAAAAAUCCACUUAGUCGCACACACGUAUUACCAAAACAAAGUUCACUUUGAGCACUAUAAACCUCUCAUUUAAAUAAUACCAUAACGUGAGUGUUUUUUCUUCCCGAGCAUAUUUAGUGUUACAAUAAAUUAGAGAUGCAGCAACAAUUAUAGGGAUGAACCAAUCGGCAACUCGUCCUCACACCGCGCAAACCAAGUCGAAUACGUGUGGCCAGGUUAACACUCCUUGUAUUUAUCUAUAGUCUCAAUGAAGGGCAUAGAUGAGCUGAAGGUCGCAUAUAUGAGAGUGCAAACAAAAACUAAGAGAGCUCUUACAAAGUAAAUUAAUAUAAUGUGUAAGGCACUAUGUGGAUGUAAAAAUAUAAAAUUUUAUCAGCCAUGUCACCCUAUCCUACCAUCAUGUUAGUUCACAAACGAUAGAGUAUCCCUAAUCCCAAGAGCAGUAUCUAAAGGGAAGUUUAACAUAAACAGAUCUUAUUAAUCUGCCCAAUCUAUGUGCGUGUUAAGAUCUUUGAGUAUUCAGCAAAUAAGAAACUCAAACGACUUACUAUACACCAGGAAGCCUAUAAUAACAUAUUAGUAAUAGAAGACUUCUUAUCGCUCAGAUUAAAAAACCAACUCCUCAUAUUUUAUCGUAUAAACCCGCCAAAUCUGCCAGUGAAUAUACUAUAGACUGAACUACACCACAACCUAUCAAGGAACUAAUUAAUCCCUCUUAUUGUAUACGAAAUGAUUGGCCUAAACACAUGUAUAGAGAGUGUAAACGAAUUCCACCAACACUAUAUAAAACAGUUACUGUAACAAAUUAAAUAUAUCACAAAGAUUAAAAGGCGUACAACAAAAACAUAACAAGAUUAGCAAUAUAUAAAAUAGACAUACUGACAUAUCUAUAUAACUCCAAGUACAACAAUAUUCAGAAGUCUCCUUGGUGUUCCCUCCUCUCCAAGUAACCAUUUUCAUGAACACUGACUCGAACUAACGAAGGAUCCAUAAGUAUGUCGAAUAUCACAACCAAUACCAUUGCCAAAUCUCAUCCAUGCAAGAGAUGUUUUAGCACAACCUCAUGGAAAUGAAAAUGAAACAUGCUAAACUUCUCUAUUUCAUCAAAACACUUGUAUUUGAAAAAUAUAAAAAAUGCUAUGUUUACGUGCUCAUUAGUAUUGAGACACGUGAAGAGGGAAAAUGUAAUCUAACUAUACACACUAAAAUCUUUGUAGUAACAAAGUUAUAGAACCGGAAGAAAUGUGCACAGGGCAUAAACGCUGCAUCAAUAUCAAAUUUGUAGAAUGAGAAAUACACACCAUCCUGGCCCCCCGGUUUAAUCAUAAAAAUAUACCAUAAUUCUCAUUCUUAUGUAGAGUGUUUCGCUCAUUCACUGAAUAUCCAAGCUCGAUUUCCUCCUAAACGCCAUACUGCAGACCUCUAGCUAACAUGAAAUAGAAUACAAAUGCGAGCUAUGUUUAUGAUCUUCUAGUGUAUGAUCAUUUGGAAAGCCGUGAUUAGAAAAUUAGGUACAUAUACAACAAUCAAGAGAUAGAGGUUUCAGAUCUCUCGGACUCACAUAAACAAAAAAAUGUGAUCUCAAGUUUCUCGAAAUCUUUAAGAACUUAAUCCUGCGCCAAACUCAAGACCCUAGAUAGCAGCUAUGCUUCAUUCAUAACGUAAGAUAAAUCCUUGAGCUCAUAUACCUAUCUCUACUAUUGAUCAUUCACUCUUCAACGCUUGAUCUAACAAGUGUGCUAUGUAUGGAGACAUUAAUAUUGAACCUUCAACACGUCUCAAAUAAAACAAACAUAAUACUCACUCAUCCAUUCUAUAUUACUGGAAUGCCGUUGUUCACAAAAUUAUACAUACGGAAUUAAUUAAUAUAUAUCUCUUAUCAUCAUAUAAACAAAAGAUGUAUGACCUCACUAAAAACACAAUAGAGAAACCGUAUGUAUACAAUAGCAAACCUAUACUAGAUAAAAGUAUUUUAAGUACCUCUAUUAAAAGAUGAUAUUAUAUCUAUAUUCAUCAUCAACUCCUUUUAUUUGCGAGUACACGAUUCAGUGAACAGUAAUAUUAUAUCUCCAACUUUCUAUAUUAUCUCAUAUCCUCUAUUCUUUUUAUCGCUAAAUUAUAGGACCUUGAAUGGCUUAUAUAUAUAUAUAUAUAUUAUAUCUACCAUCACUCAGAGAGCCAUGCAAACAACAUGAUUAAAAAAAUAUAUGAUAACUAUAUCUAUUGCAUAGUUUCUCCAAUAUUUCACUUACAUCUUUCAUCAUAUUAGAUAAAUGCCUCCUCACCUAACGCGUAACUUACAUGUGUAAAUUACAGGGAAAAUAGAGUUCAUUAUACUUCUUGAAUUUAUAUAUAUAUCUAUUAUCUUAAUGUAUAUAUUAUAUACCUAUAAGCGUUUCAGGUUGAGCAGAUUUCUUUCAUUAUGAUGAGCCUCUUAUGUCCGCGAGAACGAUAUCUAUAUCAUUUACAAUAAAUAUUAUAUAUUCAUACAGCAAGAAUCUAUAUACAUCCAAAUCUAUAUAUAUUUAUAUAUAUAUAAUAAUAAAAAAAUAUCCCACACGUUUUAAAGAAACUGUGCUUAUCUUCAUUACAACAUGUAUAUAUCAUACUGCAUAUCAUCUUACUUCACAAACCUUAACAUUUAGACAAAGGUUACCAUUAAAAACAUCUAUUUAAUACCCCCGAAUCCAAUAACAACUGCUACACCAAUGAACUAAUAAUCCCAUUCUUAUUGUAUACGAAUUGGAACAGUGGAAGGUUACGAAUUCCACACACAUAUAAAUGCUAAAUAUAUCACCCCUACCAAUUAGCAAUAUAAAAUCUGAUAAAACCAGUCAACCAAAUCAGAAGUCUCCUUUAUUCCCCCUUCCCCUAUUGACUGAUAAAAGAGGACAUAACCACAUCAAGCACAUGAAAAUUUGGACAUAAAUGGUAAAAAACUGUGAUUCUCAAACACUUGUAAAUAUAAUGCAUGUUACGCAGUUUAACUGGGGAAUGUACAACUACUAAAAGUGAUAAAUUAGAACCACUGAAGUACAGGCAGGUAUAUUGUAAUCCGAAUUAACCAUCAUUCUCCAAAAUCUUCACUCUUCCAUGCAUACAAGUGCUGCUUAUGGAGACAUUAUAUGAUAUACAAGUCUACAACUCAUGAUUUUGUUCUAUAUAUUACUGAAGCUAUAAAAAUUCAGUAGUGCAACAACAUGACUAAAAAAAAAUGUAUGAAUCUCUAAACACGAGAAACUGCCGAUGAUACAUCUUUCAUCUUAGUAGAUAAAUCUGAUUAACCAUCUCCAAAAUCUUCAGUCUUCACACAUACCAGUGCUUAUGGAGACAUUAUAUAACAUACAAGUCUAAAACACAUGAUUUUCUUCUAUAUAUUACUGAAGCUGUAAAAAUUUCAAUAAUGCAACAACAUGAUUAAAAAAAUGUAUGAAUCACUAAACACAAGAAACUGCUGAUGAUACAUCUUUCAUUAGAUAAAUCCAAUUAACCAUCGUUUUCCGAAAUUUUCACUCGUCAUGCAUUCCAGUGCUGAUGGAGACAUUAUAUGAUAUAAGAGUCCAUAACUCAUGAUUUUCUUUUAUAUAGUACUGAAGCUAUAAAAAUUUCAGCAGUGCAACAACAUGAUUAAAAAAAAUGAAUGAAUCCCUUAAACACGAGAAAAUACUGAUGUUACAUCUUUCAUCAUAUUAGAUAAAUCCUCUCACAGACGGAUGAAAACAGGAAAAGUGAAAAGAAUGGCUAUUUUAAUUUAUUAUUCAUUCUUAAAAGAACUUAGGUUAGCAGAUUUUGAUAUUUCAUGGUUAGACUGCAAAAAGAAGCAAAAAAAUCUAUAUUUAAAAUAAAAGCAUCAUUCCAAUUGAUUAACCCUCUCAGGCGAGAUUUGCAUGAAUAUAAUGGAGAGAGAAAAAAAAAUUCCAAUUUAAAAUGUGCUCUAAAGCUGCUUAAUAAAUUCACGAACAGAGACAUUCCUAUCAUAAUUUCUUUUGUUUUUUAGAUGACCUAUAGCAUCACCAUAUAUUGGGCUGUUAGGGAACAAAAGCACUUACAUGAAAGUUACAAGUUUACUAAGUAAGAAAAACACAAAAUAUUGGUUCACAGCUGCCUACUGAGUACUGAGAACUAGUAAAGAUACUAUGGUUCUUGGCUUUUUACAACAUUGGGCUAGCUUGACUGGCCUCAACAUUGUACCUUUUUAAAUAUUUUAAGUCUUUUUUUUUUUUUUUUUUUAAAGUCUUUUUAAGCUUUUUUUUUUCCUUUUUUUAACUGCAAAUCUACUUCUAAAACUCUAGAAAUGCACUACAAGACACCAAACAAGGGAUUUUUAAAAUGACAUUUUGAAAAUUUGAAAAUUCUAUCAAACGUAUUGCAUCUAGUCAUUUUUAAGUCCCCAUCUCAUUGUUGUAAAGAACUCCUAACAAAUUUAGCUUAAGUUCCAUGGACUUUUAAGGUCCCUCAUCCAAACAUAGGGUAAACACUACCUGUGGAUGAUGGUCUUCAAAGUUCCACGAAACCUAGGCUACACCUUUCAGAAAUGCACUACAAAAAAGGAGGUAGAAGGGCUUCCUAAUGACUUGAUGCAAAACAUAUUGAUAGAACUUUUCAAAUGACACCUUGAAAGUCUUUUGUUGCGUGUAUUUAAGCUGCACUUGUAGUGUUAUAGUGGUAACUUUGUAGUGCUUUAGUAGUUCAUCAGUAGUGUUCUUGUAGUGCAUUUUUAACAAUUAAAUCUAAAGUUUGUCCCUCAUUCAAACAUAGAACAACACACCCGUCACAACUCUAAGUUUUAUACAAAAACACUUCAAAAGCUCAAUUGAAGGGGAAAAAAAAACCUCGUCUAUCCACUUGUCAUGCUCAGUCCCUACUUAUUUACACAGUCAAAAUCAAUAAAAUUAACAUAAUGAACCAUCGUUGAAUGCCAUCGUCACUAAAGCGCAGCAUAACAUAUGUCAAAUCUACUGCUUUCCUGGUAAAACCAACAUCUUUAUGGCCACAAAACUUAAAGGAGGAAACCAAUCAACAAAGUUCAAAAGCUAAAAGGUUUUCGCUUUGCCAAUGGCACAAACCCAGAUCAUCCCCACUUCACUCUCAAAAUCUUUACUUCAAAAAAUCUUCAUUUUGCCCUAAAAUUGGAUGAUUCUACUCCCUCAAACACCCCACCAGACAGUUCCUACUAACUUAACCUAGGCCCAUUCAAGUCUAAUAAUAAUUAGCAGAUCCAAACUUUCAAAAAGCAAAGUUCAAAAAAUCAAACAAAAACUACAAAAUACAAUUGAAAAAUUGCAAGAAAAAAGAACUUGGAAUUGGGCAAAGAAACAUACCAUAGUUUGCCAGUAGCUCAGGAGUCCGACAUGCAAGUCGAAGCGCCUCAAUUUUCAGAGAAAUUGACUGCAAUGCGAUGGUUUUUGGGGAAAUUCAGAGCGAGAAUGUGAGGGGAAUUAGGGUUCGGAAGGAGCCAUCUUUCUCUCAGUCAAACAAUGAAUCCAAAUUAGUCAGGAAUUCUUUUUUUUUAUUUUUUAUUUUUUGUCAGCAAAUUGUCACUCAGAACAACUCGAGGAUAUAGGUUUGAACUCAAGACACUUGCCCAUUGAGUUCCUAAUUACUGUUUUAGAAGGAGAGGGUAGCUUGUGUCAAAACUGCUUCCGCAAGAAGCAAUGGGGAGCUUUCAAUGGAACUUUUGAAAGGCCUAAAUUACCCCCUAUGUAAUAUACAAAUUACAAAACUUACCCUAACUUGACUCUCUUCGGCGUCUUGGGAGCAAGCUAGAUUUUGCUCUGUGUUUCUCUCCUGGCGUCAAGUUGUUGCUGCCAAAGCUCUCUGCUUCCAAUGGCCGCCAACAAUCCGUCCCAGCUACUCCCAUCAGGUUUGCCCACUCUUUUCCUCUUAUUCUACUUUCGGUAUUUUCUCGAGAAAAUUAAUCGGAAAAUGAGAGGUUUUUUCCCGAAAAAUACGCAGAGUUGAUCGACCGGUGCAUGGGGUCGAAGAUAUGGGUGAUAAUGAAGGGAGACAAAGAGCUCGUAGGUACUCUGAGGGGUUUCGGUGUUUACGUCAACAUGGUCCUCGAAGACGUCACUGAAUAGUAUGAUUCACUCACUCAGUUCUUGUUGCAUAAUGUAGCCCAAAACCCUAGCAUUUGGGGGUUUUUUUACUCGGUUUCUCGACAAGUGUGAAUCCUUAUUCCUGUGAAUGCUUCAACUUUUAGAUUUAUUAAUGGGAAACUUAUACAAAGAACAAUACAGUUGGAAGUUAAUCAAACAGAAAUGUCUUUAUUAGUAUUUCAGUUAGAAAAUUGAUCGGGGAAAACAGUUUGUUGGAGAAGUCCGAAUCGAGCUCUUACAAGUAAUAGUCUGUACAAUUCAUCCAACCUCUGUAAUCUCUUAUUAUGAUGUCGAUUCUCUGGGAUCAUCCAGGAGGGGGUAUGUCAGCUUUCCGGAGCCAUCCUCGGUGUCGAAAGAAUCGUUCAUCGCUAUGAAAUCCGAUACCAGGUUUGAUCCUAUGGUUGCUGACAUCAAUGGUUACCACAUUGGUAUUGAUGUGAACACGGUUGUGUAUGUUGCUUGUGUUGAUGUUGUUUUAAGAGGAAUUGAUUUGACAAGUGGGAGGGAGAUUACUGCUUGAUUGAGUACAGAGAUGCUGUCAAGAUGAUUCGGGUUUGGGGUCAGAUACUCGUCAGCUAGGCCUCCAACGCCUCUUCUUGUUGCUCAAAUUGACCUGUCCAACCAGUUCAAGGAGUUUAUGCGUGUCGGUUUCUCUGCCUCAAAUGGGCAGGGCUCUUAAAGUUCUGACAAGUUUGUCUCUUGCGGAUAUAAGAUCAGCUACAAUGGGGUUUAACCGAAACAGGGUAUUGGGGAAGGAGCAUCAGCUAAGAUUUAUAAAGGAUCUCUGCACUCUUGUUGGAGAAGUGGCAAUAAAAAGGUUUGAGAGGGCUGAUGGGAUUGGUAGUCUGCAUCAUCCUUUUACCACGGAGUUUGCAACUAUGGUGGGUUGUUUGCGGCAGAAGAAUCUGAUUCAGCUUCAUGGGUGGUGCUGUGAGCGUAAUGAGUUAGUCCUGGUGUACGAGUACAUUGCCCAACGGAAGCCUCAACAAAUGCCUUUGAGGAAGGGGACUGCUUCAUGUGCUUGUCACCAGAAGAUUCAAGUACCAAAAGCAGCCCUGAAAAUCGCUCCCAUGAAAGAAAAACAAAGAUAGUGGAGAUGGCUCUUGGGUUGGGAGGUUUAGCUGCAUAUGUUGUCUUCAUACUCGCAUUUGUUUUUGUCAUUUGCUUUGCGUGUGUGAAGCAGAGAAAGGUCACUGCCAACCGACACAGGGUUGUCGGGGAAGGGGCAUCAGCUAAGGUUUAUAAAGGGUCUUUGCCCUGAGGGAGAAGUGGCAGUGAAAAGGUUUGAGAGGGCUGAUGGGAUCUGUAGUCUGCGUAAUCCUUUUACCACAGAGUUUGCAUUUAUGGUGGGUUGUUUGCGGCAGAAGAAUCUGGUUCAGCUUCAUGGGUGGUGCUGUGAGGGUAAUGAGUUAGUCCUGGUGUACGAGUACAUUGCCCAACGGAAGCCUCAACAAAGUUCUCCACAAAAGCUUCAAUUCAGCAGUUGUCCUAUCCUGGAAGCAAAGACUUGAUAUAGUUCUCGGAGUCGCUUUUCCUCUUGCAUAUCUUCACGAGGAGUGUGAGAGGCAAAUAAUUCACAGAGAUGUUAAAACUUGCAACAUAAUGCUCGAUGCAGAUUUUAACGCCAAACUAGGGGAUUUUGGUCUAGCAGAAGAUUGAGCACAGUUCCAUCAUUGCAAGAGAAGCAACUAUACCAGCUGGAACAAUGGGAUAUCUUGCUCCGGAAUACGUUUAUUCAGGUGUUCCAACAGUAAAAACUGAUGUUUACAGCUUUGGUGUGGUGGUGUUAGAGGUAGCAAUGGGAAGAAAGCUGGUGGAGGAUGAUGGAACAGUGGUUUCUGAUUGGGUUUGAAGCAUGUGGGAAAAGGGAAAACUGAUUGAAGCUGCUGAUCUGAGGUUGAUGGGGAAGUUUGAUAUGGUAGAAAUGGCGAGGAUGCUGAUGACUGGGCUUGCUUGUGUGCACCCAAACCAUGUGAAGAGGGCAACGGUGAAGGAAGCUGCAACCAAGAAAACCAAGGGUAAGCCUUCGCCCCGUUUUCCUGAUGACCGUGAAGAAAUCCCGUUUUACUGUGGUGUUCGGCCAAGUCUCGAACUUGAUGAUGUACAAUAUUUGACUCCGAAGAGCCACUUGUAAGAAUAACUUACAUACAUAAUUAUCAACUAACACAUAGAAUCACAAUUAACCAGAGUCAAUACUAUCACACAAAAAUAGACACACAUCUGAGGAUGAAGAAGACAUGAUGCUUGAAAUAAAGAUAGUCUUCUACUGUCAUAAAACUGGAUGCUUUUGCUUUCAAUAGGACUCAGCACUCUAUCAAGCUUGUAUUUGGAGAGCAGGGACAAACCUUUUUAUAGUCACAUAAGACCUAUUGAUAUUCACCUAUUAGGAAAACAAUAGGUCUCUCAAUAAUUCAUCAUUAACUGCAAUAAGUCCACUACAUUAUUGUUUUGAAUGAUUCAUAUAACCUACUGUUACAAAACUCUAUUAACUUAAUCAAUACAGUUCUAUCAAAAUAAUGAUUAUGUCUACUCAAAUUCUUACAUUCUUCCACUUGAGUAUACAUAAUCACAUAGUAUUGAACUGUAUGAAAUUAAGUUAACAGUGAUCACUGAGUUUAUAUAACAAGAUUAUCAACUUAAACGUAGAUGUAAUCAACUAAAUCAAACCCAGAACUAUAGAAAUGUUGAUGCAUAUCAGCUGCAUCAUUACUCUAUAAUCACCGAAGCUUAACUCAACUAAUUACAAAGCUACAUGCCAAAUAAUGUAGUAUUGGAAGUGUCAUAUCUUAAUACUCCCACAUAAUUGGUCCAGACUUCAAGUUUACUAAAAAAAACUGGUUUAUUGCAGUAUCAACAAAUAUAGCUCUUUACAGAAUGAGCAAACAUUGAAUCACAACAUGAAAGGUUCACAAAAGAACUCAACAACGUUGGUAACGAAAUCCAACUUUUCUGUCAAUUUAGAAAUUAAUAAGAGAACAAGUAAAAUACGAUAUACUGUUUACAAAAUCAGGACCUCUUAUUACAACUUAUGAACAAAAUUUAAACCAAAUUUACUCUUAAAGUAUCAGCUACUAAGACUUCAAAUUUUCAACACAAAAUGUAAUCUCUUACUCCCACUAAUUAACACAGACAAAACUAUAUAUAAAUAAAUUAUUAUUAUUCCCACUGAUUAAGAGAGUAAAACAAAACUUUGUAAAUGUCUACAAAAUGAAACAGAUACCUUUCAAAUAAUCCCAUUAGCAAAACAUUAGUCAUGGGAUCUAAAACAUAAAAUUUGUGAGCUCAACAUCUUUAUUCUAGAUAUUUGUAGGGAAUAGACUCUUGUGACUGAAAAACUAUACAAAAUCAUUUGGUCAGUUUUGUUCAUCUAACAAUUGACAGAAAUAGAAAACAUUAACUAAAUGUUUUCUAUUGCAUCAAAAGCAUAUAAUUCUAGAAUCAUCUUUGGACAGAAACUUAUUAUAUUAGGUUUGCAUAGCUAAAACAUAAAAUACAAGGGCAAACGUAUAGAACUUUAACACUUUUGAGCAGAUGAAGUAUAUACCAUCUUGUCAAUUCCAUGAUUCACUAUGACCAUUAAAAGCAUACAAAAUUGAUGAGUGUGAAGCCCAUAAUAUAUUAUUUCUCCCACUUGGGCAUGCUUCACUAUGACCAUUAAAAGCAUACAAAAUUGAUGAGUGUGAAGCCCAUAAUACAUUUCUCCCACUAGGGCAAACACUCAAAAUUACAAGAUUAAACACUAGAGAAAGUGGUUUUCAUAUAACAAAAUAUAGUCUAGUUGAAUAAAUAAAGAUAGUAUACACAAUCCAUUAUAUAACAUAACAUGGCAAAUUUUUUACGAAGUUUGGAGUUAGAAAAAUCUAUCAAAAUUGUAAUCAAAUAGGACACGUUGCAAGGUAUGCAAAACUCCAUCAGCAUUUCCCAAGCUCUACCAAAAUUUCAGAUUUAAUCAUAAUUUAAAUAAAAUCAAUUUACAAUGUUUAAUAUGCUCAAAACACAAAAAUUUCUUAAAUAAAUUAGAGGUUCAUUUCAUUAGAUAAAUAACCUUUAAUAUGCCCAAAACUGUAAAAUUUCUUAAACAAAUUUGUUGAGUCACAAAAUAGUUGGUUUGGACAUAAUAAACCAAUCUAUAUGUAUCAAAAUUAGGCUUAUCUAAGGAACAAUAUCUCAACAUCAUUAAUCGAUAAAGGUGACAAGUGAUUAGAUAAACCAAUGGCUACUUUAAUCCAAUUUAGAACUCAUAGAAAAUUAAGGCAAAAGAUUGGCAAAUUUUCCUACUCAUUUUCGAUUCUGCAAGAUUCAUCAUGAAAGUAGUCGAGUUGUGGAGGAUCGAACCAACUCCAAAUUGCAUGAUUGUUACACCUUUAGGCAGAAACUAAUCAUGCAAAGCAAAUACUUGCAUAGUUAGUCAAAACAUAAAAUACACAAAAUACAUAUAGCUUCAACAGCUUUGGCCAGAUGAACAUAUGUUAAAAAAAAAUAUUUUACGAUUAGCUAUAAUACUAAUUUAUAAUUGGUGAGUGAUUUCCUGAAAUUCCUAUUGGGACAAAAGUAUUCACCAUAUAAAUUAGAAUUCUGAUUUUUCAAAAUAAUCUUUUACAACAAUAUUAAAUAACCGUUUUGUUGGAUAUUUAAUGAUUCUCAAAAGAUUCAAUCAGACAUAAAAGUAUGUCAUUGUUGACAUUGAACAAUAGAGUUAUCGAAAGAGGAAACAUGGUUAUUCAGUUAUUCGAUAGGGACCAAAAUGAUCAAUUAGUAAACUGAUGCCACUUUCCAAUUUUCUCUCAAAAGACAAUUAUCAUCAUAAUCAAAAUUGAUAACCAAACAAAACAUUGGUUUAAGCAAAACAAACCAAUACAUCUUUAAAUCAAAAUUUAAUCAAUGUUGUCUAAUAAGAGUCAUUAGUAUUAAGAAUUUGCAUUAAACAAGGCCAUAUUGGAACCAUAAACUAGUAUAAUAAUCGGUACCAAUAGAUGUGCACAAUAAGUGAAAACAAUAUCACAUAACAAAACUAGUUUUGAAGCACCAAAAUUCAGCAGUACUACUUCAGUUUGCAAAUUCACUAAAAAACUCAAUUCUCUUUAGAUUGUCAUGAAAAUUUUCAAGUAUGAACUAGACAUAUAUGACUACUAUUUUGCAAAAUUUCAUGAUUUUUAAAAUCUUAUAAGUGAGCCAAAAAUGAAUUCGGAAAGAGAGGUGCUGCAAAAACAGCAGAAAAUGGUAAGUACAUACCUAAGAUUACAAAUUCAUCAAAUAUUCAUUGUUCAUCCGAUAUGCAUCAGAAUUUUUUUCAGACAUAAAGUAAACAUAAAAACCUGUUAUUUCCCAAAAUUUCAUAAUUUUUGAGAUUUUACAAGUGUACUAAAAACAAAUUCGAAAUAAGUUGUGCUGCUGAAACAACAGAAAUUCUGCAAAACAUACCCGAGACUAAAUAAUUCACCAAACUUCAAUCUUCCUCCAAUGUGCACGAAAAUUUUCAGAAAUGAAGUAAGCAUAUAAAUUUACUGUCCCCAAAAAUUCCAUAAUUUGUUCGAUUUUACAAGUGGGCUAAAAAUAAAAUCGAAAUGGAAUGUGCUGCAGAAACUGCAUUAAUUCUGCAGUAUAGUCUCGAGAUUAAAAAUUCACUAAUAGUUCAUUUUCAAACCAAUGCUCGUGAAAAUUUCCAAAUUUGAAAUAAAUAUCUCAAUGUAUAUCAUACUAAAAUUCAUUGAAUUUAUCAAUUACAUAAAUAUAUCAAAAUAAUAUUACAAACACACUAUUCUGCAGAAGUCUGAAGAAUUCCAGCAACAUGGUAUCACACUUAAAAAUUUACCACAAAUCCAUUUCUUGUCCAAAAGACAUGAAAAUUUUGCAUGUAUAGAAUUCAUUAUAUACUUGAUACACAAAAUGCAAAUAGGUAACAAAAAUUCAUUCUUUUGGUGAUUCGACAAACAAGGUCUCCCUUUUCAUCAUAAAAGAAAAGGAUUUAGUCAUACAGACAACUUCGCUUAAAGUCUACAUCAGCAAAAUGUCCAAAUUUGGUAACCAUAUCAAAUUUCAAUGCAAAAGCCAAAAUUAUGGACCGAACUACAAUAUUUAAUCAUGCAAUCAAUAACCCGAUGUAGUUAAAAUAUAAGUUACUAUAGGCAGAAAAUCUAAACACUACCACUUCAAUUCUUCUCUUUAAUACAAGGGUAAUAGAUUCAUGAAAAAUAAUAGAAUAAGAGUGAGCGGAAGCAUGAAAAUCCCAGAAAAACAUAACAAUAGGAUUAUUUUAUAACGAUAAGAAAAUUUGAGAGGAUCCAUGUAUACACAAAAAUGAGGGAAAACAAGAAGACAAACCUCACAAACUCAUAACAAAAUUCCAUAUUAAUCCAUAGAAGGAUUUAUAUAUAAGUGUUUGAAAAUAAUCGAUAUCAUGUAAUUUAUUCAAAAGCAUGAUUCAAUUAAAUCAUACCCAUGUUUCCUAAUGGCGAGUGAUUCUCGCCGAAAGACUCCAAAAAUGACCAAAAUUUUAAACUUGACCAUUGACAACGUGAGUAGUGAUUGAAGAACGGCUUGCCCGUGACCAGUGUGUGAGAGAAAAAUUUGAAACACCAUGAGAAGCCAUAGUAAUUAUUAUUGUAAAUAGGAAUCCAAAAUUUCUAACAACAGUAAUGUUAAACCAGAAAACGAUUAACAACAUGUUUCGCUGGUUGAAGAAACAAAAGCUUAUAUCAAUAGUAACACCUUUGGGCAGAGACUGAGGAUAUAAUCAAAAGUUGCAUAACCAAAACAGAGAACACUUAAACAUAUAUAAAAUUCAACACCUUUGUGGUAGAUGAAAAAUAUACAAUCUAAAUAUUCCAUGCUUCAUUAUACACUGAUUCAUAGUUGGGCUAGACAAAUAAUUCCUUUGUGGAAAAAUGAAUCUAUCGAAUAACAUACAAACCACAAGUUGAAUUUCUAAGCAAUCUAAUAAGAAUACAAAUAAAUAAUCCACUUUGGUAGACAAUCUCAUUGUUUCUUAAAAGAUUAAAUCCAAGUCCAGGUUGUUGUCCUAAGAGACAAAAUUCAUCAUAAGCAAAAUUGAUGAAUUACAUAAUUGUUGAUUCAAACAAAAUAAUCAACAUGUUUCUUGUAUUUAAUAGAAUAAAACCAUACAAAAUCUCUAAUUUUAUAAUUUUCUUCAAUUAAAUGAUAAGAACUUGUUACUUCAAAUUAUUCCAGGAGAAAAAAAAAUAUUUCAUCCCAGAAUCAUCAAUAAACCAAGAAAAAUUAAAGUUAAUUGAAUUUGGGAAACAAAAGAAGUAUAUAUGCAAACAAUUGAGAAGUCGUAGCGUACCUUAUAUGAUUUAUUUUUGAGAAAUUGAGAAAAGAAAUCCAUAGUAUAAACAUGAUCAUGAUGCGGAAGCAAGAAAAACAGAAAGCCCAGGACAAGGAACGAAAAAACGAUGACGGAAGAAGACAGAUUUCUACCUUCCAUAGCAUAAAGUUUUCGAAUAGACUAAAAAGCUUAGGAUAAAAACCAAAACGUCAGUCUUUAAACCAAAAGCAUGCCGUUUUUAUGUGGUGGUGCGUUGAAGCUCUGAUACCACAUGUAAGAAUAACUUACAUACAUAAUUAUCAACUAACACAUAGAAUCAUUAUUAACCAGAGUCAAUAUAACUUACAUACAUAAUUAUUCAUGUAAGAAUAACUUACAUACAUAAUUAUCAACUAACACAUAGAAUCACAAUUAACCAGAGUCAAUACUAUCACACAAAAAUAGACACACAUCUGAGGAUGAAGAAGACAUGAUGCUUGAAAUAAAGAUAGUCUUCUACUGUCAUAAAACUGGAUGCUUUUGCUUUCAAUAGGACUCAGCACUCUAUCAAGCUUGUAUUUGGAGAGCAGGGACAAACCUUUUUAUAGUCACAUAAGACCUAUUGAUAUUCACCUAUUAGGAAAACAAUAGGUCUCUCAAUAAUUCAUCAUUAACUGCAAUAAGUCCACUACAUUAUUGUUUUGAAUGAUUCAUAUAACCUACUGUUACAAAACUCUAUUAACUUAAUCAAUACAGUUCUAUCAAAAUAAUGAUUAUGUCUACUCAAAUUCUUACACCACUUUGGCAAGGAUUAGUUGCUCGUAACAGAUCAAGUAACCUCAUAAUUAGAAGGAUUUCAGUGCAAUUUGUAAUAGAGAAACUAGGAGCUUGUUGUUGACUGGGAAACUUGAGGAACCCCUCAGGUGCUUCAGUUAAUUUGCAGAUUUUGUAGUCUGAAAUGUGUUUGAUGUCUUAUGGUAAUGAAAUGCUCAGUGUUUCCUUGUCUGUUUUAUCAUGAUUGACAUGGUCUCAAGCAUUUUGUUAUUAGCUGGCGGACUUAAUUAUUCAAAUGAUGUUCGGAAGAUUAAGUUUCGUGUUUCAUCCAAAUAUUCCUUUUGAAUUUUGUACCUGGUACAGCAGCUAGAUAGGAUUGGCAUGUUCUCAAAUUCACUGACUAGAUGUAUACUGAUAGGUUUGUCUGGUUUUUGCGGAAGGGCCCUUUGGAAACUGAACAGAAAAAGUAUUGCUGUUUCAGGACUGCACAACCAGUUUCCAUUAGUUAAAGAAACAAACUGAAACAAGUCAAUUCUUCCUUUCUAUAAAAAUUUGAAAUUCAAGUCCCUGGUAUUAACAUUAAAGGUGUUUUCAGAAAAUGAACCUCAAGAUUAGCAAUGACAUCAGGCAAGAUAAAUCACAUUGGUGAUCAGAAACUUGUGGUUCAUUCUUGUACAAGGAAGAAACAUAGAGGCCAACUGAACGGCGCGAGGAUAGUACUCGUACUUUAAGUCCGGCUCCUCCAAUUCUUCCCAAGCUUAUGAUGGGGACUGGUUUUACAGUGAACUGAAAUGAAAUUCAGAAAUGAAAAACUCUUUGUUAGUGUCAGAUGUCUCUGUUAGAUUUCUGUAUUAUAAUAUUUUAGAUUUUGUAAGGAAGAAGAAUUUGGAAUUGGAUUUGUUAUUGGCACAUUACAAGCUCACUAUCAAAUACUUAAUCAAUCUUCUUAGGGAAUUGUUAUUGGAACUCUAAAAAUCUCAUUUUACACUCUAAAUUUUCUAAAAGAAAAAUACACUUGUGAGUAGUGUAAAAUGAGAUUUUUUUAGUGCUAAUAACAGUUCCCUCUUCUUAAUGCAAUCAGCAAAAGUGUUUAUACAUCAACAUUCUUAUCCACUUUCCUUUCAAUAAAUAUGGCCAUCUUAAUAUAUAUAGCUUGUGGGAUUUGAGUCCAUUGACUAAAAUAUUUUUAAAGACAAUUAAGCUGAUGGGAUAAACCGACAGUGACUUACCUACAUUUAUUAUAAGAUGGUGACUAACAAUGCCUUUUGCAGAUUUGUUUUGUGUCUUUAAAGCCAGCACUUCUAGGUCCACUUAGAGUUGCCUCGUCACGAUAUUCACAUGUUCGUUCCAGGAUUUUGUGGUUGGUUGAGUUCUUCCAAAUCUUGCUUGUACAGCAAACGAGCCCCACACUUCUUCACAUAUUGCAAGUAUGCUUCUUCCAUUCUAUGACCAUAAGAGUAAGUGCCGAAGAAAAAGUUUUCACCACGACAAUCUCGACGAAGCAAAUAGAAUACCCAAAAGUGUUCUGACUCGAGAGACCUUAUUUCUUUGGUCAAAAUCUUAGUAUCAGCUAAACACUUAAUUUCGAAAUAAUUAUAAUGACGCUUAAGAUCUUGAAAAACAACACAAAAGGUAAUCCCCAGCCAGUUGGUACAUGAUGGUGGAGGAAGCUCCACAUCUAUUGAAUGUCCCGCACUCUGAUUACUGAACCACUCUGGAAUUUCACUUCCAGGGCAUACCAUACCUCUCAAAAAAUUUGAGAUUCCCUGUGGCUGAAGAAAGAUCAAUUAUUUAGAGAGAGAGAGAGAAGAGAGGGAGAGAGGGAGAGGGAGAGAGAGAGUACCUCUUGAUCAGUGGCAAAUUUUAGAAUCCUUGAGAGUAUCCAGCCUUCAUCUUGAACCAAUGCAAUGCAAUUCAGGCAAGUGAAAUUAAAAUCAUACAAAUUGGCAAAUCUGCUGUUCAACUUGGAUGGAUCUGACAAACUUCGCAAGGAAGUACAAUUGUCUACAUCUACAUGUAAUUUGCUAUUAGAUGGAAGAGGUGGCAAUUUUUGAAGGCUUUUGCACCUUUCCAGAUCAAGAUACGAAAGCUUAGAAAGGCAUCUAAUGCUUUCAGGUAGACUGACGAAAUUAUUUCCACUAAGAUCCAAUCUUUCCAGAAAGGACAAGCAGCCAAUAUCAUCGGGGAUAUCUCCUUCACGGAGUUUACAAUCUUUUAGAGAUAACUCUGUUAACUCUGUCAAAGAGCAUAAACUAUUUAGAGAAGACAACACCAAAUCCAAACAAGGAGGAUCAGGACGACUCUUUCCAAGUCCUAGUAAGCGGAGAAGGCCCCACCCCUCCCUUGCUUUAGCAUCCGAUCCGUUACAUAAGUUAUCCAUGUCUCUUGGGAGUUUGUCAAUUUUUGAGCAUCCUUGCAUUCGGAGUCUUCUAAGAGACUUCAAAUUACAAAUAGUCGUCGGAAGGUUCAAGAGAUAUGAGCAACCAACUAGACACAACUCCUGGAGGCCAACCAAAUGUCCAAUUGAUGAAGCUAUUUUCUCUAUCAGAGUCGCACUUAAGUCAAUCGAGGACACAUUCUUCAUCUGCUCCCCAAAUUCUGGAAUCUUUUUCACAUCUGAGUUGCUAAGACUUAAAGAUUCCAGAGAAUCCAUUUUAAGCUCACUUGGGAGGCUCUCAAGUUUUAAGUAGCAUUCAAAAUUCAAGUUCAAGUUUUUUAAGAUGUGCAAUAGACGGGUGUAUCUCAACUAAAUUGAAACAACCUCGAAGAUUCAACUUCACAAGAUUUGGAACACCACUGAAAUCCGGGUACUCUUCAAUUUACCUGAGUUUCUAAGAUCGAUCCAUCUCAAGUUGGGCAAGUCCUGUACAACAUCGAUAAGAUUCAGAUCAUAUAAAUAAAUAAAUAAAUGAUUAUUUUGUAUAUUAAAUAGCAUUUAUUCAAGGAUGAAUAAUAAUUAUGUACUCACUAGUGAGUACUCUAUAUGCUCAUUUUUGUUUUGGUUCUUGUUCUUUAUUUUUAAAGCCCAAGAAAAAUUAAAUAGCAUGUCCAUUAUUUUUGAAAAUAAUAAAAUAUACUUGUCCAAAAAGUGAGUACUGAUUAGUCACUACCCAAGUGGUAUCAUUUUAUUCAACACUACUCUCAUCACUUUUUUUUUUUUUUAAUGGUAAAAAUACUACUCUUACCACUUUUCCCUCCCAUAACCGAACAAGACUGCUUCCAUACAUGUGAAGUUCAGUAAGGUGGCGCAUGGGAAAGUUGGUUGGAAGAAAAUUAGAAGGAUAUUGAAACCAGUAUAUAUAUCUCAAUGAACACGGAAGAAAUUUAGGGCCUGAAGAAAAGAAAACUUGAUCGAUUGUCAAAAUCCUCAAUCUAUCCAUCUUAGAGAAGGCUUCCCAAUUCCACUCGCGUUUCACAUAUGUUAUAGGCAUGUGUAAUGAUAUGACUUCAAUUGCACUCAAACCCUGACAAUUAAGAAAAAAAGACAAAUUAAUUUCACAUUCAAGUAUAUUAGUGUCAAAAGUUCAUUCAAACUUGGUAUUUUACUUCUUACCAUAUUGGUCGCCAUAUUGGUCGUGAAUACAUGAGAAAUGUCAUCGUUAAGCCACAACCUACUGCGUAGACCAGACUCUUUAGACCUGUGACCAAUAAUUGUCCAUGCCAUUUCUUCUAUCAAAUCAUGCAUCCGUAUGCAUUUUUGGUGAUCUUGAUAGAGGAGAAAUCUCUCAAUUAGUACAUCUAUCACAAUAUGGCUAGAGAUUCCAAAAGAAUUAGAACUAUCUAGACUUUCAAUUACUUGCUUCCUGUAAUACCCUUUGUAGAAACAUGCAACAUCGAGAAAAUGCUCUUCUCCCACUCUUCUAGUGCAUCAUAACUUACUUUAAGUUUAUCAAAAAUAGCUGGAUUAGGAAUUUUUGAUAGAUUAUCCCGUACACUAUGCCAAGCAUCUAGCCCUCUCUUAAACAAAGCCGACCCCAAAGUUUCAAGAGCUAAUGGAAGGCCUCCAGCAUGAUUGUCAUAACAUUCAUCAUAAUUAUCAAUCACAUUAUUAAAAAGAUAGUUAAACACACACACACACACACACACACAUAUAUAUAUAUAUAUAUCACAAUCUUCAUCAGUGCACGAGCCAAAUCCUAUUUAAUAAGCAUAUGAUGGCUAUAUAUAUAUAAAUCACAUUUCAAUAAAAAUCAUAUUUAUAAGACUAAUUCAUAUUCACAAUUGAUACCAAAUAAGAAAUUCAGAUAAUAAACAUAUCUCAUAUAUUCAAGUCACUAUCUAACUAACAUAGGUCCACUGGUCACGCACCGUCGCAUGAGCCGCUGCGGGUGGCGGUUGACUGCCCCGACUCACCGGAAAAAUUCAACUAUCUUUAAAAAUUACCAAAAAUUACAUAAAUGAAGAUCUCAAGGAGUAGAGCAAACUUUAUACCUGUGGCCAAGUCUAAUUUGGCCGGGAAGGCCCUCAAAUUGGCUCGCACCCGUCGAAACCCUAAAGUGGGUGUUCUUCAAUUUGGCUCCCUUGGUGUUCCAACGCCCCAACCACCAAUUGGGUCUUGUUCUUGGGUCCAAGGGAAGUUGAUUAAGGGUGAUGGUGAAUGGUGAUACUCACCAGAAUGACGAAUCGCCGUCAAGAACCCCCGGUUUUUCGGUGGAGUUCUACUCGAAUUAGACCUUAAAAACCCUUGAUUUUUGGUGGAGAUGGAAGGAGGAAGGUAGCUGAGUAGGUUGCAGGUGAUGAAUGGGUGCAAAACGCCUAAAAAAUGAAGGAUUUUGGCCUGACAUUGGCUGGAUCGAAACCAUUUUUUUCAUGGGUGCUUGGGUUUACAAAUUUGGGGGGGGGGGGGGGGGAGGGGCAUCCUUUCGCUCAUUUUCUUUUCUUCUCUUGCCACUCCCGUGGCUUUCUUUUUUUUUUUUUUUUUUUUUUUAAAGCAACACAACUUCAUACGUCCGUAACUAUACUGUUAUAAUCCGGACUCGCAAACGGUUUUCGCCUAUGCGUUCAUGACUUCAAGACCUAUUCGAAAACGUUACUUGUGACCUCGAAAAGUCAACGAGUAAAUAAUAAUUUUCCAAACUUCGCUCUUCAUAACUAGUUUAAUUGAAAUCUAAUUUCAAAUAAAUUAAUAUAAAUUCUCGAAAAAAUAAUAUAAAUCUCAAUAAUACAAAUACGUAGAUUAUAACAGUAAAAUCCAAGAAUGGGAUUUCACGUCUUUACCGUUAGAGACACCGUUAUAUCUUGGAGAUCUACCAAGCAAACGCUAGUUGUGACUUUGUCGAACUAUGCUGAGAUUUUCGCCCUGCAUGAAGCAUCGCGUGAGUGCUUUUGGUUGAGAGAAGUCAUGGGACAUAUUUGAAGCAUUAGUGGUCUUACAUCAGUCGUUGACCCUCCUACGACGAUCUUUGAAGACAAUGCAACAUGUAUCGAGCAGUUAAAGAAGGGAUACAUCAAGGGAGACAACACCAAGCACAUAACGUCGAAGUUCUUUUACUCACACCAACAGCAGCAGCAGCAUCAAAACAUUGAAGUCAAGCAAAUCCGUUCCCAGGAGGAUAACUUGGUCAAUCUCUUCACCAAGUCAUUGCCCAAGUUUACUUUUCAAAAGCUUGUCCAAGGAAUCAUUAUGCGUAAAUUAUCUGAGUUAAAUCGCAUGUAGUUCUCUUAUUUAGAAGUUAUGGCUAGCUCAGGGGGAGUAUCUAGAAGCAUACUUACAUGAUCUUAAUGUACUCUUUUUCCUACGAUUAGGAGCAUUUUUUUCCACUGGGUCUUUGCUACCUAACGAGGUUUUAACGAGGCACCCAUCCUGGGAUGAUCAUACUCCGUUGAGUUCACUACUUUCGUCCUGUUUGACAUUUGUUUUAGAUAUUAUGCAUACUUCUCACCUUUCUCCUUAAUCUAUGGGUUUUCCUCGUGCCUUGGGUAUUACCAUAGUUAGGUUUUGUGAGUUUUACUACAAAUGCAUACUUCCUUAAACUUGAGACUCGCGAUCACCCGUUGUGCCAAUGACUUCAUCAACAAUUCUACCUUAUCGCUGAAUAUCUAAUGCGAUGUUUGUUGAGUAUUUACACACUCAAGGGGGAGUGUUGCAGUCAUAUUUAGAAUAAGAAUGUGAUUGUGUAAAUCCUUAUAGUUAUGGGAAUGUAUCUUAUAUUCCUAUUAAUUAUGAGUUUAUUAUCUAUUAAAUGUUGUAAUCAUAAAAGGAAAGGUUUACCUAUUCUACUACUAUAAAUAAAGGCACAAUGAGGUAAAUUAAACACACCUCACAAUUAAAUCACUCUCUCUUCUCCCUCACUACCUCCGGCCCAUCUCUCUUUCUAAACCCUAAGAUCGUUCAAUCAAAUAGGCCUACAACAAAAACUAGUUUCUUGAGCUUUCAAAAUUUGUAUUUUGAGCUUUAAUUUUAGUUUCUAAUCAACACCAUGACACAAGCCAUAAAGUAACAAAACCAAUAAAAUGUCAACUGAAAACGUUAUAUGUGAAAAAGAACAAUGAAUUACAUGAAAUGAAAACGUCAAAGUAGGCAUGUAGUCAACCUAUGUUGUCACGCCACAAAUUAAAGUACAAUGCGAGCUGGUGACAAAUUUGAGCCACACCGCGGUAAUUCAUGCAAUGUAAAUCUCUCUCAAAGAAGCAACAAGAAAAUCCUCAUGCAAGAGUUCUCCACUUUCUUACUCGUUCAAGAGGAAAGCUGAAAGGACAAGUAUUUUCCAAAAAAAAAAAAAAAAAAGGUGGAAGACAGACUAUGGAAAUUUUCCAGGAAGCAAGAGUUUAGAGUAAGUUCUCAACUUUCUUCUGAGAAAAGAUAUUCAUGUCUCUUUUUCUUUUCUCUUCAGUGAUGCUAAAGCCAACUAGUUAUCUUAUUUCUACAGCCACUUUCCAAUACUUGUUCCAAAGAUUUUCCACAAAAAAAAGUAGAAGACUGACUACAAGGAAAAUAUUUAUGUCACCCACCAUGAAAUUUGUAUAUAGGUUUUUUUCACACAUCUGUUCAUUAGGUCCACUAACAAUGUUGAAGUCAUUGUGGAAUAUGCUGAGAUUUCCCCUGUCAUUUAGACAAACCUUCUCAUGGUUACACCCUACCCCCAGCAAUUGGCAAUAUCAAAUCUGAUAAAACUAGUCAAACAAAUGACAAGCCUUCAAUGCAAGCUGCAAUGUAAGAGUUGAGUUGAAAUGAUCCAUACAUCAAAUAAAAUGAUCAUUCAUAAGAAUCAUGAAACCUAGGCUAAGUUCCAUGGGCUCUUAAGGUCCCUCAUCAAAACAUAGAAUAACCACUGCAUUUGGAUGAUGGUAUUUAAAGUUCCAUGAAAACAAGGCUACACCUUCAGAAACGCACUACAAAAAAAUAGAUAGAGGGGCUUCAAAAUGACUAGAUGCAAACAUUUGAGAGAAAUUUCAAAUGAUACCUUGAAAGUCCUUUGUUGCGUGUCAUUCUACUGCACUACUUGUGUUUUAGUAGUAACUUUGUAGUGCUUUAGUAUAGUUUAUCAGUAGUGUUCUUGUAGUGCAUCUUUAACAAUUAAGUCUAAAGUUUGUCCCUCAUUCAAAGACAUAACAAAACACCACAACUCUAAGUUAUAUACAAAAAACACUUCAAGAGCUCAAUGAAGAAAAAAAAACUUGUCUAUCCACUUGUCAUGCUCUAAUUGAUUCUUAGUUGGAAAAUCCUUCUCCAUCAUCAAGUAAGUUGGUUUUUUUUUUCUUUUCUUUUUUAACUAUUGGGUUUGAAGUGGUUUUCUCUAAAGAUCAAGUAUCGUCAUCUUCCAGGAGAAUCUACUCACUAAAUUCGUUAUCUCUUAUAAGAAGUAAUGCUAGGAAGACAAAAUUUAUAGACUAUAAUUGCAAACUAAAUGAUGUGUCACUAAUAAGAAAUGAGCAUGUUUAUCAACGUUUAAGUAAUAAUUCAAUCAUCAACUUCCAUGUCAUUUAGUUUACAAAACUUAGUCUACAAAUUUAGUCUUUCUAACAUUACUCAUCUUUAAGUUAGGAAAUGAACGAAUUAGUUUUAAAAUGAAAGCGAAAUAUGGUACAACAGAGUUUACAUAGUUUCUACUUCUUUAUACGUACACCAGUUUCUACUUCUUUACACAGUCAAAAUCAAUAAAAUUAACAUAACGAACCGUCGAUGAAUGCCCCGUCACUAAAACGCAGCAUAACAUAUGUCAUAUCUACUGCUUUCCUAGUAAAACCGACAUCUUUAUGGCCACAAACUUACAUGAAUCAACUUCAUGAAAUCUAAUUUCUGAUGAUCAAUAGAAUUCAAUUGUUAUGUAUGUGAUAUCGGCAGGGUUGGAUCAACCGGAGCUUGAAUUUUUCGUUAAGAUCGAACAUAACUGAUUUUUCUGAUUUGCAGUGCCCUUUUAUUAAUGGCAGAACUGAUUCUAUUGUCUAAACCCCUUUGUCUAAAGUAUUGUAAUGAGCAGCCACGGGUACGACACUAUCUUCAAGUGGUGAUAAUCUUUACCACCUUAUUUAGCCAUUUUGGAGAAAAAGUAUUUGAAAAUUAAAAAAAAAAAACAAAUAAAGGAUGAGGUGAAAUUGGCCAGCUCAAUAAUUUUCUUCCCUUUUUUUGAAGCGCAUUCCGGAAACUUACUAAAAAUUUGGGUAAAUUUAUAGACAAGAAACAGUAAUGCAACUUGGCACAAAUAGCAGGAUUUCAAAAACCAAAAGCUGAAUUACUCACUACAAUCCAAUGUCUUCAGGAUUUUAGCAAUUAAUUAUGUCACUAAAUUAAUUGAGCUAUUUCCACGGAGGCUCUACGAAUUAUAAAUUAAUCGGACAUUGUACAAUUACAAAAGGAGCCACCAUGCGCCUCAGAUAGUGUUAUUUGAGAUAGAAUCUAUUAUACUUUGAUUGGUGAAGACAAUGAAAUAACGGAAUAUGUGAAUUGAAAAUGAAUUGAACAUAUGACUCAUUAUCUCUUAGUUCAAGAAGAGACCUGAAAACCUUAGUGACCCAUGUACCACCUUACAACCGUAGAAAAGAAAAACAAUCGUACGGGACAAAGACAAUACACAAUUCUAGAUAUUUCAGUAAUCAAAACAUAAGUUUCUGUGCAAGAGGUAACCUUUUAUAGUCCUUUUGAAUCAUGUGCCCUGCUUCAGUUCCCUUACCAAACUGGAUAAAAGUCUUAUCCAAGGCAAUCCCUCCUAAUCCUGUGUUACAAACGGGUCCAAAAUACUCCAUCCAAGUUCUGCCCAUCACCCAAACAAGCAGGCCCAGUUCUUGUGCGACAUAGCUAACUUUUUACUUGGGACCUAAAAUUGGGUUUCAGUCGAUCAGUCAAAUGGGGCAAUUUUCCCUAUCAAGUCGCUCCGUCUCCCAGUCCCUCUCUCUCAUUUAUUCGACUGGUUGAAGCUUUCAAGUAUCAAGAUUGGCAGAAGCAUCCGCAGAAAUCCAGAUGGGAAGAAAAUCCUGGUACUACUCUAUCACUGCUUCUCUACAAUUUUCCCGGAAAGUUUCUGCAUUUGGGUUUACAGCAAUGCAUUCAUCUCGUCCAUUUCUCUUCUGUGUCCUUUUCUUUUUCGUCUCCAACCUCAGUUUCCCUUCGCUUUCUGUCCCGUUCUUGCCUGCGACGAACAAUAACCUCACCCUCUUAGGCGACGCUUCCAUCACCAACAACGCCAUUAGUCUCACUAAAGAACUCACCACAUGCCCCUCCUCUUUCCCUUCUGCUUCUUCUGGCGUUGGAAGAGCAUUUUACGCCUACCCAAUUCGGUUUCUUGACUUGAAAACCAACGCCACUGCCUCUUUCUUGUGCCGAUUCUCUUUCUCAAUCACUCCAAGUUCCCAAUUGUGUUCUUCUGGAGAUGGCAUUGCGUUUGUGAUCACCCCCGAUGUUGAUUCUCUGGGAUCAUCCAGAGGUGGAGUAUAUGGGACUUCUGGAGCCAUCCUCAGUGUCAAAAGAAUAGUUCUUCGCCAUGGAAUUCGAUCCUAGGUUUGAUCCUAUGGUUGGUGACACCAAUGGUAACCACAUUGGUAUUUAUGUGAACACGGUUGUGUCUGUUGACUGUGUUGAUGUUGUGUCAAGAGGAUUUGAUUUGACAAGUGGGAGGGAGAUUACUCCUUGGAUUGAGUACAGAUGCUGUCAAGCUGAUUCGGGUUUGGGUUGGAUACUCUUGAACUAGGCCUCCAACGUCUCUGCUUAAUGCUCCGAUUGACCUCUUCAACCAGUUCAUGGGUGUCGGUUUCUCUGCCUCGAAUGGGCAGGGCUCUUCAAUUCAUAUUGUUGAUAGGUGGAGAUUCAAGACUUUCAGGUCUCUUCCACCUGGGAUUCUUACAGAUACCUUUGAGGAAGGGGACUGCUUCAUGUGCUCGUCACCAGAAGAUUCAAGUACCAAAAGCAGCCCUGAAAAUCGCUGCCAUGAAAGGAAAACAAAGACAGUGGAGAUGGCUCUUGGGUUGGGAGGUUUAGCUACAUAUGUUGUCUCCAUACUCACGUUUGUUUUUGUCAUUUGUUUUGUGUGUGUGAAGAAGAGAAGGGUCGCAUCAGCUAAGGUUUGUAAAGGGUCUUUGCCCUCUGAGGGAGAAGUGGCAGUGAAAAGGUUUGAGAGGGCUGAUGGGAUCGGUAGUCUGCGUAAUCCUUUCACCACGGAGUUUGCAACUAUGGUGGGUUGUUUGCGGCAGAAGAAUUUGAUUCAGCUUCAUGGGUGGUGUUGUGAGGGUAAUGCGUUAGUCCUGGUGUACGAAUACAUUGCCCAACGGAAGUCUCAACAAAGUUCUCCACAAAAGCUUCAAUUCAGCAGUUGUCCUAUCCUGGAAGCAAAGACUUGAUAUAGUUCUCGCAGUCGCUUCUGCUCUUGCAUAUCUUCACGAGGAGUGUGAGAGGCAAAUAAUUCAGAGAUGUUAAAACUUGCAACAUAAUGCUCAAUGCAGAUUUUAACUCCAAACUAGGGGAUUUUGGUCUAGCAGAAGUGUAUUGAUCACAGUUCCAUCAUUGCAAGAGAAGCAACUAUACCAGCUGGAACAAUGGGAUAUCUUGCUCCAGAAGACGUUUAUUCAGGUGUUCCAACAGUUAAAACUGAUGUUUACAACUUUGGUGUGGUGGUGUUAGAGGUGGCAACGGGAAGAAAGCCGGUGGAGGAUGAUGGAACAGUGGUUGCUGAUUGGGUUUGGAGCAUGUGGGAAAAUGGAAAACUGAUUGAAGUUGCUGAUCUGAGGUAUAUGGGGAAGUUUGAUAUGGAAGAAAUGGAGAGGAUGCUAAUGACUGUACUUGCUUUUGUGCACCCAAACCAUGUGAAGAGGGCAACGGUGAAGGAAGCUGCAAGGAUUCUUAAAGGCAAAACCCCUCUUCCUCUGCUGCCACCAAGAAAACCAAGGGUAAGCCUUCGCCCCGUUUUUCCUGAUGACUGAAGAAAUCACAUUUUGCUGUGGUGUUUGGCCAAGUCUCGAACUUGAUGAUGUACAAUAUACUGAUUUACGGGUUUGUCUGGUUUUUGCGGAAGGACCCUUUGGAAACUGAACAGAAAAGGUAAUGCUGUUUCUGGACCGCACCACCAGUUUCCAUUAGUUACAAAAACAAACUGAAACAAGUCAAUUCUUCCUUUCUAUAAAAAUUUGAAAUAUAAGUCCCUGAUGUUAACAUUAAAGGUGUUUUCAGAAAAUGAACCUCAAGAUUAGCAAUGACAUCAAGCAAGAUAAAUCACAAGGAAGAAACAUAGAGGCCAACUCCACGGCGCUAGGAUAGUACUCCUCGUACUUCAAGUCCAGCUCCUCCAAUUCCUCCCAAGCUUAUGAUGGGGACUGGUUUUACAGUGAACUGAAAUGAAAUUAAAAAAUGAAAAACUCUUUGUUAGUGUUAGAUUUCUGGAUUAUAAUAUUUUAGAUUUUGUAAGGAAGAAGAAUUUGGAAUUGGAUUUUUGGGUUUUGGAUUUUGGAUUUUCUGGCAAGAGCAGAAUUGCAGAGAGAAUUUCAGAUGAAAUGACACUUUUUUCAUUCACACAAUGAGGGUGGCCUGUCACCAGUCAACAAGAUAUAAUCCUAACUAUCCAAAUAAGUCAUCCUAUGAGAUGCUUACACAUGGUAUGAGCCAUGGCUUCUUCAAAUAAGACAACUAUAAAACUAAUGGUACACAUGGACAAUGAUCCGAUGGUCCACAUUACAAGCUCAAUAUCAAAUUCUAUAUCAAUCUUCUUAAGGAAUUAUUGUUGACACUCUAAAAAUCUCAUUUUACAUUCUAAACUUUCUAUAAUUAAAAAAAAUACACUUGUGAAGAGUAUAAAAUGAGAUAUUUGAAAUGCUAAUAACAGUUCUCUCUUCUUAAUGCAAUCAGCAAAAGUGUUUAUUCAUCAACAUUCUUAUCCACUCGCCUUUCAAUAAAUAUGGUCAUCUUGAUAUAUAUAGCUUGUGAGAUUUGAGUCAAUUGACUAAAAUAUUUUUAAAAACAAUUAAGUUGAUGAGAUAAACCGACGGUGACUUACCUACAUUUAUUAUAAGAUGGUGACAAACAAUGCCUUUUGCGGAUUUGUUUUGUGUCGUUGAAGCUCACACUUCCAAAUCCACUUGGAGCUGCCUUGUCACAAUAUUCACGUGUUCGUUUCAGGAUUUUGUGUUUGGUUGAGUUCUUCCAAAUCUUGCUUGUAUAGCAAACGAGCCCCACACUUCUUCACACGAAUCCAGUAUACUUUUUCUCCUUCCCUACUAACACCAUCAAAGUAGGUUUCGAAUAAAAACUCAUCUUGACAACAAUCUCGACGAAGCAAAUAGAAUACCCAAAGGUGUUCUGACUCUAGAGACCUUAUUUUUUUGGUCCAAAUCCUAGGGCCAUCCAUAUAAGAAAAACACCGAAUUUCGAAAUAAUCAUAGAGAUGAAGACCAGCUAGAAUGACCCAGUUUGGCGUAAGAUCUUGAAAAAGAACACAAAAGGCAAUCCCCAGCCAGUUGGUACAUGAUGGUGGAGGAAGCUCCACAUUUACUGAAUGUCCCACACUCUGAAUACUGAACCACUUUGGAAUUUCACUUCCAGGGCAUAACAUACCUCUCAUAAAAUUUGAGAUUCCCUGUAGUAGAAGAAAUAUCAAUUAUUUAGAGAGAGAGAGAGAGAGAGAGAGAGGGAGAGAUAGAAGAUCAAUUAUUUAGAGAGGAGGGGGGGGAGAGUACCUCUUGAUCAGUGGCAAAUUUUAGAAUCCUUGAGAGUAUUGUAUUAAUCCAGCCUUCAUUUGGAACCAAUGCAAUGCAAUUCAGGCAAGUGAAAUUAAAAUCAUACAAAUUGGCGAAUCUGCUAUUCAACUUGGAUGGAUCUGACAAACUUCGCAAGGAAGUACAAUUGUCUACAUCUACAUGUAAUUUGCUAUUAGAUGGAAGAGGUGGCAAUUUUUGAAGGCUUUUGCACCUCUCCAGAUCAAGAUACGAAAGCUUAGAAAGGCGUCUAAUGCUUUCAGGUAGACUGACGAAAUUAUUUCCACUAAGAUCCAAUCUUUCGAGAAAGGACAAGCAGCCAAUAUCAUCGGGGAUAUCUCCUUCACGGAGUUUACAAUCUUUUAGAGAUAACUCUGUUAACUCUGUCAAAGAGCAUAAACUAUUUAGAGAAGACAACACCAAAUCCAAACAAGGAGGAUCAGGACGACUCUUUCCAAGUCCUAGUAAGCGGAGAAGGCCCCACCCCUCCCUUGCUUUAGCAUCCGAUCCGUUACAUAAGUUAUCCAUGUCUCUUGGGAGUUUGUCAAUUUUUGAGCAUCCUUGCAUUCGGAGUCUUCUAAGAGACUUCAAAUUACAAAUAGUCGUUGGAAG
rnacentral:lncRNA from 1 species